UCAAUCAAGUUGUUGUUUAUGGAUUUGUUUUUGUUAUGCAUUGUCAUUACCUUUUUGAUUCUAUGUUCUGUAUUGCCAUCAAGAUGAUUGUAAAUAGAUACAUGUAGUUCAAGUCAACGAAGUUUCAGAUUAUUAGAGGCUAAUCUACUUAUCUAUGUUACAUUUUCUUCUCGUAGCUUUAAAUUUUUAUUGUAACUGCUUCCCAAAUCUGUUGGUUAUUGGGUUUGUAGCAGCUGGUGGUUCAAGUUUUGUUCACAUGCUGAAGCAUUAAAUUAUUUUUAUUGCUUGAUUUACUUGCAUUGCUGGGGAUAUGAUCUCAAGAAGUGUGGGGAAUGUUUUGUUUUGUUAAGUAGUAGAACCAAUGUAAGAAUAGAGCAAGCACACUUAAUUGGAUAGCAUCUUCAUCUUGACCUUCAUUAGUGGCAACGUUUUCCAGAGUUGCUUGUUGCAAAAUUGAAUUGAAUUUUCACAUACUAUUAACUAAUUUUGCAUGUAUCUGUUCACCUAUUCAUCACGUUUGUAUAUUGCCUUGAUUAUUGAAAGAGGUACUUCAAAUUGUAAGUGGGAAUCUAUAUGGAUCGAAUCUGGAAUAGGUUUCUAAAGAUAGCUGAAUCACAGCAUCAGGAAUUCAGGUCAAGCUCAAAGAGAUAUUUCUUUUAUUCUUCCACACUUUGACAAUAUGGACCACUUUAGACAGAUUUGCACAAGAUCUUUAAAAUGUCAUCCUCAUUAGGCUUUGGUACCAAAGGUUUCCUUGAUCUAUUAAGGCUUUGCAUCUCUCGAAUCAAAGAGAGAUUUCAAGGCUUCUCGGACUACCUCCAACCAGUCAAGUCCAGUGGAUAACCUUUCUCAGAGUUCCAGUGACAACUCCGAGGAGGCUCUGGCUGAUAUGAACCAUUGUCAAUGGUCUCAGCUACAUGAAGUAAGCAGAUGCUCUGUCCUUGGAACUACACACACACACAGACACACAGACACACACACACACACACACACACACACACACACACAUUGGCCUGAAUGAUACACCAUAAAUGUUGUGAAUAAUAUUGAUUGCAUACUUAGUCUAAACAUACCCAAGAUAGUUGAUGUCCCCAAACUUUGUUCAAUUAGGAAGAAGAUGGUUUCACACAAGAAGUUCCAGAGUGAUCAUCAAGAGGAAGGCCUGUUGAAAGUGAUCAUCCCAUCAGUCUAGGCGAGACUGGCUUUCUGGAAGGAAGGAUCAUCAAGAGGAAGGCCUCCCUUGAUGGCACAGCGGAAAAAGUAGGUGCAAUCAGGUUUUUACGAAAAUUCUAGCAAUGCAAGCUCCCUUUAUCAUGAUUUGUUACCUAAAGUUAGAUAGUUUUCUUAACUCCUUUGCCCUGUGUUCUCCUUGUCUCAGGAGAGCUCAAAACAAAAGCGUAUGCAUGUGGAUGAUUCUCUUGUCAAUGAUGGUAUGUUGUCAACUGAAACUGUGUUAUUAAUACCAUCGGCUUUUGACAAGUUAUUAUUGAGAACAUCUGGCACGUGCAUGGACUUGCAUGCAAAAUCUCCUUAACACGAAAAAUCUAGGGUGAGCAUUGGGUCCUGUUUGAUUCUGGCACCUGCCUGAUCGAUUUGAUCCCAAGCCGAUUCUGGGGAGAACUGGACAAAGACUGAUUUGAUUCGCAUACUAAGGCCAAAACAGCCAGCUCCGGAAAUCAGUUUUAAACUUGAUAAUAUUUUUGCAAUCAUCAAGAUUUGAACCAUGAUUUCAAUUCGAUCAAAUAACUGCAAUACCAGGGAUGUUCUUGUAAUGAAAUUAUGCAACUUUUAUUUUUAUUAAAAAAAUUCGGAUUUUUACCCAAAACAUAAGAAUAAGUUGGUUUCCAGGAUACCUAGGGUGCAUGAUAAUGAUAACCAAAAUUUCUGUUCCAGAAAUAGUUUUUCUGUUCCAGACAUGUUUCUGGAAGAGAAAUCCGUUUGAUAAACUUAUUCCGUUUUUCUAUUUCUGGAAUAGAUUUCUAUUCUAGAAAUAGGUUUGGAAGAGAAAUCGGAAGUAGAAAAAAUCUACUUUUCUAUUUUUGAAACAGAAAUUAGAAAUAAUUUAUUCCACAAACCCUAAUUUCAGUAACUCUCAUCUCCUUUACAACGUCUUGCCUCCUCCUCCUCCACCGGUCGCUGCCCACCGCCACCCGCCACCGGCCGCCGGCCCUCGCCGCCCGUAGUCGGUCGUCAGUCGCCGCCGCCGCCGGUCGCCGGUCGCCGGUCGCCGGUCGCCGUCGGCCACCACCGCCCGCCGCUGUCGGUCGCCAGUUGCCACCCGCCGCCCGCCGUCGCCGGUCGCCUGCCACUAGCCGCCAGUCGCCGGCCCCCAUAGCUGGCCGCCCGCGUGAUGCAUCGACCCAGAAAGGAAGAAAUUUUGUGUCAUUAUCAAAAGAAUUUCUAUUUUUAGAGUAGAAAUUUGGUGACGUUAUCAAAUGGUUAUUUUUGCUUAGAAACUCUUCUAGAAAUAGAAAUAGAAAAAUAUAUUUUUAUUCCAGAAACUAUUUCUAGAAUAGAAUAGUUGUCAUGCGCGCCCUAGUAACCGGCCUAGAACCAAUUGUUCUCAAUUUUUGAAACUGAGGAUCACAUACCUAGAAAAAUCAAAUCACUUCAGUGAGCCAAUCCAUGAUGUCUACAAUAUUUAGACUUCCAUAGAAGGUCGGAAUGUCCACUUUCAAAUUAAACUCCUCCUGUCUUCGAUGGUCAUGAUCAUCACCGCCCCUAUUCCUUUGAUAAUCGUCAAAAUCGAAAUGAUGAUCCCAUAACGACGAUCCCACUGCUCGUUGGGGUUGUCAUAAUUCAGGCAUAGGAGAGCCUGCUAUCCUAAUUGAUGGACCCCUUGGAUCUUUAAAAUCCUUUGAUUUGAUGAACCAUUUGGACCUUUUUUCGAAGCAAUAUCUCUAAAUCCAUUCCUGAGGCUCUUAGACCCCUUGAGAUGUAUUGUGACAAAUAUGACCGUACCAAACACAUCGAGGUAGUUGACAUUUCAUCAAAUAAAACCUUGAUUCCAAGACAAUUUGAUUUUCGAUACCCUGCCCGGNNNNNNNNNNNNNNNNNNNNNNNNNNNNNNNNNNNNNNNNNNNNNNNNNNNNNNNNNNNNNNNNNNNNNNNNNNNNNNNNNNNNNNNNNNNNNNNNNNNNNNNNNNNNNNNNNNNNNNNNNNNNNNNNNNNNNNNNNNNNNNNNNNNNNNNNNNNNNNNNNNNNNNNNNNNNNNNNNNNNNNNNNNNNNNNNNNNNNNNNNNNNNNNNNNNNNNNNNNNNNNNNNNNNNNNNNNNNNNNNNNNNNNNNNNNNNNNNNNNNNNNNNNNNNNNNNNNNNNNNNNNNNNNNNNNNNNNNNNNNNNNNNNNNNNNNNNNNNNNNNNNNNNNNNNNNNNNNNNNNNNNNNNNNNNNNNNNNNNNNNNNNNNNNNNNNNNNNNNNNNNNNNNNNNNNNNNNNNNNNNNNNNNNNNNNNNNNNNNNNNNNNNNNNNNNNNNNNNNNNNNNNNNNNNNNNNNNNNNNNNNNNNNNNNNNNNNNNNNNNNNNNNNNNNNNNNNNNNNNNNNNNNNNNNNNNNNNNNNNNNNNNNNNNNNNNNNNNNNNNNNNNNNNNNNNNNNNNNNNNNNNNNNNNNNNNNNNNNNNNNNNNNNNNNNNNNNNNNNNNNNNNNNNNNNNNNNNNNNNNNNNNNNNNNNNNNNNNNNNNNNNNNNNNNNNNNNNNNNNNNNNNNNNNNNNNNNNNNNNNNNNNNNNNNNNNNNNNNNNNNNNNNNNNNNNNNNNNNNNNNNNNNNNNNNNNNNNNNNNNNNNNNNNNNNNNNNNNNNNNNNNNNNNNNNNNNNNNNNNNNNNNNNNNNNNNNNNNNNNNNNNNNNNNNNNNNNNNNNNNNNNNNNNNNNNNNNNNNNNNNNNNNNNNNNNNNNNNNNNNNNNNNNNNNNNNNNNNNNNNNNNNNNNNNNNNNNNNNNNNNNNNNNNNNNNNNNNNNNNNNNNNNNNNNNNNNNNNNNNNNNNNNNAUACGAUACAGCAUAUACUAAAUGCGACUCACAAGACGUGGAAUAGUCACAUUCAAUAAAUUGUCAGUCUCUCGACAUGCAGAGCAUCCCUCUACCACAAUGGUAGUUUUUUUCAUCGCAUCUGUUUCUGAACCCUAAUUUUCACUUCUAAUCCCAUCUCUUUCCUGUGCGACCUGUAGUUGUCGUCUACCCCUUUCCUUUGCAAUCGUAGUUCCGUUUUUCUGCUUCGUUGGUGCCUCGAUGCGUUUCUUCACUAGCAAGCUUCCAUCCCAGUUUCUGCGAUGAAUUUUCGUUUACCGACUUGACCUUCCCCGUAAUAUCUUCUAUAGAAUUCUCUUAGCCCAACCAAAUUCCCUGCUGUGUUGCAUCAAUGAUGGGUUGUUUUUGCUCCUAUCAAUUAUCUUAGCCAUCAAUUCCGCUUGCUUCUUUCCUUCUUAGCUGCAUAAUUACGAUCGUUACCUGUUCGUUGAAUUACCCCAAUGUCUCUAUCAGUUUCGUUAACCUCUAUCAGUCACAUAGCCAGUUAUUUGCUACUCUACAUAUCCAGGGGAUUGAGAUCCUCUGGAAUGGAUUUAGCGAUAUUGCUCAGAAAAAAGGUCCAAAUGGUUCAUCAAAUCAAAGGAUUCUAAGGAUCCAAGGGGUCCAUCAAUUGAAGCAGUAAUGGCUAGCAAAGCCUGAAUUCUUAGCAGUAGGGUCCAUCGACUUUCGAACUUAUCCGCGUGGCUGCAGUGCUUCCUCUGCUCCUCCGACUAUCUGGAGCCAAAGAAAAUGGAUUCGUCCAUGAUCAUCGACUCUCUCUCUCUCUCUCUAGAGAGAGAGAGAGAGAGAGCCGAGAAAAUGAUGCACCGAUGCCAAUGAUAACGAAGGAGCUUUUAUACUUAUUAUAGUAUAAAGGGGGAAUAAUGUGCGGUGACACCAUAUAGGUGAUGCUCUGAGGUCCCCUUUUACUGAUGCAGCUUUGGCCGAGUGUCAAGAAUUAGGAACUCCUGAAGUAAGUUACUUUAGCAAAGCAAUUAGAAUCAUUACUUAAUUUUAGAGUAGUUAUACAAUGCAUAACCAAUAUAAAUUUUUUUCAAAAGUAGUAUUAUCCAUUCUUGAUUUGAUGAUAUGAGAAGUUAAAACUCUUAAAUCAAGGAUGGUUAAAAUCGCUUAUUUAAAGUUACUUUUAUAUUAGCAACAUAUCCGAAUUUUUGCUUAAUUUUAGAAGCACCUACAUGACAAUUGGGAUGGAUUGUUAUGGUCAUUCUUGAAAUACCAACAUAGAAUGAAUUGUUACUUCCUUGUCCUCAAACCAAACAUCAGAUUGGUAGAUUAUAUUAACAUGAACAUCACCUACAUGCAAAUUUAAGUAAAACAUAAUGUAAGAGAUUGCCAUUUGUAUAACUCAUCAGCAAGAGGUUUAGUGAUGGAGGAAAAUAAACUGAUUUACUUUCCAAGUGAAUACCUUGAAAUUUUUUACAUUUAUUAGAUUGCACCGACAAACGGAGCUAUCGAAGCCAUAAAAAGUGGUGGAGGCACCAGUACUCCUCAAACUUUCGCAAAAGUAAUCACCUUUUGGAAUUUCAUUUUUUUUUAAUUGGAUUUCUGGACUAUAUACCUUUUCGUUUAAAUUGAUCCUGCAGUUAGAAAAAAUCAACGGACAUGCCAACAUGGCUAUUGAUUUGCUGUUAAAAUGCCGAGAUGCCUCGUUUACCUACCUUAACUAAUCACUAGAUCAGAAAGGAGUUUGCAAACAAAAAGCUUCUAUCCUCCACCACGCUUUUAAGCAAAAGGAAAUAAGAUUAUAAUUGGAAAAUUUUCCAUAAGGGCAUCUUCCCCUCGUUGUCUAAACCAAACCACAAGUGUCAAUCUACCCUCUCUUGUCUGCUUUGCAUUUGGUCUUAACAGCAGAAUGGCUUUUGAGAAGGAAAAAGAAAAUGUAAAUAAACAAACUAAUUGAUUAUUGCUCGAAGUUUCCCGUUGAAUUUGAUAUAGGCACAAGUUUAUGAUUAUUGUGAUGUUCUAAGUGUUUGUGGAGACUUGAAGGCAGAGACGGACUCUCGGAGAACGCAAGAAGAUGGCCUGCUUAGCGCUUGGGCAAACCAAGCAACUCAGUUAGCACUUAUUAACAAUCAAUUUUAAAGUCUAUUUUGUACGUAACUUGUCGGAAUCCUAGAGAGUUUUUUGGAGCCAUGUUGAAAGCAUAAGAAGUGGGUGCCAUAGAGAACAAUUUAAGCCUUGUUUGGUAUUCCGAACUGUGACCGGAUUUCGAUGGAAAAAGAAUGCUAGAUUUAUUAAAAAUAUGUUAUGAAAUAAAUUUAUUAAAGAAUGUGUAGGAUUAUAAGCGACCCUUUAAACAAGUGGGCCUCAAACAACAAACAAAUAGUGUGACAUAUUAUUUAACAAAUCAAUUUUCAGCUAAUAGUAAAUCUAGUUUUUUUUUUCUAAUGAGAAUAAAGUCGUAUUCCUUUAAUUUAUCGUGUUCGGUAGCAUGGAAUGAAGAGGAAGGAUAUCAAAGUUCGAAAUAAAACUGUCAUAGUAUAUUUUCUUUUCAUGAGGGGUUAGGUGAAAAUGAAAGAUGGUUAAUGGAAAUGGUUGAGUAGACGUUACACAUGGUAAUCUAAUAAACAGAUAAACAAUCAAGGAUUUUAUCCAAAGAAGAAAAUUUGAUAUGAUGGGAUAUGCAUUUCUUAUAUAUGUAAUUUGGCAAGUCUUAUAAUAAUUUACACAUUUAAAACUGCGAAUCAUAUUUUCAGCCUCAAAGUGAUACUAAAUGCUAGAAUUAGAGAUUCAUUACUAUUUCCUUUCCUUACUUUUUUUUUAAUUCACAUUUCUUUUAUUAUUCUUAUUUUGUCAUUCCCAAAUCACAAGGGUUAUGUAUCGUUACAUGAGCAAUACAUCAAUCAAUUUCUAUAUUUAAUUUAGUUUGACAUUUGGGUGCUCGUCAUUUAUCAUAUUGAUGUUAUGUGUUAUUUUUACCGGGUCAAUUCACACAUCGGAUUCAAAAUUUCAAAGUCUUUACUAAUUGCGGAUUGCUUUAUAUGUCUAUUGAAGUGAGAACAAAACGGGCCUACAAGGAGUCCUCGACUGGUAGCUGUAGUCCUGAUUGACGUUUCAAGCUCUUUCCGCCCAGGUUUUUUGACCAAUUCCUCAUAUGAUCAAGCCCAUGAUGGACUGAGGAGAAUUCAAUAUGCUAUGCUUAUACUACGCCUAUGGUUCACACAUACAUUAACUAAAUUGCGGCAGUAAUAAUUUAUUUUUUUAUUAAAUCAUGUCUUGAAUUUGAAAUAUUUAUUUAACUUGACCCGGUUAGGUAUAUGUCAAAUUUGACAGCACAAUAAAAUUCAAGAGUUGGACUCGCCUGGGGUGAGAAAGGCUUUAUGAGAGAAGACAAAAACAAAGUGAAACAUACAUAGGUCAUGUUUUCGGCUGAAUCUCCUGCUCGUCCCUUUCUCCUUGAAGUCCAGCCGCAAGUGGGCUCCUCCAGCGGGAGUCGGAGCCACCCAUUAACAAGGGAUGCGAUGGCCACACAUCAAAGUUCCUUGAGAGACGCGCCGCCAUUUCGGCAGAAUCUCCUGCUUGUCUCUUUCUCCUUAAAGUCCAGCCGCAAGUGGGCUUCUCCAACGGGAGUGGGAGCCACACAUUAAAAAGAAAUGGCCGCAUUGAGAUAGCACGUACGUGGCCGUGGCAGAGCCUGAACAUCCGAUGGAAUUGUGGCUUGAGUAUUAUUUCCAUUUGAAUUAUUUAAUUAUGAAUAUUUUGGAUAUGGAUUUGGAUUUGAUGUAGGUGUGAAAAAUACUCAAGUUUGCAAGAGAUUAUAAUUUGAAUUCUUCCAUUUUUAUUAAAUUAUUUACAAUCCAUAAAUGUAAGCAUCGACACCCCGUAUUGAAUCGCUUAAAUUCUUGACAUUCUUUAUUAUUCUUUAUUUAUUUUCUUUGGCUUUUCAUAUUAACGUAAAUUGCACCAUCAAGAGUGACUUGUGCACCAAGAUCUUAUAACACUUUCGACGUGCACAAAGAUUAAUCGCUAAAGACUCAAGCAGAUACGACUGUGAAUAAAUAUCUAGAAUGGUGGACCAGCAUGAAUUAUUAGUAAUUGAUAAAAGAGAGUGUGGUUAGUUACGUAAGCCUUGUCGUGGUAACUUAAAAAAAGGGAUAUGUUUAGCAGAAGUCCUAAAACUUGUCAAGAAAGUGCAAUUGAGUCCUAAAACUUACAAAAAGUGCAAUCAAGUCCUAAAACUUGUCAAGGUGGUUGAAUUUAGUCCUAAAGUUAACACCGUCAAAAAAGUUAACGGAAUUGCUGACGUGGCGCUGACAUAAUAUUUUAAAUGAAUUUUUAUUAUAUAUAUGGCUUUUAAAAUUAUUUUUUAUUCAAAACAUUUAAAAAUAAGAUAAAAAACUAAAAAGAAAAAGCUAAAUUUAUUUAAAAAAUAAAACUAUUAAAAAAAAAUGGCUGCCGGUGGAGCUUCUGCUGCCGCCCAUCGCCGGAGGGGCCGACGACGGCCGCCGGACGGGCCGGUGACGGUCGCCGGCCCUGGGCGGGUGGCCGGCCCCCUGCGAGGGCCGGCGACCAUCGCCCGCCCCGGGCGAGGCCUCGCCGGCCCUCGCCUGGGGUUGGCGAUGCUCGCCCAGAUCUGGGCGCCGAGCAACCGAACCUCAUGGUUCUCCUCCUCCUCAGCCUCGCCAUUCUCGUCCUCGUCGGCGGUGGGGGCGGUGUCGUCCUCGUCGGCGGAGCUGGUGGAGCGGGCAACGACUUCGAGCUCCUCCUCGUCCUCCUCGUUGGCCGGCUCGUCGAGCUGCGGCUGCUCCUCCCCCUCGGACCUGUCCGACAGCGCCUCGUCGGACGACGCCUGCUCGCCCAGAUCUGNNNNNNNNNNNNNNNNNNNNNNNNNNNNNNNNNNNNNNNNNNNNNNNNNNNNNNNNNNNNNNNNNNNNNNNNNNNNNNNNNNNNNNNNNNNNNNNNNNNNCUUGACAAGUUUUAGGACUUGAUUGCACUUUUUGUAAGUUUUAGGACUUCUACUGAACAUAUCCCCUUAAAAAAACAAACAAACGAUUGAGAUUUUUAUUCGGAGGAGAAAAUUUGAUAUGAUGAUAUAUGCAUUUCUUAUUUAUAUAUAUAUAUAUAUAUAUAUAUAUAUAUAAUUUGACUAGUCUUAUAAUAAUUAUACAUUUAAAAUUAUGAAUCAUAUUUUCAGCCUCAAAGUGGUACUAAAUGCUAGAGUUAAAGAUUCAUUACUUUUUCUUUUCCUAACUUUUUUUUAUUCAAAUUUCUUUUAUUAUUCUUAUUAUGUCAUUCCUAUGAUCAAACGGUUUGAAUUCAUUCUUACUAGGUGUUCUAGUAUAUUAAAAACUAGUAUACUGCGCUCAUAGUUCACACAUACAACAACUAAAUUGUGUCAAUAAUAUAUUAUACUUUAUGUUAAAUUAUAUCUCAAAUUUGAAUCAUGAGAUUUGACUCAGUUGGAUAAAUGUCAAGUUCGGCAGCACAAUAAAAUUCAAGGGUUGUACUCAUCUUUACUGAAGGUCGGAACGAAUGAGAGGAAAGAGGUCCUCUGCCACAACAUGACAGAAGGGGCUCAGAAGACAAAAACAAAGUAAAACAUACGAAGAUCUUUUUUUUUCUGGCCGAAACCCCAGGUUUCUCUUUCAAGUCCGGCCGCAAGUGGGCUCCUCCAUCGAGAGUCGCAGCCACACAGUAAAAGAAAGGGAUUUGAUGGCCGCACAGUAACUUCCUUAGAGUUGCGCCGCGAAGAAAUGGCUGCACGGCGAGAUCACCCAUGUGGCUGGGGACAGAGCUCCACCCGAUGGAAUUGUGCCUUUGAUAUUUUAUUUAGGUUCAAUUUAAAUAUGAAAAAUAAUUGACUGUGAGCAGUUAUAACUCUAAUUCUUCAAUUAUUAACAGAUUAUUUAAGAUUAACUCUUCCCGUGAAUGUAGAUAUUGACACUCAAUAUUAAAUCACAUAAAUUCUUGCCAUCCUUAUUAUUCUUAGUUUAUUUUCUCUUGCCCUUUCAAAUUGACAUGAAUUGCACGAUCAUAAGUAACUUCCGCAUAAAUAUAUUACUAACACUUUAAACUUGGACAAAGAUUAAUCAUCAAAGGCUCAAGCCUUGAUAAGAUACGACUCCUUAUAAAUUUCUAGAAUGGGGCCCCGCAUGAAUUAUGAAUAACAUAUUGAAGAGGGUGUAGCUAGUACAUAAAUCUUGUGGUUAUCCUGCAUGUCCGAAAACUUCAUUAAGAAGUUCACCCGACAUAGAAAAAAACAACACCAGGUGCAGAAAAAAGGUACGCUUUCACGUGCUAGAUGGAGAUGGCAUCAUGAAGAGGGUAGCCACCAUAAAAGCGGACCUAGUUAAGAAAGCUAACCAAUCAAAUGCAUUUUAGGAUAGGUUUAGUUCAACUUUAAGUGUAAUGCAAAUAUUGAAAGUCAAAACCCUUUGAAGAAAUAUAACUUGUAUUUGAUAAAAACUCUUUAUAGAGGAACUUUGAUUCAAGUAGUGUUUGGCAAAAAAAAAAAAUCGCGAUAGACUUUAGAUUUAUUUUGUUGCAAAAAGGUGAGCGAUCAAACAAUAAUAUAGACAGAAGAAGAAAAUAUAUCGGACACGGGGUUUACGUGAUUCGGUCAUAAAGACCUACGUCCACGGGAGAGCAUCAACGGAUUUCACUAUAGAUCAAGCGAUACAAGAAUAUUACACACUCGAGUCACUCAAACACUCUCUUAGUGUUUCCCAAGCUUCAAUUACACCCAAUAAUGCACGUAGUGUUUAGCCCCGAAAUUCCUCACAAAAUAAUCUCUUAAUCUCACAAAGGAAUUACACGCAAAUCUUACCACAAUAUUUAAUUGGCUUGAACACUAAAUCUUCUUGGAUGUAAUUCACGGACAAGAACGACAAAAAAAUCCCUCCCAAGCACUCGACGACGAGACAGCGCUUCAAGACCAAUUCUUCAUGAUCAACCACCUGCCACCCACGGCCACAAGUCUAUAAAUAAGUGAGACCCCUAUUCUUUUGCCAACUUCUCAUAGGAUUUUAUUUCCUAACGUAAACGAUUUUAUCCAAAACAUAUCUCUGUAUGUUUUGAACAAAAUCCAAAUCCCAAUGAAAGUUGGACUUUCCUAUUUUAGCGGCCAAAUUCUCCAAUGCAAUUCGAAUUUUGGGAAGUUGAUCUUCGGAUAUUCUUUGCUCAAUUUCGAACGUCUGCAAUAUAUCCAAUUUGGAAUAUUCGAAAUUUCAUAUUGGACUCAAACUCAAAACAUAUUUUAACAUAUUUUAUACAUUUUUUUUUAUUGAACAAGAACUCAAACCCUUCGCCAAAGCCGACAAAAGGCUCUAAUUGUUGGUGAGACAAAUUUGACUCCACCAGCUGUCGGCUAAGGCGACCCUCGUAGGCCCUUCACCAGGCAAAUUUGGCUUUGCAGCCACCCUCACACGAAGAAGAUGAACAAUUACAAAAGGGGGCAAAACCAAAAAACUAACGAAUUGAUGAGGGUAGUUUUAGAAGGAAAAAUAUAUUUUAAUUCUAGUUUCAGCAUUCGGCAAAUGCUACUUCAAAAUGCUGGAUGGGAGUAAUAUUGAGCCUUUAGCAUUCCCAAGACUAACAUUUGGCCAAAAGCUAUUUCAAAAAGCCUAUCAAACGCUUCAACAUUUCUCCAAUGGGCUUUGGAGACUGAAAGUCCCCUCAAAAUGUUGAACUAGAUGCACUCUUAUUUACAGCCGCAUAAAUUUGUCCUGUACAUCAAAAAUCUUCAUCUCUAAUCAAGUUCACCUAACAAAGAAAAGGCAAGAUCAAGUUUUUAAAAAAAUUUAAAUAGAGAGAGAGAGAGAGAGAGAGAGAGAGAGAGAGAGAGAGAGAGAGAGAGAGAGAGAGAGAGAGAGAGAGAGAGAGAGAGAGCUAACGUGUUUCGCAUGCAGCAUUAACGCUAUCAUUUAUGCCUUGGUCUGACAUUUCCUAAUCUUAUAAAGGUAUAGAACAUAACUCAAUGACAUAGGGAGAAGCAACUAAAUUGUUAGAGUGGUGGAAAAAAAAUUUAUGUUAGGAAUCUAUUUAUAAAAGGAAUAUCAUUUGGGUGAGCAUUGGCCAUUUAUCUAGGACCUAGGGAGAGGCGGUGAUGAUUAAAGAAUGCAAAGAAACAACAGAAUAGCCCGCAACACUAUCAAGUGGGGGAUAAUGCCACAAACUGACAUUUCCUAUUUCUAUGAAUGCAUGGAGGUGAGCUUCGUAAUACUAGGAGAAGCAUGAGAGUUGCGAUACGAACAAUUUAAUUGGAUCAUGGGAGUGAUGUCAGAGAGUUUGUGUUGAGAAUAUACUGAUAAAAGGCAUAAAAUGUGAAAGACGUCUAAAGAUAGAGUUGGCCGCUUGUGCAUAAACUAGUCUGAAAGUUAAUAUCACUCUCUAAAUGAUGGCCAUAAUGAGGCGAAAUCAAUUGCUAUGUUGAAUCGAGACACGUGGUCUACUCGAAAUGGUAAUCAUUCUAAUAUAAUCCAGAAAUUAGUGGCACGUCUAGAAUCAUGUUGUUUGAGUAGGCUUAAUAUAGAACUUUCAUCUAAAUUUAUUAUAUAGAAAAUACAUGUUGCCGGUUAGGUCCGCUUAUGGUUAGACCAGCUACACUCUCUUCAAUGUGAGAUAAUUCAUAUAUGCUCUUUCGCCAUCUUAAGAAGUCUUGUAACAGUCGCAUCUUGUUCAAGUCUCUGCCCUCGACGGUCAAUCCUCCACCACAUAAAAUUAUUCCUUGAAUGAGCUCAAGAGACUGAGGGCACCAAAACCAUUGAUUUUCCUGACUGGUAGGGUCAAAUUUUGCUUACACGAAAAGGCCUGAGAAUGCAGACCCACCAAAAGACAAUGAUGUCCAUUUAAGUAAUAAACCUACGAGGUCACAUUAGGCCAAAGAGAUUCCUCCAUUCACUUUGGAAAGAGGGAUAUACUCACCGGUUAGCCAGUCUCAUUCAUAACUAUUAAUCAUGUUGGAUCGAGUAGGAUCUAUUACAUGAUCUUUUUAGACUCCAUUCGUUUCGCCAAAAAAUAGUAUCAAGAGUGUAGCUAGCACAUAAAUCUCGGCAUUAUCCUGCAUGUCCGAAAGGUUCAUUAAGAAGUUCACCCAACAUAGAGAAAAAAACACCAGGUGCUGCAUAAAGGUAUGCUUUCAUGUGGUUGAUGGAGAUGGCACCAUGAAGAGGGUAGCCAAUGUAAAAAGGGACCCAAUUAAGAAAGCUAACCAAUCCAAUGCAUUUUAUGUAAUGCAAAUACUGAAAGCCAAAAUCUUUUGGAAAAAUGUAAAUUAUGUUUGGUAAAAAUUCUUAAUUUUUUUUUUUUGGAUUCAAGUAAUGUUUGGCGAAAAAACCAUGGCGAUGGGCUUUAGAUGUAUUUUAUAUAUUUUCUUAUUAAAGAAGAACUUAAACCCUUCACCAAAGCUAGCAAAGGGCUACGACCGCUGGUGAGACAGAUCUGGUCCGACAGUCGUCAGUUGAGGCAACCCUUGCUGGCCCUUCGGCGGCCAAAUUUGGCCUUGCCGACUACCCUCGUGCAAAGAAGAUGAACAGUUACAAGAAGGCGCAAAACUAAAAAACUAAAGAAUCUGUGAGCGUAAUUUUGAACAGAAAUUUUUUUUUCUAAAAUAGGGGAAAACAUAUUCAUUACUUACUCUCUCUUAUCUCACACCCCUCCUCUUCUUUCUUUUUUUAAAAAUUCUAAUUUUUAAUAUUUUCUUUUUCUUUUUCAUUUUUUCUCUUUAAAAAAAAAGAUUUUCUAACUCAUUUUCAAGUUUCAGGUGAACCGGUAAAUAUAUCCCCUAACCAAAGUGAAUGAAGGAAUCUCUUUGGCCUCAUGUGACCUCGUAGGUUUAUUACUUAUAUGGACAUCAUUGUCUUUUGGUGGGUCUGCAUUCUCAGGCCUUUUCGGGUGACCAGAAUUUGACCCUACCAGUUAGAAAAUCAACGUUUUUGAUGCCCUCGAUCACUUGAGCUCAUUCAAGGAAUAAUUUUAUGUGGUGGAGGAUUGAUGGUCAAGGGCAGAGGCUUGAACAAGAUGCGACUGUUACAAGACAUUUUAAGAUGGCGAAAGAGCAUACAUUAAUCACCUCACAUUGAAGAGACUGUAGCUAUUCUAACCACAAGCGGACCUAACGGGCAACAUGUAUUUUCUAUAUAAUAAAUUCAGAUGAAAGUUCUAUAUUAAGCCUACUCAAAUGACAUGAUUCUAGAUGUGCCUUUUCUUUGUUUGGUCAACUUCAUUAGAGAUGAAGAUUUUUGAUGCUCAGGAUAGAUUUAAGUGGCUGUAAAUAAGGGUGCAUUUGGUUCAGCUUUCUCAAUAGACUUUCAGCUUCUAAGGAACACUGGGAAAAUGUUGGAGCAUUUAACAAGUAUUUGAAAUAACAUUCAGUCAAAUGUUGGCAUUGUAAAUGCUAAAGGCCUAAUGUUACUCCCACCUAGCAUUUGUGGAAUGUUGAAACUAGAAUUAAAAUAUUUUUUUCCUUUCAAAACUACGAUCACAAAUUCUUUAGUUUUUUAGUUUUAUGCCUUCUUGUAACUGUUCAUCUUCUUUGCAUGAGGGUAGUCAGCAAGGCCAAAUUUGGCCGAUGAAGGGCCAGCAAGGGUUGCCUCAACUGACGACUGCCGAACCAGAUCUGUCUUACCAGCGGUCGUAGCCCUUUGCCGACUCCGGUGAAGGGUUUGAGUUCUUCUUUAAUAAUAAAAUAUAUAAAUUACAUCUAAAGCCCAUCUUCAUAGUUUUUUCGCCAAACACUACUUGAAUCCAAAAUUUUUUUCUAAAGAAUUUUUACCAUAUAUAAUUUACAUUUUUCCAAAAGAUUUUGGCUUUCAGUAUUUGUAUUACAUAAAAUGCAUUGGAUUGGUUAGCUUUCUUAAUUGGGUCCCUUUUUACAGUGGCUACCCUCUUCAUGGUGCCAUCUCCAUCAACCACGUGAAAGCGCACCUUUAUGCAGCACCUGGUGUUUAUUUCUCUAUGUUGAGUGAACUUCUUAAUGAACCUUAGCCGACAGCUAGCAGAGUCAGAUUUGUCUCACCAACAGUCAGUUUGAGUUCUUUUUCAAUAAAAAAAAUGUAUAAAAUAAAUUCAAAGUCCAUGGCAAUUUUUUUUUCGCUAAACACUACUUGAAUCAAAGUUCCUCUAUAAAGAAUUUUUAUCAAAUACAAUUUAUAUUUCUUUAAAGGAUUUUAGCUUUCAAUAUUUGCAUUACACUUAAAGUUCAACUAAACCUAUCCUAAAAUGCAUUCUACUGGUUAGCUUUCUUAACUAGGUCCGCUUUUAUGGUGGCUACCCUCUUCAUGAUGCCAUCUACCCUCUUUUUUCUGCACCUGGUGUUGUUUUUUAUUAUGUCGGGUGAACUUCUUAAUGAAGUUUUCGGACAUGCAGGAUAACGACAGAUCUAUGUACUAGCUACACCCUCGUCAAUAUGUUAGUCAUAAUUCAUGCUGGUCCCCGUUCUAGAAAUUUAUAAGGAGCCGUAUCUUAUUGAGGCUUGAGCCUUUGAUGAUUAAUCUCUGUCCAGGUUUAAAGUGUUAGUAAUAUAUUUAUGCGGACGUUACUUAUGAUCGUGCAAUUCAUGUCAAUUUGAAAGGGCAAGAAAAAAUAAACUAAGAAUAAUAAAGGACGACAAGAAUUUAUGUGAUUUAAUAUUGAGUGUUGAUAUCUACAUUUACAGAAAGAGUUAAUCAUAAAUAAUCCAUUAAAAAUCGAAGAAUUAGAGUUAUAAAUGUUCACACAGUCAAGUAUUUUUCAUAUUUAAAUUGAACCUAAAUAAAAUAAGCAAAGGCACAAUUCCAUCGGGUGUUACGAGCUCUGUCCCCGGCCACAUGGGUGAUCUCUCCGCGCAGCCAUUUCUUAGCGGCGCAACUCUAAGGAAGUUACUGUGCGGCCAUCAAAUCCCUUUCUUACCGUGUGGCUGCGACUCUCGAUGGAGGAGCACGCUUGCGGCCGGACUUGAAAGAGAAAGGAGCGACCUGGGGUUUCGGCCAGAGAUCUUCAUAUGUUUUACUUUGUUUUUGUCUUCUCUCAUAAAGACCUUUUCACCCCCACGCAAUAGAUAUAAUAUUAGAAUAAUGUGAGCCCCCUCUGUCAUGUCAUGGCAGAGGACCUCUUUCCUCUCAUUCGUUCCGACCUUCAGUAAAGAUGAGUACAACCCUUGAAUUUUAUUGUGCUGCCAAACUUGACAUUUAUCCAACCGAGUCUAAUCUCAUGAUUCAAAUUUGAGAUAUAAUUUAACAUAAAGUAUAAUAUAUUACUGAUGCAAUUUAGUUGUUGUAUGUGUGAACUAUGAGCGCAGUAUACUAGCUCUUAAUAUCCUAGAAUACCUAGUAAGAACGAAUUUAAACCGUUUGAUCAUAGAAACGACAUAAUAAGAAUAAUAAAAGAAAUCUGAAUAAAAAAAGUAAGGGAAAGAAAUAGUAAUGAAUCUUUAACUCUAGCAUUUAGUACCACUUUGAGGCUGAAAAUAUGAUUGAUAGUUUUAAAUGUGUAAUUAUUAUAAGACUAGCCAUUAUAUAUAUAUAUAUAUAUAUAUAUAUAUAUAUAUAAUGCAUAUAUCAUCAUAUCAAAUUUUCUUCUCCGAAUAAAAAUCUCAAUCAUUUGUUUGUUUUUUUAAGUUACCACGACAAGACUUACGUAACUAACCACACUCUCUUUUAUCAAUUACUAAUAAUUCACAGCCGUAUCUGCUUGAGUCUUUGACGAUUAAUCUUUGUCCACGUCAAAAGUGUUAUAGUUUAUUGGUGCACAAGUCACUCAUGAUGGUGCGAUUUACGUCAAUAUGAAAAGCCAAAGAAAAUAAAUAAAGAAUAAUAAAGAACGUCAAGAAUUUACGUGAUUCAAUAUUGGGUGUCGACACUUACAUUUAUGGACUGUAAAUAAUUUAAUAAAAAUGGAAGAAUUCAAGUUACAAUCCCUUCCAAACUUGAGUAUUUUUCACACCUACAUCAAAUCGAAAUCCAAAAUAUUCAUAAUUAAAUAAUUCAAAUGGAUAUAAUACUCAAGGCACAAUUCCGUCGGAUGUUCAGGCUUUGCCACGACCAUGUACAUGCUAUCUCCGUGCGGCCAUUUCUUAACCGCGCGUCUCUCAAGGAGAAAGGGACGAGCAGGAGAUUCAGCCGAAAUGGCGGUGCGUCUCUCAAGGAACUUUAAUGUGUGGCCAUCACUUCCCUUGUUAAUGGAUGGCUCCGACUCCCGCCGGAGGAGCCCACUUGCGGCUGGACUUCAAGGAGAAAGGGAUGAGCAGGAGAUUCAGCCGAAAUGGCGGCGCGUCUCUCAAGGAACUUUAAUGUGUGGCCAUCACUUCCCUUGUUAAUGGGUGGCUCCGAUUCCCGCCGGAGGAGCCCACUUGCGGCUGGACUUCAAGGAGAAAGGGACGAGUAGGAGAUUCAGCCGAAAUGGCGGCGCGUCUCUCAAGGAACUUUAAUGUGUGGCCAUCACUUCCCUUGUUAAUGGGUGGCUCCGACUCCCGCCGGAGGAGCCCACUUGCGGCUGGACUUCAAGGAGAAAGGGAUGAGCAGGAGAUUCAGCCGAAAUGGCGGCGUGUCUCUCAAGGAACUUUAAUGUGUGGCCAUCACUUCCCUUGUUAAUGGGUGGCUCCGACUCCCGCUGGAGGAGCCCACUUGCGGCUGGACUUCAAGGAGAAAGAGAUGAGCAAGAGAUUCAGUCGAAAUGGCAGCGCGUCUCUCAAGGAACUUUAAUGUGUGGCCAUCACUUCCCUUGUCAAUGGGUGGCUCCGACUCCCGCCGGAGGAGCCCACUUGCGGCUGGACUUCAAGGAGAAAGGGAUGAGCAGGAGAUUCAGCCGAAAUGGCGGCGCGUCUCUUAAGGAACUUUAAUGUGUGGCCAUCACUUCCCUUGUCAAUGGGUGGCUCCGACUCCCACCGGAGGAGCCCACUUGCGGCUGGACUUCAAGGAGAAAGGGACGAGCAGGAGAUUCAACUGAAAACAUGACCUAUGUAUGUUUCACUUUGUUUUUGUCUUCUCUCGUAAAGACCUUUUUCAACCCAGGCGAGUCCAACUCUUGAAUUUUAUUGUGCUGUCAAAUUUGACAUUUACCUAACUGGGUCAAGUUAAAUAAAUAGUUCAAAUUCAAGACAUGAUUUAAAAAAAUAAUAAAUUAUUACUGCUGCAAUUUAGUUAAUGUAUGCGUGAACCAUAGGCAUAGUAUAAGCAUAGUAUAUUGAAUUCUCCUCAGUCCAUCAUCGGCUUGAUCAUAUGAGGAAUUGGUCAAAAAACUUGGGCGAAAAGAGCUUGAAACGUCAAUCAGGACUACAGCUACCAGUCGAGGACUCCUUGUAGGCCCGUUUUGUUCCCACUUCAAUAGACAUAUAAAGCAAUCCGCAAUUAGUAAAGACUUUGAAAUUUUGAAUCCGACGUGUGAAUUGACCCGGUAAAAAUAACACAUAACAUCAAUAUGAUAAAUGACGAGCACCCAAAUGUCAAACUAAAUUAAAUAUAGAAAUUGAUUGAUGUAUUACUCAUGAAAUGAUACAGAACCCUUGUGAUUUGGGAAUGACAAAAUAAGAAUAAUAAAAGAAAUGUGAAUUAAAAAAAAAGUAAGGAAAGGAAAUAGUAAUGAAUCUCUAAUUCUAGCAUUUAGUAUCACUCUGAGGCUGAAAAUAUGAUUCACAAUCUUAAAUGUGUAAAUUAUUAUAAGACUUGCCAAAUUACAUAUAUAAGAAAUGAAUAUCCCAUCAUAUCAAAUUUUCUUCUUUGGAUAAAAUCCUCGAUUGUUUGUCUGUUUAUGAGAUUACCAUGUGUAACGUCUACUCAACCAUUUCCAUUAACCAUCUUUCAUUUUCACCUAACCCCUCAUGAAAAGAAAAUAUACUAUGACAGUUUUAUUUCGAACUUUGAUAUCCUUCCUCUUCAUUCCAUGCUACCGAACACGAUAAAUUAAAGGAAUACGACUUCAUUCUCAUUAGAAAAAAACUAGAUUUACUAUAGCUGAAAAUUGAUUUGUUAAAUAAUAUGUCACACUAUUUGUUUGUUGUUUGAGGCCCACUUGUUUAAAGGAUCACUUAUAAUCCUACACAUUCUUUAAUAAAUUUAUUUUAUAACAUAUUUUUAUUAAAUCUAGCAUUCUUUUUCCAUUGAAAUCUGGUCACAGUUUGGAAUACCAAAUAAGGCUUAAAUUGUUCUCUAUGGCACCCACUUCUUAUGCUUUCAACACGGCUCCACAAAAAUCUCUAGGAUUCUAACAAGUUACGUGCAAAAUGGACUUCAAAAUUGAUUGUUAGUAAGUGCUAACUGAGUUGCUUGGUUUGCCCAAGCGCUAAGCAGGCCAUCUGCUUGCAUUCUCCGAGAGUCCGUCUCUGCCUUCAAGUCUCCACAAACACGUAGAACAUCACAAUAAUCAUAAACUUGUGCCUAUAUCGAAUUCAGUGGGAAACUUCAAGCAAUAAUCAAAUAGUUUGUUUAUUUGCAUCUUCUUUUUCCUUCUCAAAAGCCAUACUGCUGUUAAGACCAAAUGCAAAGCAGACAAGAGAGGGUAGAUUGGACACUUGUGGUUUGGUUUAGACAACGAGGGGAAGAUGCCCUCAUGGAAAUUUUUCCAAUUAGAAUCUUAUUUCUUCUCGCUUAAAAGCGUGGUGGAGGAUAGAAGCUUUCUGUUUGCAAACUUUUUGAUCGUCUGAUCUAGUGAUUAGUUAAGGUAGGUAAAUGAGGCAUCUCGGCAUUUUAACAGCAAAUCAAUAGCCAUGUUGGCGUGUCCGUUAAUUUUUUCUAACUGCAGGAUCAAUUUAAAUGAAAAGGUAUAUAGUCCAAAAAUCCAAUUAAAAAAAAUGAAAUUCCAAAAGCGGAUUACUUUUGCAAAAGUAUGAGGAGUGCUGGGGCACAGUUUGAGGAGUACUGUUGCAAAAGUAUAUAGUCUAGGAAUACAAUAAGACAAAACAGACGUUCCAAAAGGUGAUUACUUUUGCAAAAGUUUGAGGAGUACCGGUGCCUCCACCACUUUUUAUUGCUUCGAUAGCUCCGUUUGCCGGUGCAAUCUAAUAAACGUAAAAAUUUUCAAGGUGUUCACUUGGAAAGUGAAUCAGUUUAUUUUUCUCCAUCACUAAACCUCUUGCUGAUGAGUUAUACAAAUGGCAAUCUCUUACAUUAUGUUUUACUUAAAUUUGCUUGUAGGUGAUGUUCAUGUUAAUAUAAUCUACCAAUCUGAUGUUUGGUUCAAGGACAAGGAAACAACAACCCAUUCUAUGUUGGUAUUUCAAGAAUGACCAUGACAAUCCAUCCCAAUUGUUGUGUAAGUACUUCUAAAAUUAAGCAAAAAUUCGGAUAUGUUGCUAAUGUAAAAGUAACUUUAAAUAAUCAUCUCGGCACCCUUCCACUCUUUAUGAUAUUCUCAUUUGGGGUGUAAGUUUUGGUGCCGGGAUCUUCUGUAUAUCUGGCCUUUCCUUAAUAUAUUUAUUACCUUUCACAAAAAAAAAAGUAACUUUAAAUAAGCGAUUUCAACCAUCCUUGAUUUGAGAGUUUUAACUUCUCAUAUCAUCAAAUCAAGAAUGGAUAAUACUAUUUUUAGAAAAAAAAAAUUAUAUUGGUUAUGCAUUGUAUUACUUCUAUAAAAUUAAGUAAUGAUUCUGAUUGCUUUGCUAGAGUAAGUUACUUAUGGAGUUCCUAAUUCUCAACACUCGACCAAAGCUGCAUCAGUAAAAGGGGACCUCCGAGCAUCACCUAUAUGGUGUCACCGCACAUUCAUUCCCCCUUCAUACUAUAAUAAUUAUAAAAUGUUGUGAUAAAAUGAGCAAUUGAACAAUAAAAUAGACAGAAGAAGAAAAUAAAUCGGACACCGGAUUUACGUGGUUCGAUCGUAAAGACCUACAUCCACGGGGAGAGCAGCAGCGAAUUUCACUAUAGAUCAAACAAUACAAGGAGAUUACACACUUGAGUCACUCAAACACUCUCUCGAUGUUUCCCAAGCCCCAAUUACACCCAAUAACCCACGCAGUGUUUAGCCCUGAAAUUCCUCAAGAAAUAAUCUCUUAAUCUCAUGAAGGAAUUACACGCAAAUCUUACCACAAAAUUUAAUUGGCUUGAACACUAAAUCUUCUUGGAUGUAAUUCACGGACAAGAACGACAAAGAAAAUCCCUCCCAAGCAAUCGAUGACAAGACGGCGCUUCAAGACCAAUUCUUCAUGAUCAACCUUCUUCCAUCCAUGACCACAAGUCUAUAUAUAUAUAUAUAAGUGAGACCCUUAUUCUUUUGCCAACUUUUCAUAGGAUUUUGUUUCCUAACUUGCUUAUUUUAACCAAAAUAUAUCUCUAUAUAUUUUAAAUAGAAUCCAAAUCCAAGUGAAAGUUGGAUUUUUCUAUUUCAGUGGCCAAACUCUCCAACGCAGAUUCGAAUUUUGAGAAGUUGAUCUUUGGAUCUUUUUUGCUCGAUUUCGAAUGUCCGCAACAUAUCCAAUUCGGAAUAUUCGGAAUCUCACAUUGGGCUUAAACUCGAGACAUAUUUUAACAUAAAAGAUCCUUCUUCAUCAUUGGCAUCGGUGCACCAUUUUCUCGGCUCUCUAGAGAGAGAGAGAGAGAGAGAGAGAGAGUCGAUGAUCAUGGACGAGUCCAUGUUCUUUGGCUCCAGAUAGUCGGACGAGCAGAGGAAGCGCUGCAGCCACGCGGAUAAGUUCGAAAGUCGAUGGACCCUACUGCUAAGAAUUCAGGCUUUGCUAGCCAUCACUGCUUCAAUGUUAGUCUUUCUUGGGGUCUUCGGGUUGUUCAGGCGAUGCUGUGGCAAUCGUGCAUUAGCAUUGGUCACAAUCGUGGCUUAUGGCCUUCCACUGCUAUCAUCGCAUACACGCUGGGCCUUAUCCAAAGCACUCCUUUCUGCGGUUCGCAUUUCCCCGUGUGGGCGGAUUAUCUGGCGGUGGAAGUCAUUUAAUGACUCCGCUGCUAAAUGUUGACAAGUUGGAUGAUCGCUUCAUACUUGACCCAGUCAUAGUCAACAUUGUGCACAGUGUUUCUUUCCACCAUUCUACUCGUGAAAGUGACAAAAGAGCACAAACUUGAAUGUUGGUAAGUAAUUUUGUGAUGGAGAAGAAAUACAAGUCAAUAGCAGACUACGUGAGCACUGAGCACUGAGUACCACGAAGGGAUUCAAGCGAGAUCCUAACCCACAUAGUGGCAUAUUUUUUCUAAUAAUUUAGGAUAUGUUGCAAGCAUAUUGCCUGAAAGAUCCAAUCAUUCAAUGUUGGACAAAAUUUUAGGUAGCCAAUAGGGAACUUCAUUUGAGAUGCUAGCAUUUAUCAUAUACAAUAUUGAAAUGUUCCUUUGAGUUCGAUGCUAACUUAGGAAUCUAGGUCCCACUCUGUAAUUGGACGUGAAAAGCACUUGAAUUUGGAAAGGAGGAGCUGUACAAAAUAAACAUCAACAUAGGGUUAUAUUAACUAGUAAGUGCAAAAUCAAGGCCACGGGGUGGGCCCCAACCAAGAUAGGUAGAUUUUAUCAGUUUGGUUAUUUUCUUUUUCUUUUUUUUUUCUUUCUCAAAAGCCAUUUAGCUAUGAAGACUAAAGUUAAGGCAGACAAGAGAGGUAAUGUAAACGCUCAUUGUUUGGUUUAGAAAUUGUCUAAAUAGAAUCCUUUUUCCUUUCGCUUAAAGAGAGUUGGAGGAUAGAAGCUCCCUUUUUGCAAACUACUCGAUCAUCUGAUCUAGUGGUAAGUUAGAUAAAUGAGGCAUAAGACGUAACCGUCACUUCGACAUAGGAUGCAAGCACGGCACUUAACAUCAUAGUGAUCGCCGUUUAUUUUUCUAACGGUAGGAUCAAUAUGAAAGAAAAAAAUACGUAGUUCAAGAAUUCGAUUGGGCAAAAAAGAAACUCAAGAUAUCGAUUAAGUUUAGAGGGUAAGUACUUUUAUUGCUUUAUUUUUACUUUUUUUAAUCCAAACUUUCUUUUUUACUUUGAUAGCUCCAUUUGCAGGUACAAUCAAAUAAACGAAAUUUUUUUCAAGGUAUUCACUUCGGAAAUAAAUCAUUUUGGGCCUUGUUUUUCUCCAUCACUAAACCUUUGAAUGAUGAGUUAUAAAUAUGGGCCUCUGUUAAAUUUUUUUCAGUUAAUUUUGCAUAUGACGAUGUCCAUGUUAAUAUAAUUUAUCGGUCAAAGGUUUGGUUUGAGGACAAGAAAAAUAUGACCCAUUCUUUAUUGGUUUUUCAAGAAUUAUCACAACAAUCAAUCCCAAUUUUUGUGUAGGUGCUUUAAAAUUAAGCAAAAUUAGGGCAUAUAUUGUCAGUGAAAAGAUAAAUUUAAACAAUGGGUCUCAACAAUCCUUAAUCCAAAAGAUUUAAUUUCUCAUUCUCUUACUUUUAUCAAAUCAAGGAUGGAUAAAACUCUGUAGAAAAAAAAAAUCAUACCACCGAUGUAUUCUAUAAUUACACUAAAAUUAAUUGGUGGUUGUGACUACUUAGCUAAAGUAGUUUACUUCAGGAGUUCCUAAUCCUUGCCCCUCAGCCAAAGCUGCAUCAGUAAAAGGGGACCAUAGAGCAUCACCUAUAUGAUUUCAUCGCACAUUCAUUCCCUCUUCACACUAUAAUAAGUAUCAAAGAUCCUAAUUCUCGGCGCUCGGCCCCUGCAUCAAUUAAAAGGGACCUCAGAGCAUAACCGAUAUGGUUUCCCCGCAUGUUCGUCCCCUCUUCACAAAAAAAGAAGUAUAAAGAUCCUUCCUCUUCUUCAUCAACAUGUGCACAUUAUUAGCAGAAGGUUAUAUAAUAGAAAAGAAACAAAAAGCAGAGAUGGAAAGUCUUGCUCACAAGUUCGGGGCGAAGCUGAAGGAGUGCUGCCAUCGGAUGACUUUCGAAGAUAGGAAGACCCAACUGGAAAAAAUUGGAAAAACGUUUAGAAAAAUCACCUUAAUUGAUUCCAUUAGAUUUUUCAGUCCUGAAUCAAUUUUGGAAUUUUCUUUUCAAAUAGACUUCUCUUAAUCUUGAAUAAAAUUUAAUAAUCCUUAAAAAAAUUUGAAACUCAAUUGAAUAAGCUCUUAGAGUUUUACAAUAGAAAUAUAUUUUGUGUUGUUUUCUUUCUAGAGACGAUGCUAAGUCUUGUGCAUUUCAAUUUGAUUAUACUUGAUUGCGUAAUUUACACACAUUGGUUAUUAUUUUCUCUUUUGCAUGGGUAGGGUUUCAAUAAAAACAUUGCAUGGACACUUAGCUGAUUAACCUUAAAAUAGAUGAAAAGACUGCAUGAAAAACAUUUUAAUUGACAAUACAAUCAAAGUUUAUGUACUAAAAGGGCAUUUGUUGUAUAAUUAGUGUAAUCAAUGCCCCAAAUCCGAAAUCUUCGAUUCCAUAGAAAUUGAGAUGACACUUCCACAUUUCAAUAGGUGUCUAGUUGACCUUAACUGGCCAGUGGCGAGUCUUCCCACAGAAUUCUGAUAGGGUUAAUGCAAACGUAUUAUGAAAAAUCCAACAUCACAUGAGGUAUGGGUUUGGGAGAACCCGUGCUUGAAAUUGAUAAACUAUCUUAGAUUACUUAUCAGAUGAUGUGUUCGAGUUGUAACAACCCGGGCCCCACUGUGUAAUAUUGUCCGCUUUGGACAUUGAGUUCUCACGGCUUUAAAACGCGUCAUGCAGGGACAGAGGUGCGGCCCACUGGCCCGCCCUCUCCCAAGCCAUAAUAUUGUCCGCUUUGGAGGCAUGGGCCCUAGCCCAUCCUCCCUCACAACUUUGUUUUCAAUGCAACGGAAGCAUACGUGAAAUGCGUCACACAAAUUAGAGGAGCCUAAACCUUAUAAACUAGUCCCAGGACUCCCCCUUAAGCGAUGUGGGACAGGAGACGCACCCCCGCUCUUGGGCUGUCACAUUCUCCCCCCUUGGGAGCACAGCGUCCUCGUUGUGGCCCCACACGCGGUCGGGAGUCGGCUCUGAUAUUAUUUGUAAUGACUCGGGCUCCACUGUGUAAUAUUGUCUGCUUUGGACAUUGAGUCAUCACGGCUUUAAAACGCGUCAUGCAGAGAUAGAGGCGCGGCCCAUUGGUCCGCCCUCUCGCAAGCCAUAAUAUUGUCCACUUUGGAGGCAUGGGCCCUAGCCCAUCCUCCCUCACGGCUUUGUUUUCAGCGCAACGGAAGCGUACGUGAAACGCGUCACACAGAUUAGAGGGACCUAAACCUUAUAAACUAGCCCCAUGACUCCCCCCCCAAGCGAUGUGGGACUAGAGAUGCACCCCCGCUCUUGGGCCGUCGCAUGAGUUGUCUUCUAAGGAUGCCAAUUUGGACUGUCUUUCAAGUAAAUAACUCUAAACUUAUUUAAGGUAGGUCACGACAAAAAUUUUGACUCAUUCUUUUAUAAUGUUCAAUAGAAAUGAGGGAGGGCUAAAAUGACAUAUUGAUAUCUAGGAUCAAUAAUUGAAGAGGAAAACACAAAUCUAUGAUUUGACAUCCAAGAUGAAUGAUUAAAGAGGAAACAUGAACACAUGAUUGUGAUGGUGUGUUCGAGCCAUCUUCUAGGGUUGUCAAUUUGGACCGUCUUUCAAGUAAAUACCUCUAAAUCUAUUCCCUUGAGGGCAGCCCCUUGAGGGUAGGUCGCGACAAGAAUUUUGGCACAAUUUUUUAUAAUGUUUAAAAGAAAUGAGAGAGGACUAAAAUGACAUAUUGACAUCCAGUGUGACAUCCUCGAAUUUGACCCCUAUCCUAGACUCAAGGAAUGGUCUAAAGCUUCGAUGUGCCCUUAACAGGAAUAGACUAUGGAUUGAUUUAAGUAUCAUUUAUAAGUCAACUAUAUGAUUGGGAGAGGUAAUUGUGGAUCAAGAAAUGCACUCAACUAGAGUACUUGACCAUGGAACGAUUGCUCGACCAUAAGAAUUGACGCAAGACGACCUUACAUCGGCACGGAUCAAUGAAUGAAUGAUUAUAGAUUGACUCGACCUAAGUAUAUAUAUAGCCAGAUUGCGAGUGAUUCCGCACGGUCAUUAUACUAAUCCCGAACGACCCUAAGUCAAUUCUAAGUGACCGUGAACCGAAGUAAGUAAAUCAAUUCUCGCUCGGUUACAUGACAACCGAGGAUUAUCCAUGGAUCGAUUAGGCUCAAAUGUGGAUUGGUUUGGAAUCAAUCAUGGGUUGUGCAAGCGAUACCCCAAGAGAACCCCCCCCCCCCAAUUCAUAUAGGCCCCGUUAAAGCCAUUUCUAAUUGAAUUUAGCCAUGAACCUCAGUCUAGUUAGGGGUGUCCUUCGUGGAUAAUUAGGAAACACCCCUAAUCAGUUUAACCAAUGUUUAAUCCCACGAAUAGUUUAUGGCACCCCAACCUUUGGUCUUGGAAAAGUGGCUCAACCAUUGGAAGCCCAAGUUUGUCGAGUCCAAACCCAAGCUCUGUGUGCAUGAAUAGUAACCUAGCCUCUAGAAGCCUAAUUUUAGGCUUAUCUUCAAAGUCUUAGUUCAUUAAUGCCCUCUAGAAGCAAUUAUUACAAGAAACCAAGACUUUGGUCUUGCAAGAAGAUUUGCCACCUUUGGUUUCUCAAAUUCCACUUUGAUUCCAGUUUUCGAAAUUCCUGGAUCCUCACUGUUUUCCGAUUUUAUAGAAUUUCUUGUGAUUUGAAUUUGGAGAAACUUCCUUCAUAAAAUUUAUUCAAAACAUCUUGAUGUAUAAUAUACUUUAAUUUCAUAUUUUUCUGAGGUGAGAUGAUUGGUAAAAAAAGCCUAUUCUUUUACCCUGUGAAAACUGCCCAGUGCAUUAAAAACGUUAACCUAUUUAUCUUCUCAAUUUUUUAUAAAAACUUUCCUUUGGAAUCUGAACAUUAUACCUUCACAAAAUAUGUAGAGGAUAUCCAUUUCUACAAUAUACUAAAAUUUCAAAGUGUUUUAUGAAUAUUUGGAUGUCAAAAUGAAUUUUCUUCUGCGUUAGUUGAAUCUGUCCGACGAACGAAAUGUUGGGUUGUCUUUGGUAAUUUUCUGCUCUUUAUAAAAAAAAAAAUGAUUUAGGCUUGUCUUCCUUCAUGAAAAAUUUUAUUUAAGAUCUUUUCUACAACAUAUUAAACUUUCUUAAUUUUUCGAAUCCGUUUGAUAAUGUAAUGACAUUUAUUUCAAAAAUUGAUUGAAAUUGUUCUUUACAUUGGAGGGGGAAGGCCACACGCCCAAGCUUGGAGGACAAGUUUAGGCAAUUACAUGGUUGAGAUCAACCCUUGCUCCCCAAGCUUAGACUAUUGGAUGUCCAAGAUUGCUCCUUGCUCCCCUAGUUUAGUCAACUGUGUGCUCUCCAAGUUUAGUCAAUUGUAUGAUGGAGAUUCACUUUUGCUCUCUAAGCCAAGGGGGUAAGUACAUUAGAAGUGCCAAAAGUUGUGUACGGCGCUCACUUUAGUGCCAAAAGUUUCUUUCGGGUUACUAAAGUGCUACUUUUAUAUAAUAAUAAAAAAACGAUCAUUUAAGUGUCAACUCCGGUUCGGACUGCUGGAAAUCCGACGUGGUUAUAUUUUAUUAAUUUCUCAAUCCUACAUGGCUCACCAGUGUGCCUAGUCAGCAUAUAACCCUUAAACGACGUUGUCCAAAAGUUAUAAAUAGUGACCAUUUAAGUGCCAAAUUUUAUUAAAAGUGAUCAUUUAAGUGCCAAAAUUUUGCCAAGUCAUAUUAAAAUUUUAAUUAUAAAUGACACGUAAUCAGUUUGGCCAGAAUUUCUUGCCGUUGACACUAAAGUGACCGUUUUUCCUCUGAUUUAGCACUUAAGUGAGCUAGCGAAAACUUUUGGUACUAAAGUGAGCGUCGUACACAACUUUUGGCACUUCUAGUAUACUUAUCCCCCAAGCCAAGAAGCCAUCAGGAGCAUAGUUCUAUAAAUUAGCCUUGCAUUUGAUGCUUUCAAGACCCACUUCUCUCCCUUUCAUUCAUUCUUCUCCAAGUUCUUCCUUUUUCUCUCAUUUCUCUCCCUUUCUCCCCCUUGCCGACCCCCUCACUCUCUAUCUCUCUCUCUCUCUCUUUCCCUUUGGUUUGCUACCAUCCUACCGCCGCUGCACUAUCGUCUUCAUGCCGUCUCGUUGCCACCUUGCUGUCCACCGUCCAGCACCACCGACCACCCCUCAUCCUUAUCUUGGUUGUUUGUAAGUAAGUCCCCUAAAUGCUGGCUAGGCCGUUGUGUUACAUUGCUUGGAUUUAUGUUGAUUUUACUUGUAUUAGGAGUAGGAUCAAGCUAUCCUAGAGAGGUUAGGACCAUGGGUUAAUUUGUAUGGUUUGCUCAUAAGUUUGCUUGCAUUAUGAGGUUUGAGGUAGACAAGGAAAGUUUAGUUAUUGCUAAGGUUGCUUGAUUUGAUACUGUUAUUGGAAAUGACUUGUUGAUGUUCAUACUUGAAUUUGGGUUUGAGAAAGCAUUGUUCUAAUAUGAAAUCUUGUUAUGUUAUAACUUGGGAUGAGUUAUUUGGAGAUCUUGUGAUAUUUUUGGGCGAUGUGCUUGUUCUAUAUGAUGUUGUUUGUUGACACCUAGAUUUUGACGGUCCGUUUAGUCAUUUAUCGCAUUAAAAUUAGGGUUUAAUCAAUAAUUAAUUAAUUGCAUAGCAUUUAGUUGUAGGUGCAUUUAUUUUUUAUUUGCAUUUACUGGACCGGUGGUGGAUGGGUUGAAUCGGUGGUUUUGAAUUUUAAAUUAAUAGGCCGGGCUAGGCCCAUGAAAGGAUAAAAUUAACCCAAGCCCGUCGUUAUGUUUAAUUAAUUAUCUUGUGAAAAUUUAAGAUUUGAUGCGAUAUUAUGAUGAUUUUUGGAAAUUAAAAAAUCGCACUGUAAUCUUAAAGUUGGGAAUAUUAAGGAGGAUAAGGAAUAUUCUAAAAUAUUUUGUUGCGGAUGGAUAUCUCGAAAGAUUUUAGAAUUGGAAAUGGAGUUUUAUCUAAAGUGAAUUAUUUGAAAAAUCUUCACAAAAAAUUUCCAGUUUAUCUUCAAUGGCUGAAUCAGCAUAUAAAAUCUUCAAUGGUCGAGCGAGUCAGCUUGGAAGAUUUUAAUAGAUGAUUUCAAUGGCCGAGUGAGUCAGCAUACACGAUAAUCUCGAAAGAUGAUCUUCAGCGAUUGAGUUGUUAUGCAAAUCUUCGUAGGUUGAGCAGACUAAGUUUUCACUCUAUAAAUAGGGGUGGCCUUCUCUUCGUCCGGGGAGAGCUUCUCUUGGAUAAAAAAAAUCAGAAAAAGUGGAGAGAAGAGAGAGGAGCUUCUUUGGAAAAAAUUCAGAAAAAGGCCAAAAGGGAAACCGUCCGUAGAGGUGUGUUGAAAAAAAGAAAGAAAAGUACAAUUGGCAGGGGGUGAGGAGACGUUUACUGUUCAUCGUCUUCCUCACCCUUGCCGCCUGAGUUUGCAACCGGACGCCAUCCCGACGGUCGCCGGCGCCGGCUCCUCUCCGCUCGUUCCCCGCGAAGUCACCGAUUUGCUGCCGGAGCUGAAAAUCAAAACCUCCUCCGCCCGAGCCCNNNNNNNNNNNNNNNNNNNNNNNNNNNNNNNNNNNNNNNNNNNNNNNNNNNNNNNNNNNNNNNNNNNNNNNNNNNNNNNNNNNNNNNNNNNNNNNNNNNNNNNNNNNNNNNNNNNNNNNNNNNNNNNNNNNNNNNNNNNNNNNNNNNNNNNNNNNNNNNNNNNNNNNNNNNNNNNNNNNNNNNNNNNNNNNNNNNNNNNNNNNNNNNNNNNNNNNNNNNNNNNNNNNNNNNNNNNNNNNNNNNNNNNNNNNNNNNNNNNNNNNNNNNNNNNNNNNNNNNNNNNNNNNNNNNNNNNNNNNNNNNNNNNNNNNNNNNNNNNNNNNNNNNNNNNNNNNNNNNNNNNNNNNNNNNNNNNNNNNNNNNNNNNNNNNNNNNNNNNNNNNNNNNNNNNNNNNNNNNNNNNNNNNNNNNNNNNNNNNNNNNNNNNNNNNNNNNNNNNNNNNNNNNNNNNNNNNNNNNNNNNNNNNNNNNNNNNNNNNNNNNNNNNNNNNNNNNNNNNNNNNNNNNNNNNNNNNNNNNNNNNNNNNNNNNNNNNNNNNNNNNNNNNNNNNNNNNNNNNNNNNNNNNNNNNNNNNNNNNNNNNNNNNNNNNNNNNNNNNNNNNNNNNNNNNNNNNNNNNNNNNNNNNNNNNNNNNNNNNNNNNNNNNNNNNNNNNNNNNNNNNNNNNNNNNNNNNNNNNNNNNNNNNNNNNNNNNNNNNNNNNNNNNNNNNNNNNNNNNNNNNNNNNNNNNNNNNNNNNNNNNNNNNNNNAGUGUUUUAAGUGCUGAAUCAAUGUAAUUAUUAAUUUGAUCCGUAAGAAUUCGGAUCAGAUUUUUAGUUAUUUUGAACCAUUUGUCGUGAUAAUUAGGGUUAGGAUAAUCGUUAAUUUAACCUGUGAGACAACAGGUUAUUUUUUCGAUUAUUUUGAUCAUUUAUUUGAUUGCGUAUCUUGAUUGUUUAGAUUUACUGCUUAGUUGAUAAUGACUAGAUUUACUGUUUAGUUGAUAAUGGUUUGUUUUGGAGAAUCACUAAAAAAUCCAAAAAAAAUUGAAUUAGGAUUCAGUUUGUUUUAGAAUAUUUCUUGUUAUCUUGCAUAGCUAGGAUAUGGAUUUUAGUUCGAAAAACAAUAAAAAAUGCAUUAAUUUAAGAUUUUAGUUGCGUGUUUAAUUACGUGGUAAUUUUAAAUUUUGAAUUUUAAAUAAAAAUAAAAGAUAAAAAAUCAUGCAUAUGUCAUGUAGAAUUAGGGCUUGCUCUGCACGUUAUUGCAUAUUAGAUCAAUUACAUGUUAGAUUAAGAUAAUAUCUUAGUUUAAAUUAAAUAGAAUGUUAAUCUAGCUAGAUCAUUUUUGCAUUUUUAAAUAGAAAUAUCAAAUGCAUGUCAUGUAGGUUCAUUUAAUUAGAACUUACUCGUCAUUAGAUUAAAUCAUUUAAUAAAUGUCGCAUGACAUAUAACUCGUGUGCUAAAUUAUAUGCGGCAUGUCAUCUUAGUUUAAAUAAUUUUGUAUGCCAUUGCAUCGCAUUGCAUGUCAUUAGAUUAGGUCAUUUAGAUUGCAUUUAAUUAUUGCAUUUCUUCAUGUCAUAUAGUUUAGGUCAUGCUGCCAUGUCAUAUUAGAUUAUUAACAUGCAUUGCAUAAGUUAUGAUUUUCAUUAAAUAAAGUGAAAACAAAAAUUGAAAUUGCGUGUUAAUUAGAAAUCAUAUCUAGGGUUGCUGAUGUGAAUUCUGAUUUAACAAUGCAGAUGCUUUCGUUGCUCCUAGGUAUGUUUUGCAAUAUUUAAUUGCUUUCUUGAGUGUUAAAUUGGUGAUAUGCGCACAUGUAUGAUCACCUCACAUGUUAGGAAGUUAGUUUAAAAGCAAUUCAAUUGCCAAACAUUUUUUUGAAAAUAAAAAGAAUGGUACCAAAAGGGCAUUAGAGAAAUCUAAUGUAAUCAAGUCCCCGUGCCCUUAGUCUCUGGUUCGUAGGAGUAACGUAAUUCUCCCAUUAUUUUACUUAGGUGUCUAAUCGACCUACCAUAAACUGAUUAGUGGCGACUCCUAAAUAAAAUCAAUUUGCAUGUUAAGAAUUCAAACCUAAGUUGCGAAUUGGUAUGGGCUUGGGAGAGCCCGAGUUAAGUUUAGGCUUAACAAUCCAUUAGCCAAACCAUAGGUGGUUCAUAACCCGAAAAAUUAGGUCGCGACAGCUUGGCGACUCCGCUGGGGACCAUGUGUUAAAAUACUUAGUGGACUUAGGCCAAUUUUUCUUUUUAAAAUUAUUUUUGUUUGGCAGCGAGGAUCCCAGGUAUGUCCCUAACAUUCCUAAGGUGUUAAAUGUUCUUGCAGAUAGGAGGUAUAAGGGGAGUAGUCUUUGCUAACCCUUGUCUUGCAGGUUGGAGUUAGGGAUGAAUGUUUGAAUUAAAACUAUAGAAGUGUUGUUUGCAUUUAAACUGUUGUGCAUGCUUUAUUGCUUUAGCACCACACUAUUUGCACACACAACCUGCGGUCGGACCUGGGCUGCGAUAGAACUUCUAGGAUGGUGUUGAGAAUGAUACUUCCUCUAAAGCGAGAUUGCUAUGUAGAGGUUGACCUUCUCUUCUCCGAAAUUUCUUUCAUGGUGUCAAAUGUGUUUGUCCAUAUCCGCGAGACUGCGUGAUUAUUGGACAUUCCAUUCGACUGAGCCGGAGUUAAGGGGACCUGACACGUUAAUGCGAGACUGCAACGGUCAGACCAUCCUCUUAGCUCCACUUUGUUAAGCCUGUCUAGAGUAGAAAUUGAGCCUCACACUUCAUGUGCAUGUCUAUGUGAUUGCCAUCGAUUUUCCUUGGUGAAGUAAGUCUUCUAUUCCCAUAUUAAUGCAAUUUACUUACUUUGUCAUACUCUUGAUCGGUCCAUGACAAUCUAGGUCAAUCAUUGAUUUAAUUCCGUUGUCAAUUAGAAAUCAAAUGAAUUGCCAUACAAUGAAUCAUUUGGAAAAUAAAAAUUGGAAAUUUGUUUUCAAUUUAUGUCUUGGUUUUUCCUAGUUCAUAUUUAGGAAAUUUCGUCCCUAUUGGGGCAUCUCAUAUCUUUAUUUUCCUAGUCCAAUUUCAGGAAAUCCUCUUCACAUGUGGACUUUUCUUGACUAAAAUUAAAUGGUUGUCAUGGACUAGCUUUCUAUUUACACAUCAUGCUUACAUGUUCCCAUUUAUUCAAUUAGGUGAUUAUGAAGCGAUCUCGUUCACCCAUCCGUACACGGUCGAGAGCUAAAAUGGCGGAUCGAAACGAGGCGCUGGACCGUAUCAUUGACAAUAUGAACAAGCAAAUUGCACACCACCAAAAUCAAGUCAAUGAAUUGUCUACCACUGUGACUUUUCUCAUCAAGAAAAAAGGCUGCGAUGACAUAGGUACUCCAUCUUCAAUAAGAAUUUGCGACUCAAAGAAGAGAGCCAAGAGAACUUUUGAAUCGUCUCACUUUUCCGAGGUAGCUGAAUUUGAUGCCACCAUGAAGAGACUCGUGACAUAUCUAGAAGGAAGAAUCUCUGAAGGGUUCGCAUCACAUGAGCAAGGAGGGUGAAGAACUCAAGCAUACAUGAUUCAUAGUCCUAAGUAGUUCACUUUCCUUGUUUAAUUAAGGGCAUGCUCGGUUGCAUUUUCCCCUGCGUGGGAAUUCUUAUUGCUUUUUAGGAAUUAGUUUUCCCUUUUUAGGAAUCGUUUUCGAUUUUCUCUCUUUUUAGGGGUUAGGAAUCACAAUUUCCAUUUCAAUAAUGUAAUUCAUUUGAUGAAAUUACAAUUUUAUUUCUAAUUUUGAGGACAUGAUGGGGUAUAUCAAACCAGUCCAAUGACGAUGUCCAACCAUGAAAAAGAAAAAUAUCAUCCACGGAGAAAUCCUGAGGGCUGGACUUUUUCAUGUUUCCUCCCAAAAACCUUUUCAAAAACAAAAAAAAGCAUUUCAUUGUAAAAAAUGAAAUAAAACAAAAAAAAAAACAUUUUCUCAAAGCUUGUAGCAGAUUAAACUUGUUUGUUUGUCUGACUCAUUUGCUUCUUGUCUCAGAACAUGAUUCUAUAACUUUAUGACAAGGGACAUCUGAGAAUGGCGUAUCAAGUCUCAAUGAUCAUAAACUUGACUUGUGAUCAACAGGUUUAGAGCGCACUUGUAAUGAAAAAGAUUUGGGGCAAGUAAAAGAUGACCAUCAUUCCCUGGUGGAGGAGAUGACCAAUUUGGGACAUAACAGAUUUUGGUAGUGAUCCGACUGGGAUAAAGUCUCAACUCGAGCCAAAAUGGAUGUGCAAUUUGAAUUUACUUUGAUGUUGCAUAGUAUUAUCCUGAUGCACGUUCUCUUGUGCAGGGGCAAAAGUGGAUUUUCAAUCUUGAAUGAUAGGGACAAUCCAAAGACAUAAACUGCUGAGGCAAUUCCCAUUGUAGAGGAAUCCUUGAAUGAAUGCUUAAAACCAUUUUGCAGUAUAGAUUACUGUUUGAAGUUGACAUGCUUAAAGCUGUUGAGUUCUUUUUAAAAAGGGUUUUGCAUGUUGACUCUUACAUGUUUUAUCCAUCAAUUCCACUAAAGAAUAUCAAGAUGGACUAAUUUAAUGAAUGAUGUGGAAUUGAUUGAGCAUACUAAAUGAGAUGAGUCGGGAUGAUGAAAGGCAAACCCUAUCCUAUACACAGUCCCAUAUUCAUACACUUGUGAGAUGAGUGUAGGAAGGUUCAUAUUCAUAAGGUAAAGAGUUCUCUCGCAAAAGGUACGGCAACCGAAAUAAUGAGAGGCAAUUCAUAUCUCUAUCCCAAACACUACAGGUGAUCCGUUGCUUAACCCUUUUGAGCCCAUACACUUAUGGAUAUUCUUUUCAAAUCACCCCUGUCAAGAAUCACCCCACAUCGGGGCAACUAAGAGAUCAAAUGGCAUCAUGAGGUGAGGAAAAUGAAUUGAAAUUUUCUUGCUCUCACUUGCAUCAAUCUUCAAGUCAUGCUAUUACAUUGAAUUCAUGUGUUAAUUUAAGUGCCUUAGGAUGAUGAAGAGCAUUUCUUUCUCUAUCCCAUACACUUAUAUCCUUUGCAUAGCCCACUUGAGCCUAUGAAUUCAUUUCACAUUAAACCCAGUUGGUGAUCAUCCCCCACACUGGGGCAAGGCAAAAGCCAGAUGAGGACCUUUGAAAGUUCAAGUGCCAUUCAAAGUGUAAUUGCUUGACGCAUGCAUUGUGCGCAAGAAUUGAAUUCAAAAUAUAAUUAAGGGGCAUGAAAAAGCAGUGUGCCUGGUAAAAGCAAGGCCAAUGCCCAUGAAAAAAAAAGUGAAAAAAAUGCAUGAGAGUUAUGGGCAUAAAAAGUGGUGUGCUUGGUAAAAGCAAAGUCAAUGCCCAUAGAUGAAAAAAGAGAGUCAAGAUAGGUGACUGUCAACUACAAGUAUCGAAUCCCAAUGGAGCAAUAGUCAAAGAACUCAAAUGCUAAGUUUUUGCAAUCAAUGGGACUUCAUAAAGGCAAUCCCCAAUGGUGAAAAAGAAAACUGGUGGCAAUGCUAAGAUGAUCAUCAACUCAAACCUUUUACACACAUUUUGAGCCUAAUGAUCCUUUCAUUUCUCAACCCAUGAACCCAACCUACGUUACGUCCCUUACAAAGUCUCUUCAGAUUAGGGCAUUUGAAUUAACGUAAGAGUUCAUAUGUUUAUAAGCAUCGCUCGAAGAAGUGCGAGCAAUAUUAUUUCUUUUUCAUUUUGCAGGGUUUUUGACUUGUAAACCCGGAGAUGAUUACAAGACAGUUCAUCCAAUAGCUUUGACUCAAAGAGUCAUUGUGUUAAGCCAUUGACCAAGCCCACAUUAUGGUCCCUAUUAAAGACCUCUCAGAUUGGUAAGAUCGUACCGCUUGCGAGAAUACUCGGACCCAUAUCGAUAUGAUAAAAUAGAGUGAUUCGCAUAAAAUAGCCAUUCUAAAUGAGAGUGAGUGAAAGUCCUUUCUAACCGAAAGUCUCUCAUUUAGUAUUUUUAAGAAAUCCAUGUCGUGAGUAGAUUGUCUUGAAUGAUAAUUCUCUCCAGUGGAAAUUUGGGUGAUACAAAUGUCAUUAUGCAUAAACCCUGACUGAGUUAAUGAAAACCUCACUGAAUUUUGAAAUGUGCAUUCUAGGGUAGCUUAGAUUGUCUAUCUCUUUGAUGAAUGCAUAUCAGUUUUUGCUCUAAAUCAUGUCUGACAGGUAAUUCAAGUUCCUUUCAGAAUGUUUCAUGAUAUUAGGAGGUGAAAGGCCUCCACAGGAUAUCUAAGUUCCAAAAGACAUAUCCCAAAGAAUCAGAGAUAUCAUCAGGUAAGUAUAUCUCUACCCAUUUUUCACACUUGACUCGGUCAAGAUGUCCAUUUAUAUUGACCUGGCGUGCUUUCGUAGCCCAGAGUCCCUCGUUAUCGACUUGGCGUGCUUUUGUAGCCCGAUGUCUUUUAUAUUGACCUGGCGUGCUUUCGUAGCCCAGAGUCCAUCUUUAUCGACUCGGCGUGCUUUCGUAGCCCGAUGUCCCUUUAUAUUGACCUGGCGUGCUGUCAUAGCCCAGAGUCCCUUUUGAAAACACCGACACUCGACUGAGUUGUCCCCCAAAGAUUUUCCUCCAGAUUCAAUCUGAUUAAGGCGACCGAAGAAUGGUUCGGGUCCUGGUCAGUUGACCUCUGUUGCAAGGCUGGGCGACCGAAGAAUGGUUCGGGUCCUAGCCAAGCAAAACUUCGUUUAGGCGACCGUAGAAUAGAACGGGUCCUAGACAAAACCUAUUUCCCUAUUCAGGCGACCGUAGAAUGGUACGGGUCCUGGAAGGUAAAUCCCCGUUUAGGUGACCGUAGAAUAGAACGGGUCCUAGACAAAACCUAUUUCCCUAUUCAGGCGACCGUAGAAUGGUACGGGUCCUGGAAGGUAAAUCCCCGUUUAGGUGACCGUAGAAUAGAACGGGUCCUAGACAAAACCUAUUUCCCUAUUCAGGCGACCGUAGAAUGGUACGGGUCCUGGAAGGUAAAUCCCCGUUUAGGCGACCGUAGAAUGGUACGGGUCCUAGACACAACCAAACACUGUCAUACUAGGCGACCGUAGAAUGGUACGGGUCCUGGGAAAGCAGUUCCUUACAAAAAAUUUAUGCCGUACUGGGCGACCGUAGAAUGGUACGGGUCCUAGGAAAGCAUUUCCUUACAAAACAUUUCUGCCGUACUAGGCGACCGUAGAAUGGUACGGGUCCUGGGAAAGCAGCAUCUUUACAAAGCCAUGUUACUAUUCUGGGCGACCGUAAAAUGGUACGGGUCCUGGACAUGUAACACCAACUACCUUGAACUACUCUACCCUCCUUGAAGGUAAGUUAUUCCAGGUAGGUUCAUUUGCAUUAGCAUUUCCAUGCAUCAUAUAAAUUGCAUUUUAAAAUGUGAUUCAUUUAAAAAAAAAAUCAAAAUAAAAAAAAAUCAUUCAAUGCAUGUGCAUAGUCAAAAUAUAGGUCUCAAUUUGUCUUUGAAGGCAACCUCUUUGAGCUCACCUUCAAAGAGGGGCAGCUGUUGACACCUAGAUUUUGACGGUCCGUUUAGUCAUUUAUCGCAUUAAAAUUAGGGUUUAAUCAAUAAUUAAUUAAUUGCAUAGCAUUUAGUUGUAGGUGCAUUUAUUUUUUAUUUGCAUUUACUGGACCGGUGGUGGAUGGGUUGAAUCGGUGGUUUUGAAUUUUAAAUUAAUAGGCCGGGCUAGGCCCAUGAAAGGAUAAAAUUAACCCAAGCCCGUCGUUAUGUUUAAUUAAUUAUCUUGUGAAAAUUUAAGAUUUGAUGCGAUAUUAUGAUGAUUUUUGGAAAUUAAAAAAUCGCACUGUAAUCUUAAAGUUGGGAAUAUUAAGGAGGAUAAGGAAUAUUCUAAAAUAUUUUGUUGCGGAUGGAUAUCUCGAAAGAUUUUAGAAUUGGAAAUGGAGUUUUAUCUAAAGUGAAUUAUUUGAAAAAUCUUCACAAAAAAAUUCCAGUUUAUCUUCAAUGGCUGAAUCAGCAUAUAAAAUCUUCAAUGGUCGAGCGAGUCAGCUUGGAAGAUUUUAAUAGAUGAUUUCAAUGGCCGAGUGAGUCAGCAUACACGAUAAUCUCGAAAGAUGAUCUUCAGCGAUUGAGUUGUUAUGCAAAUCUUCGUAGGUUGAGCAGACUAAGUUUUCACUCUAUAAAUAGGGGUGGCCUUCUCUUCGUCCGGGGAGAGCUUCUCUUGGAUAAAAAAAAUCAGAAAAAGUGGAGAGAAGAGAGAGGAGCUUCUUUGGAAAAAAUUCAGAAAAAGGCCAAAAGGGAAACCGUCCGUAGAGGUGUGUUGAAAAAAAGAAAGAAAAGUACAAUUGGCAGGGGGUGAGGAGACGUUUACUGUUCAUCGUCUUCCUCACCCUUGCCGCCUGAGUUUGCAACCGGACGCCAUCCCGACGGUCGCCGGCGCCGGCUCCUCUCCGCUCGUUCCCCGCGAAGUCACCGAUUUGCUGCCGGAGCUGAAAAUCAAAACCAGCGCCCCUCCUUCGCCCAGAUCUGCUCAGCGCCUCUGCUCGAGUUCGAAACCGGUCGCCGCACCUCGCCACUUCGCCGUGCCGCUCGCCGCCUUGAAGCCAGCCGCAACCGCCGCGCCGCCCCGAGUCGUCGACGCCAGCAGACCCUGCGACCUGCCCCGAUUGCGUCUCCAGACGCCGCGUCCCGCCGACGCUUCCUCCUGCUCGCUCGUUGCUGCCCGAGCUGCCAGCAAUCGAAGCCCGCGCCAUCUCCCUCGCCCGCGAGUUCGCGUCGUUGGUCUGCCCAGGAGCCGCGAAGCCACUGACCCCCCGCCGCGCUCGCACCGCCGAGCACCACCGUCGCUGCCUUCUGCUCUGUCCGCGGUCUGUAACCCUGCCCGUCGCGAACGAUUGCAGUCACCGUGUUGCUCCCCGCCAGUCGACGCCGCAACUCGACGACCCGUGAAGCCGCUCCGCCUGCAGAUCUGAACCCACCGCAACACCGUGACCAGAUUCCCCGAGUUGCAGUCCCAUUCGCUGCCGUGCCGUGGAGCCGAGCACCUGCACCCGCGACGCCGGCUGAGAUCUCGCUUGUCGCUGCUCCUCGCGACGCCACCGCUCGCCGCCGAUCCGCUCGCUGCUGGUCCUCAUCGCCGGAGCUCCGACGAUUAACUCCUGGUGGACCUCCUCGAAGACCCACGGUUCCACGUGGAAAAGGAAAGAAGAAAAAAAAAAAGAAAGGGAAAUUAGGUAGUUUUAUUUUCUUUUUAUAUUUACUUUAUUUUAUUUAUUUCUUUUAAGUUUAGGAGUGAUCUUUAUUUCAUGGAUUUUGUAGGCAUUAUCCACAUGAUAUUCCCUAGAAUUAUUGUAAUUACUAAUUUGAUCCGUAAGAAUUCGGAUCAUUUUUUUUAUUAUAAUAAUUUCUGGGAUUUGUCGAUAGUAUUUUAAGUGUUGAAUCAAUAUAACUAUUAAUUUGAUCCGUAAGAAUUCGGAUCAGAUUUUAGUUAUUUUGAACUCUUUGUUGUGAUAAUUAGGGUUAAGAUAAUCGUUAAUUUGACCUGUGAGACAACAGGUUAUUUUUUCGGUUAUUUUGAUCAUUUAUUUGAUUGCAUAUCUUGAUUGUUUAGAUUUACUGUUUAGUUGAUAAUGGUUUGUUUUGGAGAAUCACUAAAAAAUCCAAAAAAAAUUGAAUUAGGAUUCAGUUUGUUUUAGAAUAUUUCUUGUUAUCUUGCAUAGCUAGGAUAUGGAUUUUAGUUCGAAAAACAAUAAAAAAUGCAUUAAUUUAAGAUUUUAGUUGCGUGUUUAAUUACGUGGUAAUUUUAAAUUUUGAAUUUUAAAUAAAAAUAAAAGAUAAAAAAUCAUGCAUAUGUCAUGUAGAAUUAGGGCUUGCUCUGCACGUUAUUGCAUAUUAGAUCAAUUACAUGUUAGAUUAAGAUAAUAUCUUAGUUUAAAUUAAAUAGAAUGUUAAUCUAGCUAGAUCAUUUUUGCAUUUUUAAAUAGAAAUAUCAAAUGCAUGUCAUGUAGGUUCAUUUAAUUAGAACUUACUCGUCAUUAGAUUAAAUCAUUUAAUAAAUGUCGCAUGACAUAUAACUCGUGUGCUAAAUUAUAUGCGGCAUGUCAUCUUAGUUUAAAUAAUUUUGUAUGCCAUUGCAUCGCAUUGCAUGUCAUUAGAUUAGGUCAUUUAGAUUGCAUUUAAUUAUUGCAUUUCUUCAUGUCAUAUAGUUUAGGUCAUGCUGCCAUGUCAUAUUAGAUUAUUAACAUGCAUUGCAUAAGUUAUGAUUUUCAUUAAAUAAAGUAAAAACAAAAAUUGAAAUUGCGUGUUAAUUAGAAAUCAUAUCUAGGGUUGCUGAUGUGAAUUCUGAUUUAACAAUGCAGAUGCUUUCGUUGCUCCUAGGUAUGUUUUGCAAUAUUUAAUUGCUUUCUUGAGUGUUAAAUUGGUGAUAUGCGCACAUGUAUGAUCACCUCACAUGUUAGGAAGUUAGUUUAAAAGCAAUUCAAUUGCCAAACAUUUUUUUGAAAAUAAAAAGAAUGGUACCAAAAGGGCAUUAGAGAAAUCUAAUGUAAUCAAGUCCCCGUGCCCUUAGUCUCUGGUUCGUAGGAGUAACGUAAUUCUCCCAUUAUUUUACUUAGGUGUCUAAUCGACCUACCAUAAACUGAUUAGUGGCGACUCCUAAAUAAAAUCAAUUUGCAUGUUAAGAAUUCAAACCUAAGUUGCGAAUUGGUAUGGGCUUGGGAGAGCCCGAGUUAAGUUUAGGCUUAACAAUCCAUUAGCCAAACCAUAGGUGGUUCAUAACCCGAAAAAUUAGGUCGCGACAUUGUUUAACGUGAUUAGGCAACUUAGGGAAAUGAGGCAUCGGCAUUUAACAGAAAUAAAUAGCCAUGUCGGCGUUUUCUUUCACUUUUUUUACAGCAGGAUCAAUAUGAGCGAAAAGGUGUAUAGUCCAGAAAUCCAAUUAGACAAAAAAGAAAUUCCAAAAGUGGAUUACUUUUGCAAAAGUCUGAGGAGUACUGGUGCAAAAGUAUAUAGUCUAGUAAUACAAUUGGACAAAAAAGAAAUUCUAAAAAUUGAAUACUUUUGCAAAAGUUUGAGUAAUGGCGCCUUCCUCACUUUUUUAACUUUUUCUUUUUUUUUUACUUCGAUAGCUCCGUUGCCGGUGCAAUCUAAUAAACGUAAAAAUUUUCAAGGUAUUCGCUUAGAAAGUAAAUCAUUUUGUUUUCCUCCAUCACCAAACCUUCAACAAACCUCUUGUUGAUGAGUUAUACGUAAGGAAAUCUCUUACAUUAUAUUUUACUUAAAUCUGCAUGUAGGUGAUGUUCAUGUUAAUAUAACCUAUCAAUUAGAUGUUUGGUUUGAGGACAAGGAAAUUAUGGCCCACUCUUUUAUGGUAUUUCAAGAAUUAUCACAACAAUCGAUCCCAAUUGUCGUGUAGGUGCUUUAAAAUUAAGCAAAAAUUAGGAUAUGUUGCUAAUGUAAAAGUAACUUUAAACAAGCGAUUUCAACCAUCCUUGAUUUGAGAGUUUUAACUUAUCAUUUUCUUACUAAUCAUCAAAUCAAGAUUGGAUAAUACUAAAUUUAGAAAAAUAAAUAUUUGUAUCGGUAAUGCAUUGAAUAACUACACUAAAAUUAAGUAAUGAUUCUGAUUGCUUUGCUAGAGUAAUUUACUUCAGGAGUUCCUAAUUCUCGACACAUUCAUCCGCUCCUCCACAGUAUAAGAAGCAUAAGAGAUCCUUCUUCAUGAUUGGCAUCGGUGCAUCAUUUUCUCUGCUCUCUUGAGAGAGGUUAGAUCAUGGCCGGAUCCAAGUUCUCUGAUCCACCAGCCGAAUCUCCGAACGACUUUCUUGUCUCCUACGAAUACUUGGACAAUGAAGCGAUCCAACAGCCAAGAAUUGUGGCACUGCUGGCCAUCACUGCUUCAAUGUUAGUCUUUCUUGGGGUCUUCGGGUUGUUCAGGCGACGCUGUGGCAACCGCACAUUAGCAUCGGUUGCAUUCUGCGCCUAUAACCUUUCACCUGCUAUCAUCGCAUACACGCUUGGCCUCAUCCAGAGCGCUCCUUACAAAAGUUUGAAUUUCCCUGUGUGGGCGGCUUAUCUGGUGGUGGUUCUCGGAAGCGGCGAUUCCUACACCGUACACAGCAUCGAGGACAUUGAACAGUGGAAGUCAUUUAAUCUCUACUCCGCUGCUAAAUGUUUCAUGACAAGUUGGAUGAUCGCUUCAUACACGACCCACCCAGUGUCAAAAUUGUGGGCAGUGUUUCUUUUUGUCAUUCUAUUUGCGAAAGUUGACGGAAGAGCACGAGCUUUGAUGUUGGCAAGCAAUUCUGUGAUGGAGAAGAAAUACAAGUUACUAGCAGACUACAUGAGCACCGAGCACCAACACGGCGAUUCAAGCCAUGAAGAUCCCGCUACAAUGCGUGGAUACAAGUAUUUGGUGAGAUUGGGGGAAGAGGAAAAGGUGCAGUCAUUAUGCUCAUCCGCGAUAUGUAAGCGAAAGAAAUCACCAUGGCUCGAUGGGAAAGCGCCGGACUAUCUUCAAAUGAUAGUUGGGCUGGAUGGAGUUAUCACCGUGGAGAAGGUUUGGGAUUGCCAAGGGAGGCUUUUAAAAGAAGGAGACCCGAAUGGGCGACUCAAGGAUCUGUGCCUGUCAUUUUCGCUCUUCAAGUUCAUCUGCAUGAGAUUCGCUGGCUAUUCGUUGCCUCAGGAAGCUCACAACAAGUUACGGCGCUUGAUUCAACAUAUGCUCAAUAAAGGGAAUGAUCAUGAGCGAGUUUUCAAAGUCAUUGAAGUGGAACUUGCAUUUCUUUUCGAUUUACUCUACACCAAGUACCCGGUGAAUCUCAGCCUGUAUCGUUCAUUCUGCAGAUUGCUUCUACUCGCUAUUGUGGUUGCUGCUCCUCUGAUUGCAAACUUCUCUGCAUAUUACUCUUGGGGCUGGCAAAUUGAUUCAAUUGUUAGUUAUAAUGGUGUAACAUUCUUCCUUAUGAUGUCAAUCCUAGUCAACGAGUUUGUACAUAUUUGCAUCAUGAUUUUCUCCGAAUGGGCAAAGGUGAGGUACAUAUGCAAGUAUGUGCAGAAUGAUUGGUGGCUAAAGAAUAGAUGUUCUGGGAAGUUGAUCGAGAUAAUGUGCCAAGUUUGGUUACUGAAGCCUUGGGGAAGACAACUUCGUCAAUACUCGCUCCUCCAAGCAUAUAGCUAUUCUCCAUGGAAGUGUAUAAAUAAUAGAUUCACCACUGCUUAUUUCGACCAAGAAGGGGACGGUCAGCAACAAAUUCCUCCCACCAAUUUGUCUAAGCAAGUGAAGAUGGCGAUUGCUCGGUCUCUAUGGAAGUAUUUGGAGAAGGGGCAAGCGUCUUUGAGGCGCAAUGACUUGUCCAAUGAGUUCUCAUGGGCAUGUAAUCUUGAGACAACUAUUCAUGUUAUAAUGGUUUGGCACAUAGCAACCACUUUCUGUGAGCAUAAAGUGCCUUGCGCUCAACUUUUACCAGAACAGAUAGACAACUUUGACAUAGCGACUAAGCUAUCGCAAUAUCUUGCUUACUUGGUUGCUUACGCCCCGAGGUUGCUCCCUGGUCACCCCUGCAGGACCCAAUACAUAUUUGGUCGUGCUGUCAGCGAAGCCAGAGAAACAUUGAGAGGUUCCUUUGUUUCAAUGGAAAAGAGGAUUGAAAAGCUAGAAAUGGGCAUUGACAACGAACAAUGCCCGGAAACGAUCGUGGGUCGAGGCACGCAGCUAGGAAUGAAGCUUAUGAAUGGUAUGAAUGGAGUAGCGGAUAUGGGGCAAAUUUGGAAGGUCUUGGCUGACUUCUGGGCGGAUAUGAUUCUGUAUGUGGCUCCUUCGAAUAAUACGGCGGCUCAUGCGAAGUAUCUCACCACCGGGGGCGAGUUUGUGACUCACGUUUGGGUUUUGGUCUCUCACAUAGGCAUUACGAGAGAUCCACAGGAUCGUGAGUAAUAUGAUGGUCCAGAGAGGAGCUGAACUCGACCUUAUUUUAUGAUAUUAUGCCUAGUCAGCUAUUAAAAAUGUCUAUAUGGUUGUGUAUAUUUGCAGUAGUCUCUUUAUCUUGCAUCGAUCCCUCUUCAGACUUUAGAAAGCUUUCUCGUGUAUGAUGCAUGACCUGUUUUAUGUGGUGUAAUGUGUUGCUUUAGCAAGGGUCUAUUAGCAAAGACUCGAAUUGGUUGUGCAUUUUUAAGAUUGUAUUAUGUCGAACAUGGGCAAUAUGUACUGUUUUUAUUGUUGUCUGUUCACACUUUUACAUGUUACAGUACACGAGGUUAUGAGCACAUGGCAGAAAUCUCAUACCUUAACUUGUGUAUAUCGUUACAAGAAAGCCUAAGUUCGAGUCCAUCAACACAUCUAAUUAGAUUCACAUUCACUCACAUGUGUAUUUCAAUAACUUCGCCCUCACAUAUGAUCUUAGUGUUAGGUGCACUCCUCCUUAAUCCACAUUAUUAUUUUGUGAGGACUGCAAUAAUAACAACUACAACCUUCAUCCCCCCUCUCUCUCUCUCUCUCUCUCUCUCUCUCUCUCUCUCUCUCUCUGGGACCUGCAAAGAACGAGCUCAAGUUCAAGCCUUCAACCAAUUUAGUUGGAAGAAUUCAAUCAAAAGUUUAACCCAACGAAUUAUAAGCCAACUACAAUUUAUUAACUAUCAAACUUCAUACCAAUUAUUUAAUAUGAGACUUUUCUAAUAUAAUUCAUGUGCAUCUCGACAUUCAUUUCCCAGAACCACAAGCAAAGUAGACAACCAUAUCAGGUAUGUCAUGAGGCAGAUCGGAGCGCUUUGAAUGAGGCCAAGACUAGGUGAUGACGGGCUGAAAUGGUGACCCAUGAAAGCUCCCUUUUUUUCGACAUCUCCGCAUUGUACCAAAGAUGCUAAGAAAUAUGUACAGGCAGGGCUAUGAAGGUCAAUAGAACCCUAAUCCGCGGUGCAUUCCGAGUAAAAUUGCAUGAACCACGCAUCCUCAUCCCAGAAUCUCACGCUUUGGGUCCUCUUCUGUUUAAGCUUGUCUAAAGCAAGCACUGUGGAGGAGAGUCUCAUUGGCCAAAGAUUCGGACUGGCCAUUUCCGGUUCUUUUUUAUAAUCUUUUGUCCAGUUCCUUUUUUUUUUUUUUUUGGGUUUUGUCAAAAGCAAUAUGUUUCGUUGAAGAAUGUAUCUAUAUUAUUUUAAGUGUAUUUCGAAGAGAUCUCGUUACUUCGGUAAAUGGCAAACCGUAGAGCCCUGCUGCUAAUUACCAGAAGCUGAAAAUACAUGGAUCCUCGAGGGAGCAAAGUCCUCCGUACCUCCACUUGCUACAAGUUCGGUUUGAUUCCACUUUCCUUCGAACCACACCGUGCUCAUUGUGACGAUCCUUCCAAGUUGGAGUUUGGUGGAUUGCUAAAUAGGCGCAAAUGAUUUCUCACGAUGUGGUGCCUAUGCCUAGCACAAGUUCUCUCAACCGUAUGGAUUGCGACUUGGUUUAUUGGUUAAUUAAUUAUAUAAUUUGGUGUUACUUUAAGAUCCGCCACUAAUCUGUGCUGAGCAGAUUAAGGGCCACGUAAGAAGGGAGAGCUCAUCUUAUUUUUAUGAACCAAAUAUUCAUGGGUACGAGACUUAAUUGUGCACUUUUCAGCUAACACUUUCUUCUAGAAGGCAUUAUGGUGGUGUUCUUGAUUUGCAGGAUUUGUUAGCUUCAGCAUUAUUUCACAACAUGAUGUAAGCCAACCAAAGAAGUCAUUGCCUAUCUAGAUAAUUGGACCAUAAGAGAUAAAUCAACAAAGAACCAUAGAGGAUGUUUGAGAAUUACGUGGAUAGGUACAAGUGCCAAUACCUACUUCAUGAAAAGAGUCAGAUACCUCCUACUUCUAUCGAUUAGGCAUUUAUAAAUACACAAAAUUUCAGGAUUUAAUUGCAAGUUUUGUAGGACUUAAUUACAAAUAAUUUGGAUAAGGUUUGAGUUGUCUCUAAAACCGAUUCAAUUUUGACAGUUGUCCUUAGAUGGAAUUCUCAGAAAAAAUCUGGUAUGAAUUUUUAGAAACUCAAAACUAAAUGUUUGUUGCUGAUUCCCUUCUCUAGCUAUUAAAAAAUUUCGCGUCAUUUCGAAGUCGUUUACUAUUUUUUCCGAAUUUUCCAAAACCCGGUGAUGGGCCUUUCACGGUAAUUCACAGUUUUCGGGUCAAACGGAUAAGAAUUGGGCUUAAUGGUGUUCUUGAGAUUUAAUCCACACACUCUCAGCUUUCUAAAGGCAUUUGAAUUGCAUUAAUCGGAGUUCAUUCUUGGACAAAUUGAUUUCAAAACUAAAUGACCCAAAUUUUGGAAUUAAUGAACGAGUGAUCCUACUUGGGCUCACUCUCAUUGCUUGUUUGCUUGGGAAAUAAGACCGUUUGGUCUGAAUGCAUGCUUAGCUUUUUGUGUAUGUGCUUGCUAGAUGUAUGCAUAGGAGAGAUGCAUGUACGUGGGGAAUACCAAAGGGAAAACGAGACCCUCAAUUUAGGGAUUGAUGGAAAUUGACCAUCGUUUGUGAACACAAAGAAUGGCCAAUAAUCAUUAAUCACAACUUAAUCAAUUGUAGUGGCCUUAGGACGGGACGAUAUGUGUGCACAUCCAAAGGCCGAGCUCGAGGCCCAUUUCCAAAUUUGUGACUUGUUUGUGAUUGUUUUGAUAUGAAAUGUGCAUUUGUAUGCCAUGGAUUGUACUUUAAAUAGUUUGAAAAAAAGGACGACCUCAUCAAGACGUCUCGAGGACGAGGUGGCUGAAAUACCCAUAUGAUGAAGAUGGCGUGACCGAUGUCUUAUCCGGUCCAUUUUGUUUUAUCAUCUACCCCGACCAUGUCUCGGGUUUUCAAUUCAAGAUUGUAUUAAACGCUCGACAAGUUGUGGGUUUUUCUUUCAUGCACAUAAAAUAGCUUGUCUUUUACUUCAUUUGAAUGUUUACUUCUUGCAACACAGUUUCAUUAAUUGUGCACCGUAUUUUUUUAUAAUGUUAAAUUGCUCGAAAGAGCCGUCUACGUGUGGUCACCUAAUGCUGAUUUUGCAAAAAAUUGCACGAAAAUGUAAGAACAAAUGGAUAAUGACUUUAUGUAACAACCAAACCAAUUAGUUACCGAAAGGGCAUUAAUAGAAAUAAUUAGCGUAACCCAAGUCCUAAACCUUCGAUCUCUGUUCUAUAGAAAUCGAAGGGGCACUCCUGGCUCUCGAUUGGGUAAUCUAGCCGACCCCCGAAAACAAGGCUAGUGGUGACUCCUAGUUCAAUAUUUAAGGUGCUUAAAGAACUUUAAAACAAACUCUUCUCACACAAGGUAUGGGUUUGAGAGGACCAAUGUUUAAGAUCGAUAGUUCGUUUUGCAAUAUUAGCAAAUGUUGGUCCAUUCGAGACCAUUGUUUGUAUGAACCAUUUGGACCGUCUAUUGGAAAAAUACCUCUAAACUCAUCCUUCCCCUUGUUCAACCAAGUGGUGAGGUUGGGUUGCGACAAAGAUCACUCUCUCCAGUGUACUAACAUGACCUAGUUAUCAAUAAAGUUAUCAUUUCCUUAUGUCUUUUUGCUGAUGACAAAAAGGGGGAGAGAUGCUGAUGUGAAAAUGAUGUUGAUAUGCGUUGACAUUUCUAUAACGUAUCAAAAUAGGGGGAGUAUAGCUUUGUGCUGAGAUGUUUACUAUGUCAUCAUUGCUCUUAAGGACUUACGAUAAUUUAUGUUUCCACUCUUAUCCUACAAAAGAUCAUCUAGACUAAAUCUCCAGGUAAUAUGAAUAUCUUAUGGAGAUCUUAUCAUUUGUUUAUGGUGCACAUUCCUCAAAAAAGAUUAGCAAGAAAAUAAACCAUUUAUUUUUACUUCAAGUUUCAUCAAGAAUUAUCUUUCACAUCUAUGAAAUAGUUUUAUCAUUAUAAAAAAAUGGAGAUUAUUGAAUAAACAUUUCCAAGUGAUUUUGAUGAUUUCCAGAUUAUCCUUAGUAUAAUAUUUACUAUGGUAAAUGCAGAUGUUUGUGACAAGUAUUAAAGACUACGUAAUGUCCAUGGUGUGCUCCAAGUAGUAAAAGAUUGUGAUAUUUCUUGAUACAAUUUUUCUAUAAAUAACACCAAAUAUUUAAAGGUCAAUGUUAAUGUUUGUAUUCAAGGCUAUGCAUAUUAGGUAAUUGGUAUUGUGACAACAACGUUCAUCUUAUAAUGUUAGUUGGUUCAGCAAAUUAGCUAUUGUGGAAGUAGAUAUGUCCAGCAGCGGAAUCUAGAUGAUAACAGAAAUCGAGAAGCUAGGCUAUCUAAUAGGUUUGUCAUAAGUUGUAGUGAAGGGAUAGUAGCAACAGCUAUUUUAAGUAGUCUGCAAAUGUUCACGAAAAGGACUAUAUGGACAAUUCUAUCUUUGGACAGCAACAUCAACGAUAACUUCAAUGACUAUUUGCUUCUCCAAUCCACCUCCAAUGGAUAGAUUGAAGAUGGGUAUAAAAGAGAAGAUCUUAGAAGCCAAAUAAGAGAUACAUGCAAAUACAAAAGAUUGAAAAUCUGUCAUACAUUGUGUCUCAAGCAAAAUGCUCUCUUCUGACUAUUUAUCUAGGUGUGGUAUUUUUGGCAUUUGAGUAGAUGUGCUAAAGAUUAAGUGUAUAAUAGUAAAAGUAGCGGUUGAGUCUUGAUAGCAUGAUCUAUCGUGUAAAAGGAUCAGUGCUUGCCGAUUGUAACUUUCUGAGCAGAUUAAUAAUGCAAUGCAAACCAUCUUGUGGCUAUUAGUUUGAGAAGUAAACAUAGGCUUGGGGUCAAAGUGUAACCACUACACAUCAUUGUGUGCUACUGCUUUUCUCUCUUAUUUCUUCCACAAGCACAAUACACUCACGAGUUUUGAACAAGCACUUUAACUAUAUCUACUUAGCAUAAGCUAUUUUCUACAAAAGAUUGUCAAAAUUUCUAAAACAACCUAUUAACCCAUCAUCUAGGUUGUAUUGUUAGCCCCUAACAAACUUUUGUAGCCCUGAACCAUUUUUCCUUCACACGGAAAGCUUUAGUAGCCCAAAAUGACCUAUUUCCGUUAGGUGUGCAAGCGUAGCCUUGGAAUUUUAUUUGCACGAUGAGCUUUUGUAGCCUAGAGCACCCCCCUUGAUUCGGCAAACUUUCAUAGCCUAGGGUCUCUUUCUUCACAUGGCGAGCUUUAGUAACCUGAAGUGACCUAUUUCCGUGAGGUGUGUGAACGGAGCAUCAGAACUUUAUUUGCACAGUGAGCUUUUAUAGCUCGGAGUGCCCCUUGAAAUUGGCGAGCUUUCAUAACUCAAAGUUUUCUUCUUUGCACGAUGAACUUUUACAACCCGAAGCGCUCCUUUGACCUGGCGAGCUUUCGUAGCCCAUAGUCUCAUUUGUUUUUCUUGUAAAUAUCAUGUAAGUAUUCUUACUCACCUUAAUUUUCAAAAAAAAAAAAAAAUGUUCAUAGAUAUCCCCCUAACCAUGCUCUUUACACUUACGUUGUCAUUACUUGUAAACAAAAUUUAGGUGUCACAUUGUCCUUGAAAUAAAUCUCUUUAAGCUCUCUUUCAAAGAGACAAUUAUUGACACUUUUUUUUAAUAAAAAAAUAAAAAUAAAAAAAUGGUAAAAACAACAAAAAAUAUAGUAUAAAAAUAAAAAGGAAGGCAAAAAUAUAAAAAUAGACGAGCAUGGAUAAAUUCAGCCACAAGAAUAAAAAGAGCAGAGAAAUUUUAUUAAAUAAAAAAGAGUAGAAAAAAUAAUAAAAAGUAAAUAAAUAUAAUAAUAAAAAUCGGGGGCCUAUAUUACCUAGCCCCUUUUUUAGGCCAAGUUCUCAGCUAUUCUCCUUUUCCUAACACUUUUUUGUUUCUUUCUGGGCCCAACUUUCUUUCAGUCCAUGAUUUAGCCCAUCAUAGGCCUGGCUUUUUCUUUCUCCUUUAGGCUCGGUUUUAUUUCCUUUUCACCCAAUGAAGUAAAAAGAAUGGAGGCCCGGCCCUUGUCUUUCUUGGCUUUCUUCAGAGAUUAUUCGAAGUUCGCUGCUUCUUUUUGGUCGGCGAUCAUAAUUUCCUCACCGUAGGCCACCGAUCUCUGUCACGGCGAAUUGGGGAAGGCGAGGCUACAAUGGCUCUCUGUCGGGAAAAGAGAAGACCGGUGGACUUCCGGCGUUUUUUUUUAGCUUCGUCAAUGCCGAUUCCUGCGACUCUAUCUCACCGAGCGAAUCAGGUAUGCAUUCUCUUCAAACACCCUCUUUUUGGCCGCUAUUCAGGAAUCGAGAGCAUUGAGCUCCGGUGAUGACGUUGUUGCUGAUGGAGUCGGCUUCGGUGAAGGAGAAGGAGAAGCAGGGUCGAAGAAGGCUUGGGAAGAAGACGUUGCGGGGAGAAGAGAAAUUAGGAAUUAAAAAAAAGGAAAUAAAAAAAGAAAAUUUAAAAAAGAAAAUUUAAAAAAUAGAAAAAUAGAAAAAUUAAAAUUUAAAAAAUAAAAAUAAAUAAAGGGUUCGAUUUAAUAAUAAAAAAGGUGAAUUGGUUCGAUCCAAUUAGUCUAGUCGGGUCGGGACGGAUGGUCGAGUCGUAUCCAAAGUAAUUGAGUGGCGUAGGGUUUAAUGAAUGGGCCAAUAUUGAGCUCGGAUUGGGUCGGAUUUAUUAGAGGCCGGAUUAUUGGGAGUUGGGUUCGAGCUGUUGCAAAGGCUCAAGCCCAUCAGAUUGACGUCAUGCUUUUAAUAGAUUGUGGACCGAAUCCAAACGUGGGUUAUUUCAAGUAAAGUUGGACCGGGCCUAACGCUGGGCCCAAUUUCAAGUCAGCGGAUUUAGCCGGGUUCGGUGGCCCGGUUCGAAGUCCAUUCUCGGAAUAAAAAAUAAAAUUAAAAAUUAAAUAUCAUAAAAAUGUUGAAAUAAUAAAUAAUAAAUGAGAAAUGAGAAAUGAGAAAUGAGAAAUGAGAAAUUUGAAAUAAAAAUCUGUAGAUUCAAGAAAAAAUAGAAAAAUAAAAAAUAAAAUGAAAAAUUGGAAAAGUUUAGAAAAAUUACCUUAAUUGAUUCCAUUAUAUAUUUCAGUCUUGAAUCAAUUUUAGAAUUUUAUUUUUAAAUAGACUUCUCUUAGUCUUGAAUAAAAUUUGAGAAUCCUUAAAAAUUUUCGAAACUCAAUUAAAUAAGCUCUUAGAGUUUUAGAAUAGGGAUAUUUUUUUGUAUUGUUUUCUUUCUAGAGACAAUGCUAGGUGCAUUUCAAUUUGAUUGCAUAAUAUACAUACAUUAGUUGUUGUUUUCUCUUUUAGCAUGGUUAGGUUUUUAAUAAAAACAUUGCAUAAACAUUUAGUGGAUUAGCCUUAAAAUAAAUGAAAAGACUGCAUGAAAAACACUUUAGUUGACAACAUAAUCAAAUUUUAGGUACUAAAAGGGCACUAAUUGUAUAAUUAGUAUAAUCAAGGACCCGAAUCCGAAAUCUCUAGUUCCAUAGAAAUUGAGAUGACAUUCCCACAUUUCAAUUGGUGUCCAGCCUACCUUAAUUGGCUAAUGGUGACUCCUCCGGUAGAAUUUUGAUAGGGUUAAUUUGAACAUAUUGUGAAAAAUCCAACGUUGCAUGAGAUAUGAACUUGGGAGAGCCCGCGCUUGAAAUUGAUAGACGGCCUUAGAUUACUUAUUAGAUGAUGUAUUCAAGUUGUCUUCUAAGGAUGCCAAUUUGGACCGUCUUUCAAGUAAAUAUCUCUAAACCUAUUCAAGGGAGGUUGCAACAAGAAUUUUGACACCCUUUUUGAUAAUGGUCAAAAGAAAUGAGGGAGGGCUAAAACGAUGUAUUGAUAUCUAGGGUCAAUAAUUGAAGAGGAAAACACAAACCUAUGAUUUGAUAUCCACGAUAAAUGAUUAAAGAGGAAAUAUGAAAACAUGAUUGUGAUGAUGUGUUUGAGCCGUCUUCUAGGUUUGUCAAUUUGGACCGUCUUUCCAGUAAAUACCUCUAAAUCUAUUCCCUCAAGGUAGGUCAUGACAAGAAUUUUGGCGCUUUUUUUUUUUAAUAAUGUUUAAAAGAAAUGAGGGAUGACUAAAAUGACAUAUUGACAUCUAGAACCAAUAAUUGAAGAGGAAAAUAUGAACCUAUGAUUUGACAUCCAUGAUGAUUACCAAUCAAUUAUUAGUUCUUAUGGUUUGUCAUCCAAGUGGAUUGACAUCAUCGACAGUAAGCUAUUGGAAAUAGAGAUAAUGGAUCCAUACAAGCCCAUGAUUACCAAUUGGUUAUCCUAUGGUCUUGGAAAUUGUAACUGCUUGUGAUUACCAAUUAUAAGAUAAGAGGUCAUGCCUGUGAUCUCGAAAAUUGCCUAUCACUGUAAAUAUUACUACGAGAUUAUUAGUAGAUUCAAGAUUCAUAACCGUUUGUAAGUGCUGUUGGUGGAAUAUACCGCCUUGUAAUUUGUGUGAAGGACACAGACAAUAAUCAAAUAUUAGUUCUUAUGCAUUUGCUUUAAUCUUUUAAUUUCUUGCGAAGUUAUCUUUCCAGCUUUUCAAAUUUCCAGUACCCAAUUACAUUCUUCACACCUUUAAUUCCAUUACAUGAACAGACCAAAAAAAAAAAAAUCCAGUACAUGCAUUUUCAUUUCCUUUACUUGUUCAGUCAUUUACUUUCCUAUCCAAAAUCAAUAAAGAGCCUAUUUUCCUUAAAUAUCCAUCAAUUUCAUCCCCAUUAUCCUUUUAAAAGAUUUUUCGCUUUUUUGGGGAAACAAUACCGCUAAUGUGUUCUAUAAAUACUCUAGGAUUACUUAAUGAUAGGGACUGCUUAGCUAAAGUAAUAUACCGGCCAGAGCUGCAUCAGUAAAAUAGGACCUUAGAGCAUCAUCUAUAUUUUUGCGCCGCCCAUUCAUCCCCUGUUCACAAUCUAAUAAGUAUAAAAGAUCCUUUUUCUUAUCAUUGGAACCGGUGCUCCAUAUUUCCGCCCCAUCGAGAGAGAGAGAGAGAGAGAGAGAGAGAGAUAGAGAGAGAGAGAGAGAGAUUAAGUUCAUCGACAUGUCCAUCCUCUUUGACCCAAGAAUUUCUUUGGCCAUUCGAGGGAUAAUUGCACGGAGGCGUACAAAAAUCAAGUGAACCGAAUGGCAAGAAUAGUGGUCUUGCUGCCCGUCACUACUGUAAUCUUACUCUUUCUUGGAGUAUUCGGUUCGUUCAGUAGAAGCUAUGUCAACCGGGCAUUCACGUUGGUCGCAUUUGCGGCCUAUAACCCUUCCCCCGUUCUCAUCGCGUACGUGCUUGGCCUUAUGCAUUGGCCUUAUGCAAAGCGCUCCUUUCAAGGUUUCACGUUUCCCUUUCUGGGUGGCUUAUCUGGUGGUGGUUCUCCGAAGCGCAGAUUCCUACACGGCGCACAGCAUUUGGGACAUUGAACGGUGGAAGUCAUUUAAUGUCGACUCUGCUGCUAAAUGUUUCAUGACAAGUUGGAUGAUCGCUUCAUACAUGGACAAUUCGAGGACAGCAAUAUUGUGCACGGUGUUUCUUUUCAUCAUUUUAUUCAUGAAACUCGACAAAAGAGCACGAGCUUUGAUGUUGGCAAGCAAUUCUGUGAUGCAGAAAAAUUUCAAGUUAAUAUCUGACUACAUGAGCGCCAAGCACCAAUGGAACGGUUCAAGCGACACGGAUCGCUUUACAAUGCUCGGGUGUAAGUACUUGGUGAUAGUGGCAGACGAGGUAAAGGAGCACUCAUUGUGCUCAACAGAGGACUGUCAAAAAUUGUCAGAGAAUGAUGAAGUUAUUGCCGUUGAUAAGGUUUGGAAUUGCAAAGGGAUGCUUUUAAGUGAAAGCGGAGGAAACCGGGAUGGCCGACUCAAAGAUUUAUGCCUGUUUUUUUCGCUCUUCCAGUUCAUCUGCCUGAGAUUCAAUGGCUACUCAUUACCCCAAGAAGCUCACAAGAAGUUAUGGCAGUUAAUUAUACAUAUGCUUUCCGAAGAGAAGGGUUAUGAGCGAGUUUUUGUUGUUACUGAUCAAAAACAGUAAACAAGAAACAGAAAACCAGAAGCUAUAUUUUUCAUAUGAGGAAGAGAAGCACAGAGAAACAGAACACAAACUUGCAUACGUCUGUUCUUAAAGAAAAAAAAAACUGUCGAGUACCACAACUAAAUACAAAGCAAAAACUGCUCACGUACGUGCAACACAUAACUGCACACAAACGUGCUAUUAACUUCCUAGAAAAUAGCAAAAACACUAAAUACAUAACUAAAUGAACUUUGCUGUUUUUUAAUAAAAAAACAGAGGAAAACAGAGGAAAAAACAAGACAGAAAACAGCAACACUAAGACAUUAUAAUCCAACAAACUCCUCCUUGGAUCAGUUGCUGCUGCAUACUCCAAUUUUCUUUCUUAAUACUUCAAAUCUUCAAGCUUGAAGUGGUUUUGUGAAUAUGUCUGCAAGUUGAUCUUUAGAUCUGCAAUAAACCAGCUUAACUUCACCAUUUUGUUGCACCUCACGUAGAAAGAAGAACUUAACCUUGAAAUGCUUAGUUUUGCCAUGAAAAACUGGAUUCUGAGAUAUUGCUAGAGCAGCUUGAUUAUCCACAUUGAUUUCGAUACAGCCACUGGAAUUCAACCAUAAAUCUUUCAUUAUCUUCUUCAGCCACAAAGCUUGAUUUGUAGUUGCAGUAGCUGCUAUAAACUCAGCCUUUGCAGUAGACUGAGCUACAAUCUCUUGCUUUUUAGAACACCAGGAGAAACAAGCAGAACCAAAACUGAAAUAGUAUCCAGACGUAUUUUUCAUGUCAUCCACUGAACCAGCCCAGUCACUAUCAGAAAAUCCUUGCAAAUUAAACUUAUGACCUUUCUUAAACUUCACACCAAAGAACAAUGUUCAUUUGAGAUACCUCAAGACCCUUUUUGCUGCAAUCAAAUGUAACUGACUAGGACUACUCAUAAACCUGGAUAAAACACUCACAGCAAAUAGAAUAUCUGGUCUGGUUGCUGUAAGAUACAUGAGACACCCAAUCAGACUUCUAUAUAUAGAAGCAUCUACUGCAUCUGUUCCAUCAUUCUUCUGCAGCUUCUCUUUAGUAGCCAUAGGAGUGCUUACACUUCGACAAUCUUCCAUCUGAAACUUCUUUAGAAUUUCCUUCAUGUAUUUUUUCUGACAGAUGAAGAUCUCAUAUGAAGCUUGUUUGACUUCCAGACCCAAAAAAUAAGCCAUCUUUCCCAAGUCUGACAUCUCAAAAACUGCAAAUAGAUCUUGCUUCACCUUCUCUAUCAAUUCCAUAUCAUUCCUCGUCAUUAAUAGAUCAUCUACAUAAAGUGACAGAAUUACAACACUGUGAUUCACCUUCUUGACAUAAAGAGUGAACUCACUUAAGCUUUUUACAAAGCCAAAAUCUUGCAAAUAUCGAUCUAUCUUCCCAUACCAAGCUCUUGGAGCCUGCUUCAGUCCAUAUAGAGCUUUCCUCAACCUGUAUACACUCUCUUCUUGGCCUUUGAUACUGAAGCCUUCAGCUUGUUCAACCUCAAGCUCUCCAUUCAGGAAUGCAGACUUGACAUCUAACUGAAAUAUAUGCCAUCCCUUCUCUGCUGCAAUAGCUAACAGUAGCCUUAUUGUAUCAAGUCGUGCAACAUGAGCAAAUGCUUCAGAAUAGUCUACUCCCCAUAUUUGUGCAUAGCCUUUCACCACCAGUCUAGUUUUGUGUUUAUUAACAGAACCAUCAGGAUUAAGUUUUGUUCAAAACACCCACUUAACCCCAAUCACAUUCUUAUCAGAUGGUCUGUCAACAAGCUCCCAUGUGUGGUUUUUCCGAAUCAUUGCAAUCUCCUCCUUCAUUGCUGCAAUCCACCUCUGAUCCUCCUUAGCUUCCACAAAGUUAGAUGGUUCGAGCAUUGCCACAUUGCUUCUUUCAUAGAUUUCAGCAAGUGACCUUGUGCCUCUCACUGGUAUGUACUCUUUCCUUCCAUCCAAUUCCACUCAUCUCCCUCUAGAAAAACAACAUCUCUGCUUACAGUCACCUUCCCUGUCAUAGGGUGAAAAAUUCUGUAAGCCUUUGAUUGGAGACUGUACCCGAUGAAGAUUCCAAGCUCUGCUUUCUUAUCCAGCUUGUCCCUCUUGACCUCAGGAACAUGAGUGUAACACAAACACCCAAAAACCUUCAAAUUUUUCACAGAAGGUUUAACACCAUACCAGACUUCAAAAGAUGUUGACCUCUCUAAGGCCUUUGUGGGCAAUCUGUUCAACAGGAACACUGCAGUAUUAGCUGCUUCAGCCCAGAACUUCUUAGGCAACAUCUUCUCCUGCAUCAUACAUCUGGCCAUCUCCAUAAUACUUCUGUUUUUCCUCUCACUGACCCCAUUCUGUUGAGGUGAAUAGGGAGCAGUGAACUGCUACACAAUUCCUGCUUGCUCACAAUUCAACUUAAACUUGUGAGCAGUAUACUCAAAACCAUUAUCAAACCUGAGCAUUUUAAUUUUCUUCCCACUCUGAUUCUCAACUAAGGCUUUAAACUUCACAAACACAUCAGCAACUUUAGACUUGGCUCACAGAAAAUAAAUCCAACUCAUCCUAGUCAUAUCAUCAGUGAAGGUAAUGAAAUACCUGCUUCCAUUGAGAGAAGACUCAGACAUAGGUUCACAUAGAUCUGUGUGGACCAAUUGCAGCUUCUCACAUGCUCUCUAGCCUCCUCCUUUGAAAGGAAAUCUAACUUGCUUGCCAAGAAGACAAGUUCUGCACUGUGGAAAUUCCUCCUCCAAACUUGGCAAGUCAUCUGCCAAGCUAUUUCUCUGCAUAAACGACAUGCUCUUCCUGUGAACAUGCCCAAGUCUUUUAUGCCAUAUCUCUGCAUUUUCUUCUUUGCACUUUAAAGCCAUUUGUUGCAUCUCUUGUGGCUUGAACAUGAAACUCUUGUCCUUCAUUGGGAUUCUUAGCACUUCUUUGCUAUCUGCAUUAUUAAUAAGAUAUUCCUUCCCUUCGAACUUCACUUUAUAGCCCUUCUCAACUAAUUGACCAACACUUAACAUAUUAUGGUCAAUAUUUUGGCACAAAAAGAACAUCACUGAUCAGCUUCACCUCCUGAUUUCCUUCAAUAGCCACUGUACCCUUCCCUUGCACUUCGAUAUACUGUCCGUUGCCAAUUCUGACUCUGGACCUGACUAACCUGUCUAGAAUCCUAAACAGCUUCGAAUUGCCAGUCAUAUGAUUGGUACAGCCACUAUCCACCAGCCAUGCAUCAUUCCCAACAGAAGAUUUAGAAAAAGAAGCUACAAACAAGUGCUCUUCCUCAGUUUCAUUCACUGCUACCUGGGCUUCUCUUGCUUGCUGGUAAUUUUUUUCUUUGUAGAUGGCUUCCAUGUGACCCAACUUGUGACAUCUUCUACACCUAGCAUCAGGCUUUCUCCAACAUCUAAAAAACUGAUGAUUAGUUCCACCACAGUAUUGACAAGGCUUUUUGUUCUUCUUCCAUUUGCUAGACCCACCAGAAUUUCCUUCUUUUGCUACAAACUUGGAGUCACCAGCAUUUUCUCUGGACUGAAUCCAUUUCUUUCCUUUGCCUCCAUCAUUUGACUUCACUCUAGCUUGCAGCGCACCCUCUACAAACUCUUCUCUUCUCAUCAGUCUUCUAUGCUCCUAUGCCUGCAGAGCAUUUAACAAUUCUGCAAGCUUUAUAUCAGCUAAGUCUCUUGUAUUUUCCAGAGAUGCUAUGGUGGCUUCGAACUUCUCUGGAAGAGACACCAGGAUCUUCUGAACAAGCCUUUCAUCCUUCAAGUCAGUCCCUAAAACUCUGAUUUUUUCAGCUAUCCCAACCAACCUAUCAGAGUACUCCUUCACUGACUCUAAAUCUUUCAUCUGCUGUCUCUCAAACUCCCUCAAGAGAUUCAGCACCUUCAUGCCUCUUAUCUUCUCAUCUCCCUCGUAUUCAUCCUUCAAGAAAUCCCAUAUUGCCUUUGCAGAAUCACAUUUCAUGAUUCUUGUGACGAUAGUGGGUGAAAUAGCAGCGUACAAGCAUGACUUUGCCUUGGCCUUCCUUGUGAUUAUCUCUUUAUGGUACUUUAUCUGAUUCAAGGUCAGAUUGUCUGGAAGUGGAGCAACCUCAUAAUCAUCCUCCACAGCUUCCCACAGAUCAUGACCCUCCAAAAAUGCUGUCAUCUUAACAGCCCAUGCUUGAUAAUUUUCUCCAGUAAAUACUAGAGAAGCCAUCGUAGAGAAAUCACUCGACCCUGUCUCCAUCACCCUUUAACUUCUUUACACUUCAAUACUUGCUUCACUUCACAGUCCCUCAAGAUCAUUCAUGCUCUGAUACCACUGUUGUUACUGAUCAAAAACAGUAAACAAGAAACAGAAAACUAGAAGCUAUAUUUUUCAGAUGAGGAAGAGAAGCAUAGAGAAACAGAACACAAACUUGCAUACGUCUGUUCUUAAAGAAAAAAAACUGUCGAGUACCACAACUAAAUACAAAGCAAAAACUGCUCACGUACGUGCAACACAUAACUGCACACAAACGUGCUAUUAACUUCCUAGAAAAUAGCAAAAACACUAAAUACAUAACUAAAUGAACUUGGCUGUUUUUUAAUUAAAAAAAACAGAGGAAAACAGAGGAAAAAACAAGACAGAAAACAGCAGCACUGAGACAUUAUAAUCCAACAGUUUUUAGAGUCAUCAAAGUAGAACUUGCAUUUCUUUCCGAUUUAUUAUUCACCAAAUACCCGGUAAAUCUUAACCCACAUCGUUCCGGGUAUAGACUACUUCAACUCGCCAUUGUGGUUGGUGCUGCUCUGAUUUCAUUCUAGUACCUUGAGAGUCCUUUGACUGGUGGAUGUGGUUGCUUCAACUCGCCUUUGAUCCAGGGAGGGAACCUUUCGGUUCCUGCUUUGGCGACCGUCUUGUUGAUGAUGUCAAUCCUCCUCAUUGAGCUUGCACAGUUCGUCAUCAUGAUUUUCUCAUAAUGGGCAAAGGUGAUACACAUAUGCAAGUAUGUGCAAGAUGAGCGGUGCAGAAAGAACAGAUAUGCUGAGAAGUUGAUCGAGAUAAUGUGCAGGGUUCGGUUAUUGAAGCCUUGGGGAAGACAACUCCGUCAAUACUCGCUCCUCAAAUUAUAUAACUAUUCUCCAUGGAAGUGUAUAAAUAAUAGACUCACCGCUGCUUAUGUCGACCCUAAAAGGAAUGGUCAGGAUCAAAUUGCUCCCACCAAUUUGUCCGAGCAAGUGAUAAAGGCGAUUGCUCAGUCCCUAAUGAUGUAUGAUACCAGCAAUUUAGAGAAGGGGCAAGCAUCUUUGAGACCCAACAACAUGUUUAAUCAGCUCUCAUGGGCCUGACGUCAUGAGAUAACCACUCAUGUUAUAAUGGUCUGGCACGUAGCAACUAGCAAUCACUUUCUGCGAGCAUGAAGCAUCUCUAAGAGGGACUCAACUUUCAAAAGAACCGCGAGAACACUUUGGCAUAGCGACUCAGCUAUCGAAAUAUCUUGCUUAUUUGGUGGCUUUCACCCCUAGGUUGCUCCCUGAUCACCCUUACAGGACCCAAUCCAUAUUUCGUUCUGCUGUCAGCGAAGCCAGGGGUUUAUUCAAGGAAUCGUCGGUUUCAAUGGACAAGAGGAUUGAAAUGCUAAAGGGCAUUGAUGUUGAACAAUGCCAGGAAAACAUUGUUCUUCAAGGAGCAAAGCUAGGAAGGCAAUUUGCUAGUGUUGUGGCAAAUGAGGAGCAAAUUUGGAAGGUCUUGGCUGACUUCUGGGAGGAAAUGAUGUACAUGGCUCCAUCGAAUGCUGCAGCGGCUCAUGCUGACUACCUCCCCACUGGGGGCGAGUUUGUGACUCAUGUUUGGGUUUUUGUCUCUCAUGCGGACAUGAAGAGAGAGCCACACGAUGGUGAGUGACGUGAUGAUUCUGAGAGGAACUGAACUUGGCCUUAUGUUAUGAUGUUAUGCCUAAUAAGCUCUUUAAAAUGUCCAUACGGUUGGGAAUAUAUGUAGAAGUUUCUUUAUCUUGCAUCGAUCCCUGGUCAGGCUCUAGAAAACUCUCUCUUGUAUGAUGUAUGGUGUCUUCUUUUAUGUGUGUGUAGUUUGUUACUUGAUCCAGAAUAAUUUAUAAAAGAUUCAAGUUGGUUGUGCAUUUCUGAGAUUGUUUUGUGUUGAACAUGGACGAUAUGCAAUGGCUUUCUAUUUCUGUUCACACUUUGCAUGUUAGAGGAUAUUUAUGGAAGGAGUACACAUUUCCCAGAGCUACUGACAAAGUAGAUGACCAUAUCGGGUAUGUCAUGAAGUAAAAUGGAGCGCUUUGAACGAGACCAAAAGUGUAGGUGACAGCAGGGGCAAAAAUGGCGGAAGCCGCGAACGCCAUGAGCCCAAAAGCUCCAUCAUUGCAACAUCACUUCAUCGCACUAAGGACACAGAAAGAUGUAUACACAAGACUAAGAAGGUCAAUAAAGCCUUAAUCUGCGGAAUUGUAUCGAUACCAUCGAGCUUAUUCCGAUAAAAUUGCGUGAAUCGUGCAUUUUCUUACUUCGAAUCUCACGCUUGGUGUUCUUCUUCUGUCAAGCUUGUUCAAAGCAAGGACUCUGGAGGAUUCUUAUUGGAUAUAGACUCGGACGAGUCAUUUCCGUGUUCUUUUUUAUAUUCUUUUGUCCCGUUCCUUAGUUUCCCCGACAAUCUGACAUAUUUUUUUUUUGUUUUCGUCAAAAGGCAACAUGUAUAGUCAAAGAUUAUAGCUACUUUUUCGAAAUGUAAUUCGAAGAGAUUUUUUUUUUUGUUUUGGAUUUUUUUUAAAUAUAUAUAUUGGGUGAAUGGCAAAGCGUAGUGCUAUAAGGAUAAUUACCGGGAGCCAAAGCUAAGGCACAUGAAUCCUCCAGUGGCAAAGUCCUACGUACCUCCAAUCUCAUCCCAUCUUUGAUACUAAUAUUAAUGAUGAUAACUUGAUAAGUGCAGAUCGUACAGUAGUUUUUACAGAUAUCAAUGAUUCCUGUAUAUCAACAAGGACAAGAAACUAGGUUGUGACAGUUAAGGUGAACAAGCAAUAACAACAUGAGGGUAUCUCAUGACAACUUGAAGGUACCUAUGCCAAGCUAGUGUUCUUGGAUGUUUUUAGUUGCUGAUAGAAGUGAAAGGAUCAUUGAUUUUAUCAUCAUAUAUCAUUUUGUUGGUAUUGUCACUGGAGAUUGUCAACCAACUCGCUCACAUUCUACACUUGACGAUAAUGAGUUUUGAAUCAUGCUAUUGAGGGGUCAAUACUAAUGAUGGUGGUACGCUUCGAAAUUAUAUAUUCCUUAAUGGAAUGUAUAUUUAAUGAUCGUGCAUAUUUUGGUAAUAGAUAUUCAAAAAAAUAAAAUUUUUAGACUUGUGUAUAUAUAUAGACACACACACCGACAGACAUUUUGAAUUUCAAUGGAAAAGCACCCACAAUGGCUGCACACAAGCAGAGGGUACAGGUUUGUGGUGUGGAUGCAAACGUGGAAAGGUAACGGGAGAAGUAUACUACAAUGGUCAUGUCAACAAGGUAGAAAUUGACUUGGAUAAGAUUUUGCUCUCACGAGCUUGUCACAUUGGCAUACCAUCAUCGAUCCUUAACAAGACCCAAACUGAUUUUCAAUUUGUAUGGCAUUUUUUUUAUUUUGAUUAGGAUGGGGAAGCUAGGGACAAAUCCUUGUAUAUGAAGAUUCGAUUCAUUGUGAGUUGAAUGAAUCUCAAUCACUAUCCGUCCCAUUUAUUUAUUUGGGUCUAACCUGAAACAUAUAUCUUUCGAUAGAUAUAAUCACGUGUUCACAUUUCCUCUUCAAUCAUUCAUCUUUGAUGUCAAAUCAAUGGUUCGUGUUUCCUCUUCGAGUAUUGAUCCGGGAUGUCAAAAUGUCAUUUUAGUUCUCCCUCAUUUUUUUAUUUAACAAUAUAAAAAAAGAAGGUGUCAAAAUUUUUAACUCCAUUUGUUUAAGUGUUGAAAAGGCUAAACAUCAACAAAAUGUGGCCCCAACAAUUAUUUUCCACAAAUAAAGGCAUUUCAAAUAGAGUCUAUAUAUACAUGAAAAUUAUCCUCAAACUUUUUGCCAAAAUAUGCAAGGUUAUAUUAUUUCUUGUGCACCUAUUGGAGGGUACUAUUGAAACAUGCAUGGAAUUAGAGAUGCAGAAUAAUAGAUUCACAAGAAUGGAUUAGAAAUCUGUUAAAGUAAUAAUCAAAAAUAGCUUGCCAAGUAAAGGUGACACGUGAACCUCUCUUAUGACUCAAAUUUACGCAAUCUUUGCAUUAGUGCGCUUGCAGAUGUGAUUCAACAAUCAAACAUGUUGUUGAAUCCUUUUUUCUUUCUGUUAAAAAAAAAAUAUAUAUAUAUCCUUUUUUCUUUUUUAUACUCAUCCAACGUUUAACACAAUUGAUAUUAGUGAAAUCAAUUUUAGUAAUAAUUGACUGCUCAUUUCAAUAAUGAGAGACACGCAUGUUUUAUUAUUGGCUCUAUUUGAAGGUAUGUUACUCAUUUGGUCUACUUAUAUAUUUUGGGGCCACUUAAAGGAUCAACGAUCAAAGGGGAAAUAUGAACGGAUGCCCUGACAUCCAAGAUCAAUAAUUAAGGAGGAAACACAAGCUUCUAUGAUUAUAGCUAUUGGGUAUAGGACUCAAAUGAAUAAGAGAGAUGGACAAUGAUUGAGAUUUAUUUUCAUUCAAGUCAAGAUAAAUCAAAUUAUUAUAAACUCCUUUUCACAUGAUUAAGACGCAUGUUCAUUGUGGCCAGUCGUGCCUAAUAAAAUAACAUUAGAAUUCACAAAAUAUCUUAACUGAAAUUAAUUCUUGUUCUUCUUUCUUUCCUUGGAGCAGCUAAAUGGAGGAUCCGAGGAUAGGAACAAGAGAUUCAAGUGAUGGGACGAGCAAAAUGUGACAGGGAUUGCCAGCUCAUGGGUCUGACGUGUCACUUGGUGGGCAACCGAGCAAUGUAUAUUACUUGGCCGUGCUACUGGUCAUCAAUUCACUAAAAAUCCCUCAUUUUAGAUCCAAUAUUUUGGGGCCACUUAAGGGAUCAAUGAUCGAAGAGGAAAUGUGACCAUAUGACUUGACAUCCAAAAUCAAUAAUUAAAGAUGAAAUUAGGAAAGCCCUUUAUUAGCUAACUGAUGAAGAUGCAUGCAUUAACAUGACAAAGCCAAACUGCAUUUCCUUUGUAAGGCUAGGCUGAUCUUCUAAUUGGUUUGCAAAAUUCAAGCCUGAGCAUGCUUUUCAUGUUGAGCACAUAAUCGGACUUUUUCGAACAGGAAAUCUUUUGCAUCAUUUGGUAUUGGAGUGUACAUGUGUUAACACCAAAAAUGUUCUCGGCUAAACAACAUGAAAUAAAGUCGACAUCGCUGGGAAGCUUACAAAAUCUAAGGAUUAUGCCACAUAUCAAAAGGAACCUCCACGUUCCAAUGCAUUUUAGCUGUGUAAAAAGGCCUCCUGCUUUAGGAAUGAGUUCUAGUCCAUUCUUAAGCUCAUGCUUCGAUGAAUUGAAUUCUAAAUCCAUUGACCCAUCUGCAUGUACUUCGAGGGUUAUCUUAAAAGCUUACCAUGAUUUGGUAGUCCACCUUUAUUUUGGAUUCUGUGGUAGCCUCUUUGGCAUUAUGGAGACCACAUAUAUUAUGAGUUUUCUCAGAAUGAUGUUGGAAAUUUGAAAUAUCUCUUGGCUUCAGGUAAUCUUGCCCCUGGAUUAGACAAGUCAUUCAUUGGUUCUGAAGAAAAAUUUGGAACUGACAUCUCUCAUUCGGGCCACUAUUCUGACAUAGCAGAAAAAUCAUUAGAGAGAUUCGUCUCGGUAAUAUUGUCAUUUAGAUUUCCUAGUUCUAUUUCUCGUGCCAGGGGUUUCCGUGCUCCUCUGAAGGAUGUGCACAACACAUGUACGGAUAGGUAAGGACAUGACGGCACAUAGAUUCUCUACUUCUCUAAGCUCUUGAUUAUCCCUCAUUGAUUUUGUCCACUAUUAGGUCAAUUAUUUCCCUAGAUUUCAGUCAACUUGCAUAUGCGACGAAGAAGAACAGGAAGCCCAUGAUUCCAACCCGCAGGAAUUGAUUGUGGACAGUAUUUUUUUUUUUUUGAUUGAAACAGUAGAUAUUAUUAUUUAAGCAUUUGCCAAAUUACACCCCGAUGCUAUUGCAUCGGCAGCUACAAGAUCUUGCAAAAUGUAAGGGGUAAAGAUGUUCUAGUUGUGGGCUAGGUCAGGUCUUCCGUGGGCCUUGGCAGCCCAGUUAGCGGCACCAUUGGCCUCCUUGCGACAGAACUGCAGCCGCACGCUAGGGUAUGCGGGGAGCAGAGCUGUGAUUUCAUUGAAGAGCAUUCAUUCUUCCCAUGGCGGCUUCUUCUUCCCGUGAACUGUGUCGAUCAAGAUCUGGCAGUCAAACUCGAUUACAAUCUUUCCUGUGUGGAUGCCUUGAUACCUCAGAUGAUGCAAAGUGAAGGUGAGCGCUUGAACUUCCGAUUGAAACGCCGAGGCUGCAGGAAACCGAUUGGCGUAGACAUCUGUAAGUAUACCCUGAUGGUUUCGACUAACACAUGCCAUUGUUCCUUCUUGUCUACAUGGAUAGUAAGAGCCGUCAAUAUUGCAUUUUAGGAAGUCACGUUCUGGAGGUUUCCACAGAUGACUGGCGUCGACAGUAGCAUCCCCUGUUCUAGAUUUGCGCGUAGAAGAGGAGGAUCGGAGGCUGGACAGUGCAAGGGCAUCUUUGGGAUCUAGUGGUCUUCGACGAAAAAUCCAGCUGUUGUGCAUGCACCAGACUUGCCACAAGAUUUGCGCUAUUGUUGCCAAACCAAGUAUGAGCCUCUUAUUUGUUGCCCGUUCCGUGAGCUAGUCAUCAAUCCUCUGUAUUGUAGUAGAUGUGACUGAAAUGUUGAUCUUAGGGUGCUUCCAUACAUCGUUUGUCCAAGGACAGAAAAAGAACAUAUGUUCAAUAGUUUCCGGAGUCCUGUGUUUACAUAGACUGCAUAUUGGAGUGGGAGAAAUAUGUCGACGAAACAAGUUAGCCUUAGUCGCAAGGGCAUUAUGACAAAUUGUCCACAUAAAAGUGUGAAUUUUGGGCUCUGUAUGCAUAGACUAGAUCUUACGCCACAAUAUUUUGGGGUGCUAAUAUGAUGUAGAUGCCUGUUGAGCAGUUGCUGUGCUUGCCGUGCUAACCACUGAUCUAUAAUUACUCUUAACCGUGUGACUUCCAUCCUUGGUAGGCAUCCAGACUAACGUAUCUUUAGCAUAGGCAAGUCGUAUAGGAAUUUUAACAAUUUAUGUACUAACCGGAGUAUCGAAUAGUUGUUGAAUUAAUGGAAGAUUCCAUGUUUGGGUGAGAGGAUCAAUAAGAUCGACCACCCGCUCUGGCUCCUCUCGAGUUGCCGGUCCACCUAUUGUUCAGAUAGGUAGCCACCUAUCUCCCCGAAUCCUUAUCUCUGUGCCAUCCCCAACUGACCAAAUUAUAUUAGGUAGGAUGGUCUCUCGGCCAAGAAGAAGACUCUGCCAUCUCCAUGAAGGUCGUGUGCCUCUAGCUACCUUUUGGAAAUUCACCGAAUUGAAAUACAACCCCUUAAAGAUUUGACCCCACAACGAGCCAGGUUGUUGUAUUAAGCGCCAAGCCUGCUUCCCAAGCAUCGCUUUGUUGAACGCCAUCAAGUCUCGAAAGCCGAGCCCUCCACCAUCCUUAUCAGUUUUUAGCAAAUCCCAUUUCUGCCAAUGCACACCAACCCUGUUUUGGUCAGUCUUCCACCAAAUCUGGAAAUUUUCUGUUUAAUAAGUUUACACAAAGAUGUUGGCAACUUGAAAAUGGACAUAGCGUAUUGAGGAAUUGCCUAUACAACAGAUUUAAUUAGGAUCUCCUUUCUGCCCUUGGACAGAAAUCUUUCUUUCCAGCCCUCAAGCUUUGAAUGUAGUCUCCCUAAUAUCCAAGCAAACAUCUCCCUUUUAGAUUUACCCCACUCGAACGGAAUACUUAAAUAUUUACCAUACCAAUGCAACACCGGCAUUCUAAAAAUACCCGCCAAGUUUUCCUAUAAGGUCAACGGACAAUUUUUGCUGAAAAAGAGGCUUGAUUUGUUCCGAUUUAUAACUUGUCCCAUUGCCAUACAAUAUUGGUUGAGGAUAUUAGCAAGAUUCUGACAUUCCAUCAAAGUGCCUUUGAGAAAGAAAACAGAAUCAUCAGCAAAAAAGAGAUGCGAUAGUGUCGGGCAUGACCUGUUCAGCUUUAUACCUGUAAGAUGGCCGAUGUGAAUCGCUUGGUUAAUGAGAGUGGAUAGAAGAUUCGCCAAUAAUAUGAAGAUAUAAGGGGAUAGAGGGUCGCCUUGCCGGAGUCCUCUUGAUGGCCGAAAAUAUGAAAGUUGUUCUCCAUUAAAGCGAACACUUAAAGAGGCUGUGGUUAUGCAUUGCAUUAGUAGCUGAACCCAUCGGGAAUGAAAUCCCAAUCGCAGUAGAUAAUCCUGUAGAAAAUCCCAUUCAACUUUGUCAUAAGCCUUUUGCAUAUCUGUCUUGAGGAGUACAUUAAAGUGUUUCUUCCUUUCCCUCGUUCUAAAUUGAUGUAGUGCCUCUUGGACAAUGAAGACAUUAUCCUGUAUUUGUCUCCCACUCACAAAAGCAGCCUGCUCUUCUAAGAUAAGCUCACAAAGCCAUGGUUUCAGUCGAUUGGCCAAGACCUUGGAUAUAAUCUUGUAUGCGUAGUUACAUAGGUUGAUAGGUCUAAACUGGUCCAAGUUUUUCAGGGUGACUGGUCUUAGGAAUGAGAGUGAUAAUCGUCUUGUUAAUGUCUCUAGGCAACACCACGGAGCUGAAGAAAUCCCUUACUAAGUUAAGCAAAUCAUCCUGGAGGAUAUCCCAAUGGUUUUGGUAAAACAGCCCGUUUAAACCAUCUGGACCUGGUGCUUUUGUUUUCCCCAGCUGAAAGGCUGCUUGUUUCACCUCAGAGGCAGUGACUAGACUCAUCAAAUUAUCAUUCAUAUUAGCCGAUACAAUCUGUGGACACUGAUCCAGAAUUGGAGCAUAGUCACGAGGGCCUCCUGUUGUAUAUAACUGUUAGAAGUAGGCAUUUGUUAGCUCCUUCAAGGCCUGAUUGUCCCUCACCCAGUUGUGAGUCUCGUCUUGUAACAUGCCUAUCCUAUUUCUCUGCCGUCUUUGAAUCGUAGUUGCAUGAAAAAAAAUUGGUAUUCCUAUCUCCCCAUCGCAACCAGUUUAUUCUAGAGCGCAUAGCCCAAUACUUUUCUUCUUGCUGCCAUAUAGUUUUAAUCUCAUCCCGAAGCUGAGAAGCUACUGCUGUGUCUGUUCCAGAAUUAUAUGGUUGAUUUAUAAUGAUUUGAAGCUGUUGUUGUAAUGCUUGAACCUUCAAGUGGCCGUUAGAAAAUUUUGAACGGCUCCAAACAUGUAAGGCACGAGAAACCAGUCGUAGUUCAUGCAUAAGGUUUGAAUUACUUACCUUAACUGAGUUCCAUGCUUUGUAGAUGACCUCGCGGCAUUCUUGGUCUUGGAUCCAGUAAGCUUCAAAGAUGAAAGGCCUACCGCCCCUUUUAGGUUGAGCUAUAUUGGUCAAAAGAAGCGGGCAAUGAUCUGAGCCCAGGGCCGGAAAAACAAACACCUCCGCAGCAGGAUAUAGAAGUCACCAUUCCAGUGUGCACAGAACACGGUCCAGUCGUUCCUUAACUAAGUCGUCACCGGCUCGAUUAUUCAUCCAGGUAAAGGCGCAGCCCUUACUCUCUAACUCCAGCAAAACACAGUCAUUGAUGACAGUCCGGAAAUAAUUUAAAUAGUACCAAUCUAACUGGCACUUUCCGACCUUUUCCCAGGGAUAGAGGAUCUCAUUGAAGUCCCCAACGCAGAGCCAAGGUAGAGUAUUGGCAUUGCUGAUUCUUCUGAGGUCCUCCCAGAAUAACUAGCGAUUGUGGAAAGAUGAAGGAGCAUGAAGACAGGUCAACCGCAUCAGCCUAUCAUCCAUGGAGUCACGACAGAGCAUAUCAAAAAGGUACUCUGUACACUGUUCAAACUCUAAGGAUACUGUUUCAUUCCAAAAAAACUGCUAAACCCCUUGCUAUACCUGUAGGGUUGCGCACAAAAGAUUUGCUGAAAUGUAAUCGACGUUGCAUUCUAUGAAGCAUUGAUCCCUGAUUCUUAGUUUCCAUUAAAAACAAAAUGUCGGGCUUUUCCUUGGCCGUCAUGGCCUUUAGUGCUUGAACUGUCAAGGGAUUGCCCAAACCCUGACAGUUCCAACAUAUUAACUUCAUUUGUGCGGCGGUGGCUGUUUAGGGCCAGCCACCAUCGCCCACUGAGUCACCUCACUCGCUUCUAGAACUGGUGUAUCCAGAAACGGAGAAUCAUCAAAAUCGCUGCAAGCUGAAUGUUUCAUAUUAUAUGGUGAAUACCUUUUUGGUUUUUUUGCUGAUCCCACCUUUGGAGGAGCCAUAGUUCCUUUCUGUUGUUUUGUUUGCUGGUUUCCCAUGGUUGGGUUGAUGAUGUCUUUCUGUUUUGCACUCGCAGGGAUCAUAGCCGUUGUUAUACUUUUCUCAAUUUGCAUCAACUGUGGUUGAAUAGACGGAGCCGUCACUCCUUUUUCUGAGUUAUGCGAAGCUGUCGGUAAGGGCAGAGGAACGGCUAGAUCUUGUUGAGUCGACACUGGCACGGUUGGCAGCAAAGCUGGAGGUGUCUCAGGAAUGGUUUCGUCAUUCUAUUCAACAUCCUCAGGUGGAUUAUAGAACACGUUCUAGUAAGGACUAUGCUCUCCAACCUCUGCUCUCAGCCACUGAUCGUAAGCCAUCUUAUAUUUACCAUCCAUUUUGGCCUCUUCAAAGGGAUAUGUUUGACAGUAUGUGGCAUAAUGGCCUAUCUUCCCGCAAGAGUAACAAAAGUGGGAAAGCCGUUCAUAUUGGAAGUCUAUCCAUAGUGUUCUCCCAUCAAGGCAAAGCAGCUUGCCGGAUUGUAAAGGUUUAUUCAGGUUGACUUCGACUCUAACCCUUCCAGCUUUUAAUGAUAAUCCAUCAUGAAAACUUGCUUUGAUCUCUAAGACUUCUCCUACCUGUUUUAAAGCUUUCUAAUAACAUGCUCAGAACUCCAUUCCAAAGGUAAUCCGAAGAUCUAGACCCAAAAAGUGCAACGACUAAAGUCAUAGAGAUGUAAAGGUGUGUUAGGAACCCAUGGUUUGAAGAUUACCAACUGACUGGCGAAAAGCCAUGGUCCACCUUCCAAUAUCCGCUAUUUCUUAACUUCGGAAUGAAAUUUUGCUGUAUAUAGGCCUUCCUCUCUCUGUGAAAAGUCAACCUGGUCCAUCCGCCAUACACGCUUCAAGGUACUCUAGAGUGCUUGAAAGUUAAUAGCUGAUUUUGAUAGCACUUUACCCACUAAUAGCAAACGACAUUCCUCUAAUUGUUUAGGUUGGGGUUCGUCUUCCAAAAUUUCUAUUUCCUGUGCUGGGCAUAGCUGUCCCAAUCGUUUACACAAUGCCGCCAUGCGCAAUGAAUCAGCACUAUUAUCCGAAGCCAUGUUCCUCAACACAAGCGGUAGCAAUUUUAGCAGGGCCGUAUCAAUUUGCAGAUGGAAACAGGGGAUACACCGCGGCGCAUUUAGUGUAAACUUCAACCGAGCAGUGUUUGGUAGAAAGAGACCUGGCUAGACUUAGAGACAUUCCGAUGGCAGAAAGGCAGCUCUUAAAUUCUGCCCUAAUCCUAAUUCAGAUUAUCCGACCAUAAAGACCCCGUGCUUCAGAUGAAUAAUUUCAUAUCUCAUUUCAAGGCAGUAAUGGGACCACAUAGAGGUUGAUUUUUUUUUUUUUUCCCAAUAUGUUGGUUGAUCGAUUUUGUGGAAGGGCUUCAUUCUAAAAUUCCUAGGGACACCUUUUGUUGGAUCACGUUGAUUGGAAUCAUCUUUUAAAUUUCAUUCCACAAAGGCUCAAAUAUUGUGCCACAAAGUUCUGAUGGACCAGGUAGCGUGAUCAGUUUUGCUUUCGUGAUUGCAAGCGGCAAUGUUGGAUUCACAAUCAUAUAGAAUUUUUGCAGGGAAUUUUUUUUUCGGGAACAUGUAAAUUAUCCACAUGGCAGGAAUUGGCUAUUCAUUCUUUUUUCCACAUUAUCUGAAUGCCUUGACUCUGUGUGUGUGUGUGUGUGUGUGUUUUUUUUUUUUUUUGCCAACAACACUUCACAGUCGUUCAGUAAGAAAGAAAGUCAUUAAAGGCUCGAGAAGGUUUCUCUCCCACAUGCGAAACAAGCAAAUCACAAAGAAAAGAUAAGGGAUUAGUAUCCCACUCAAAAUAGCACAUCUUCUUCCAAGGCCGCAAAGCAAACCAAUAGGCAGGCGCAUUUGUUUCACGACCGAUAAGAGAAAAAGUUAAACUAUCAAGUUGAUCCUUCGCACUCCAAAUGUCAUCUAGCAGUCCUCUGUCUCCAGUUAGUAUCCUUUGCAUCACUUUGAAUAUCUCUACGAACAAUGGUAGCAUCCACCUCUUUGCAAACUCUUGUCCAUUGCUUCUACUUUGCCAAUUGAAAUGCUAUGGCAGACAGUAGCACCUUCUGUCUCCCCAGUUAGCAUGAACACAAGAUUCUGAUCAUCGCGAGCAUCCAGCAAACCUCACCAACUGCUCACUGCCUUGAUUCUUCCACAGAAGAGCCACAACAGUAGAUCUCCACAAGGCUAGGCUCAGCGUUAGACCACCAUCCCUUAGUUACACUAUCAUUUGAUGUAGACUAGUGUUCCACCUUCUUAUUCAUCAAGAACUUCCUUGUAGCUUCCCUUAACCAUCGUCCUACUGUCUCAGGUAUACGUCUUUUAACAACUGCUGCAUUCAUACCCUUCCAAAUAAACUAGCAGAAAAGGCAAUCAAUGGGGAUUAAGUGAAAACCAACUCUGGUGGAUUAGUCAAAAGUAGAAGAAAAUGCGGGCACAUCUUUACAAUGGGAAAUCAUGCAAUCGAUCAAUAUCAAUAAAAGUACUUAUUCAAAUACAUCAACAAGAGAAACUAUCGCACUAUGACAAAAGAUGAAUGUAAGGCUGAUCAGAACAAGGACUACAAUUAUAAUAACAUUACAAAACAACAGCGAAAGAUCAACGAAGCUGCUUUAGAGUUCAAUUUCUACAUUCCUAAUGCAAUUAUUUCUCUUUGAACAUAUAUUGGAUUAGCUCUUGGGUGAGAAAGAUGUUUGUUUAAUCGAAUAAUCCAACACUUUAGGUCGAGUAAUAUCCAAUCUAUGGUGUAUGACUUGGAAUCAGUUAAGAUAACGUCCAGAUUUGUAAUUGAUUCAUUAGCCAAAUGAUUGAUUAUUUUUAUUAUAUUGUGAAUAUAGGAUUUUAGUUUUAUAUAGUCAUUUGUAGUAGAAUCUUAUUUGACUUUAUUCAAACAAGGCAAUCAAUAUCUAUUAAUUACAGAUAUAAAUAUGCGCUUUCAUUUUGAUGGAAGUCAGCAUAUCUUUGAAUUGAUGACAGAAUUAUGAGCGAUUUUUCUCUGAAUUUGUCUUUCACACGUAUAUGACCUAUAUACGUGUUUUGCGAGUUCUACUUAUAUUUAUCAAUUGUCUCUGUUGUGCCUUAAUUUUGCAUGAAAGUUUUCCUACAUUGAGAAAGGCUAAUGGUCCAUGUAGAGAAAUUAUUUUGAUCCCGAACGUUUAUAAGAGUGAAAAUUGUUACAAGAAGUGUUUUGGAAAGGCAAUGGCUUCUUAUUUAAGGGCAAGAUGGGGAACCAAAUAAUGGACGGUGAGGAUGAGGAGUGGGCCCUCUUGAACAACAGGGAAUUGUCGGCUAGCGGCAUAUUCUCUUGAUUGGGGUUACACUUGGUGCUCGUCCUAAUUCCCUAAAAAUCCCCAACUUUAGGUCCAAUCACAAUCUUAUUUUGAACUUUUUUUUUCAUUUAAAAAACAAUCAUAAAUCUAUCCCAAGUCCAAAAAUCCCCAAUUGGCUUCUUCAAAACUUUAAAUAUUGAGAGGCUGCUAUAGUUUCGUAUAAAGAUGACAAUGCGUUGACACCUAAAUUUUACUUAUUUAUUUAGGUUUUACAUUACAUGAAAAAUUAAGAAAUAAUUUUUAACCCCUAAAAAAAAUUAUUUUUUAUUAAAUUACAUGGCGUAUAAAUAGUAUGAACAUUUGCAUUACUAGUAUUAAAUAAUCAAACAAAUUAAAAGAAUUUCUUUAAAAAAAAAAGAGGGGGAGAGGCCGGGCCAGGGCCGGCCCGGCCCGGCCCCCUUUCCUCUUUCUUUAUCUUCUUCUUUCUUUCCCCCGUGCGGGCCGGCCCAUCUCCUUUGCUUUCCGGCCCGGCCCGCUCAUCUCUUCCCUUCCCCCUUCUCUCCUCCCUGUCGUAGACUGUAGCUCGACGACAAACACAGGACGAAAGACGCCGGUACAGGGUACAGAGAACGCCGCGGAGAACGUCGCGCGGUACGGGUUUGGAUAGAGGCAGCUGGCGUCGUCCUGGCCUGGAGAGAGGACGGAGAGAGGCAUAAAGCGGCAAGAAAAGGCCAAGAGAGUGGGGGAGCUCGAGGGUGGCUGCUUCUCGAAGGGUUCGGCUUCUCUGGUUUGAGGGAGAGGCGGCAACCCGGCUUCUCUGGUUUAUGCGUGUUUUACUUCUAACUCGUUUGCGUCGAACAUUUCCUGGUUAUUUUCCUUGAAUCUAGAUCUGAAUCCGAGUUCUAAGAAUGGUCAAUGUCUUUUUUCUCGAUCUGUGCUCACCGUGUGUUCGAGGGAAUGCCCGAACCAAAACCGGUCGCUUUUGUCUCAGGUUCCAAAUUGUUCCGAGGAUUCAUAGAUGUGUCUCGUCCGGUGCAACGUUUUUACUGAUUGCCGAAUACAUUUCUUUGCUCAGAUUUCAUCUCUUCAAAGUCAGGAUAGCCCUGGAUUUUUAUUUGUCAGUUUUGUCUCGUGCUUUGAUAUACCCUAUGAUUGUUCGUGGGGUUUAUUGUGUGGCUGCAAGUGCGAGCGUCAAGUGCGAGCGGGUAGAUUGUCUGGGGUUCGGAAGUCGUUUGCUAUGGAGAUCCGGUGAUGGUCGGGUCGGUUGUUGGCACUCGGCAGGGAGGAUGUUUCACGAUUUGGUUUGGGGAGUCUCGGUCAUGGACGCCUGACGGUGGGAUCUGUAUAUGCGAUAUACUUUGAUUCCUGAAGUCCUCGCCGUUUUCUUGCAUUUCGGUGUGUUUUGGCGAUGUCUUGGGGGCAAGUGGAAUAGGGAGAGACGUUGAAAGGUUUAAGGAAAUAGAGAAAAAAAAAGGGGGAAAAUGGGCGUACUUUUACUAAAAUAGCAAAAGAGUCGUGAUUUUAUUUUGGACAAAUUUAGACUUGGUUUUAUUAUAGGAUUAGUAAGAGUUUAUUUUGAUAACAAUUGUAUUUUGAGGAACAAUUUCUUUUUAGAAAGCCUUUUUUCAAUUUCUAUCAUCUAGAGCAAUUUCUGAAUAAAAGAACGCAUUUCGUAAUCAUACAAUAUUCCUAUUCUCAUAAUAAUAAUAAAAAAAAGACUGAAAUGUAUUUGGUAUGAUCAAUAAUUUUUUUUUUUUUUUAUAACGCAGCAUUUCUUUUAAUUUUUUAAUAGGUUGGGGCAGGUGGUGGCUCGGCAGUGGCCAGGGGUGGCAAGUUUCAAGGAAGAAGAAGAAAGGAUAAAAAGAAAAGAAAAAAUCACUUAUUUCUAGAAAUUAUUUUUAGAAACAAAAAGCUUUUUUUUUUUUUUUUUACUUCUCGUUUCUGCUCCAAAUUUAUUCUCCAGCUACUUUUCUAUUUUAAAGAAUAGAAACAUUAAUUAAUGUUUUCAAAUAUAUUUAUGUUCUUUUUCUAUUUUGAGAGCAAAAUAAUAGAAAAAUAAAGAAACAAAAGCGUUGCCAAACAGAGUGUAAGUCUUUGGCUUGAAUUGAAGUUGGGAGAGCGGUGCUUAAUUGUGGUUAUAAUUCCGUUUGGGUUUGGUCUGCCCUACCAAAAGCUUUGGGCUAUUGAUGCAUUGGGCUUAAUUCACUUUUAGAUUAGGCUUAAGUCAUUUUGAAAAUGGAUUUAACAUUAGGGCGCAAAUGUGUCCGUGACCCAGACUCGCGAAACCAUAUGUGUCCACGUUUGAACUAGGGCCUAGGGUCUAGCCCGCAUCCCUAUUUUUGGAUUAAAAAUUUUAAAAAUAAAAAAUAAUAAUUAAAAUUUUGAAAAAAAAAUAUUUUUCUUAAAAAAAAAGCUUAAAAAAUAGUUUUUGGCUAAUUUAUCUUAAAAAGUGGAAGCCUGUCAAUCCAAGAUUGUGCUUAAAAUUGAACAAACCCUUACGGCUUUACCAUAGGGUUUCGAUCAUUCUUGAAGACAAAUCCCCUUAGUUGCGCACUUUCAAUAUGUUGAUUAUGGCUUCCCUCUAGCUUAAUUCGGAUUAGCAUUUUUCUUUUUCUUAGUGUUAGAUCUUUGUUAUUCCAUGCAAUUUAUUUAAUGCUUUGUUUGAUUGUUGAUUGUUAUGUUAAUGGUUGCAUACCCAUAUAGUGCCUCAUAUUUUAGUGGAUAAAUAUAAAAUCAAUUCAAACUGCUUGAGCAAAAUCUUUUUUUUGUAAAAUGAAAAAGAUUAUGUACCGAAAUGGUACUAAUUAGUUAAUUAGUGUAAUCAAGUCCCCAACUCCAGAUUUUUUGGUUGCAUAGGAAGUGAAAUACGCUUUCACACUUCACUUGGUUUGUAGCCAACUUUGAUAAGCUAGUGGCAACUCAUUUUUAGAAAAUUCUCACACCAUUAAUUUUAAUACCAACAUCAUACGAGGUAUGAGCUUGAGAGAGUCCGCGGCUAAAUCAUGGGUUGUAGGCCCGCCUUUUAAGCAAUAUCUCUAAACCUAUUUUCUUUCCUAUCGAAGGGUAGGUCAUGACAAAGUGCUGGUGAAAACGCAGGUUAUUAAAUUAUCUUUUAAUUGGCCAUGAUAUUAAUAAUUUUGAAGAAACCACUGACGAUUUUUGGACCUAGGGGCAAAUUUGGGACUAUAGUAAAAGUUGAUAAUUUUUUUUUUUUGGGCAUUGCUAUUUUCACCCCUUACAUGGCUAAAUCCACCUUAUAUUCACUAAAAAAAAUGCCAUCAAUCAUUUAAUUGCAAUUUAAAAUAGUGGCCCAAACUUAUUCACUUUCCUUCUUUUUAUUUAAGAUUUUUUUUAUGUAAUUAAUUAAGAUUUCACUUUUUUUUUUGCCUUGUGUUUAUCCCAUAUAUAUUAAAGAUACUAUGUAUUGUAAGAUUUUACUUAUGUAGAAAUUAGUUUUGUCAAAGAGAGAAAUUUUCCAAAAACCUAAUUCUUUUCAAAGUUGUCUAUCAAAUUUGUGGAUUAAUUGACAAGUAGAAUAUAGAAAUUUUUUAACAUAGACAUUUUUUUAACACAAAUACUUGUUUAUAAACUUUCACAUUUAUUGUGUGUGUCACCAUCAAACUUUAUCAGCUAUCUUUUAUACACAUAUACAUAUAAUUGAAUAAUCAAUGAAAAAAAAUUUAUAAAGAAUUUCUAAAAUAAAAUCAUAAUUUUUUUCUCGAAUGUGAAACUUUAAAAGAUGAGAUGUAAUUAAAUCGCAACAAUCCUAAAAUAAGAUUUUUUUUUUUAAAUACCAAUGAAAUCUCAUCAUUUUGGCUUGACAAAAAUUAAAAUCAUCAAUGAGAUAUUUUCGAACAAGAUAAGAAAGGGUUUAUGUGAUAUCACAUAUUUUCAGUCAUGUUUCCUAUUGAAUAAAUUGGGCAUUUCAUUAACGCGUCUAUAGGGCUGUUCUUAGAGCUGAUCACUCUCGAGAUAAAAAUACUAUUCAGGGAAACCAUUAAGGAUUUUAAGGCAAAUAGACUUGAGAAUUCGACCAGGAAUCGGCUGCUCGACCUUGUUCAUCUGCUAAGAUCAUUACGGCACAUACAUAAAUUGAUUAGAGAUCAGAGAUAGGUCGGUUCGACAGAAAUGUGUGGCUAAUUGUGGGUGACACUGCUAAAUUGGAAAAUUCUCGUCGGCUGACACUAGACUGAAUUCUCUAUCGUUUUGGUACCCUGUGUCCGUAUUUGAAUUCUCGAGAUUUUUACGACAAUCGAGAGUUGCCAAUGUGUCGAGUGGGUUCAUUGUGGCUCGAAGAAAAUCGACUACAGGUCAUUUGCACUAAAAAGUUCUGAAAACUACCCGGUAGUCUAGGUCACGCUAAAAACGCGCCGAAUGGAAAUUAACCGCCAAUUUAAGUCUGAUUUCAGAAAUUGAAAAUUCUUUCGUGUCACAAUCUAUUUUAGGAACGUCGACUCAUCCUCCGAAUAAUUUUCAGAGAUUUCGGAAAUUUUUAUGGAAAAUAACUUCGGAUGUUGCGGAAAAUUAACGGAAAUUCGGAUCGGCCGAAUUGAAGAGAUUUUCGACUUGUAAACUGAGCUUUAUGGCAAAGAGGACCUAUAGAAAUUAUGCAGAUUUUUUCUACAUCAAAUUGGACGUCGAAUUUGGGAAAUUGUCGAAGAAAUAAAUGUCCCGAAAAAUUGUGAAAUUCGGAUUUAAAGGAGGGCAGCAUUAAUUUGGGCUUUAAAUUGAUUUAUUGGUGGAAUAUUGUGCUUGAAAGUGAUUGAGAGACAUAGGGGAUGAGAUUGUGGGCUUGUGGGGCCAAAGCAUUCAAUGUAAUGGCUAAGGAUUAUCUAAGUUCACCCUCCUCUUAGCUGGCUUCUCCUUUACGUGCGCUCCAUCUUCGGUCUUCAUCAUCGCUCGCCAAUCUCCCCCUCCGCAACUUCAUCUCUCUCUCCCUCUCGUUGUUGCUUCAGCCCGAGAGCCCACCGACCGGCCCACAACAAACGAAGCAGCUUCACGUGUGACGCCCCUUGCGAUUGCCUCGUCCAGCGCGCGUCCACGAAGUCCACCGAAGCCACCGAAGGAGCUGCCCUCGUCCGUUUCCUCUCAACGUGUGUCUCUCUUGGCCCAAGCGAAGCUACUCCUCCAUCAAGUGUCUUCUGCCAAGCGUCCUCUUCAGUCAACAACCGAAAGCACUGAAGCCUCUUUGUUGACCGAACAACACACGUGAAUCUCUCCACCAGCUCAACGCCAGCAAGACCGAAGUCCAUCGUCUUCAUCCAAGUCUCCACGCGUCCCCUGCUGGUCAAACGAAGCUGCCCCUUCUUGCCGGUUGUUGACCAUCAUCUCUGCCACCACUUCACGUUUCGCUGCCCUCUCUCACGCCACAACGUGACCGAAGCCAGCUGCCUUCGUUCACGAGGUCUUCCACGAAGCAAAUCCGUGGGCCGCGUCUUCCCCAGAUCAGCCACCGAAGCUGCUUCUGUCUUCGGUCCAGUAGCCCAGCAAUUGGACCAUUAAAGCCCACGGUUUGGGCCUUCUUCUUCUUCUUCUUCAGCCCGUGAAGCCAGCAAAAUUCAAAUCCACCAGCCCACUUGGCAAGCCCAAUUCCAGCAAUUAAAUUUCAAGCCCAGCGAAGCCAUCACCUUCGGCCCAAUUGCAAUCAGGCCCAGUGAAUACAGCUCUGAAGCCCAGCAAAAUUAGAGGCCCGCGAGGACAGCCCAUUCAAGGCCCGUUCUGUCAAGUGAAGCCCAGUCCAGUACAAGGCAAAUCUCAGUUGGGCUGAGAUUUGUUGGGCCAAGUUUAAGGCCCGGUCCAAGCCCGCCGGUGUCGUCGAAAGCCCGAUUUCGGCCGAUCUCGCGUCGCCGUUGCGGUGAUUCGGUCUCCGUUUUUACCAAGUGAGUUUUACUAACUAAUGCUUUCUUAGUUUGCUAAUGAUGCUUAAGAGUUGGUUAGAUUUAAUUAAGUGUACUUAGGUUGUUAGAUUAGUUUAGAACAAUUAAAUUAGUGACUCAAUGAUCCAUGUUAGGUGGUUAGACUUAGUCAUUAGCAAGUAAAGAGCUUCUAAUAAUUAUUGAAUACAUCUCGGGAUUUUUCCCGAUCCGUUCUGGCGUCCAAUCAGGCAUUACGGGCCUAAAUUGGAUUUUUAGUAUUUAAUUAUUAAUUUUCGAAAUUAAUUUAAUUAAUUAAUUAUUUUCCGAAAAUUAGGCAGGGAUAGCCGACGACCGAAAUUUUAUGCUAAUUGUCAUGGUGCAAUCCGUUUAUUUAAUUGAGCUCUAUUUCAUGCUGAAUUGAAUUAUUUGUGAAAGAAGGAAUUAUUCUUUAAUUGGAUAAUCAUUGGUUAUUAAUUGAAAAAUAACCGGGUAUCGGUUGAUAAUGCCAAAAAUAUUUGAGUGGACUACAGUAUAUGUGGGAGUUAUGGAAAGGAAAAUAUUAUAUUUUAGCUAAGGCCGACCGUGUCUUCACACACGGCUAUUUUAUCGAGAAUGAUAAAAGAUGGAAUGGAUUGAAUGGUUGGAUAGUAUACUAUAUCAUCCUACGGGCUCUGAUAUGUCAGCUUAGUGAGAGCAGUAUACUAGUGUACUAUAUCAGCCUACGGGCGAUAUGUUAACUUAGCGCGAGCAGUACACUUUAUCAGUUUAGAGUGAGUAUCGGGGGUAUACUAUAUCAGCCCGCGGGCGAUAUGUCAGCUUAUCGAGAACAGUAUACUGGUAUACUAUAUCAGCCUACGGGCGAUAUGUCAGCUUAGUGAGAGGAGUAUACCUUAACUCUAUCAGCUUAGUGCGAGCUAUACUAUCUAUUUAUCAGCUUAGAGCGAGCAGUCCUAAUAUGAACGGACUUAUAGAUAGUAUGAGAUGAGCCGACCAAGAAAAUGUUGAGAUGACAUGUAAUCGACUAGGUCGAUUGAUCAUUACAUUAAUCUGAUGUUGUGAAUUGACUGAGUGAUUGGAAAUGACCAUGAGAUGGUCCGAUUGACAUGUAAUCGACUAGGUCGAUUUGAUUGAUGCUUCGAUCAGUGAUGUGAUUACUUGGGUGCCUAUUGAAUUGUGUUAAUAUGCAGGUGGAAUAUGAAGCCAAGGUAAGUCCUUUGAUCUGUGCGUGUUUAGGCAGCCCAUAGUGUAUUGGCUUACUAAUCGGGUCUUAGGGGGUAGAACUCGCUGAGACGUGGUCUCAUUGGUUAUUGAAUAACCAUUUCAGGACCCUGAGGUGGAGCCAAAGAGGAGGAACCUAAGGAGGAGAGCACUGAUGUGAAACCUGAGAAGAAGAAAGAUUUUUGAAGCAGAAGAUGAUCCAGAGAGGGAUCUUGAGUACAACCCGGAUGUGGAUUAAGAUCCCAUCCCUUUUGUGAACCCUGUCUUAGUGUAGAUAGGUGUGAGACAAGUAUGCUGUGAAUAGUAUUGUAAAUAUACUAUGAGUUGUGCUGUUAAUAAAAGUGUGGUUGUGAAUUUCAAUAUGAAAAAUAUGGCCUGCUUUUCUAUCACAUUGUUUUAUUGUCUGGGGAUUUAUAACUGCUUCCGUAUGUGUAAUAAAAGGAAAGGGUCAGCGAUACUUAGUCCUGGGAUAUCGCACGUUAAAAUCGACCUGGUAGAAGGAUGGGCGCGUCCCCGAGGAUCGGGGUGUGACAUCCCCUUUUUGUGGUAUCAGAGCGAAGUUCAAGAUUAGAGUGAUAAGGAGCGUUGACCAUGGGAUAGUUGGUAGGAAAUGCCUUUAAAUUCAUGCUAGUGCAUGUCUGUGUUAGUUGAGUGCUAAAAUUGUUUGUUGUUUGAAUCGCUCUAUUUCUAAUUCGGUGUUGAAUUGGAAGCAGGUGUCAGUUGUUUAGAACAAUACUAUGAGCGAUCAGGAGCCGAGGACUCAUGCUAAGAGGGCCAGUAGGGCUGUGACUCGGGGCAGAGAGCCGACUAGAGUCGGUACCUGAGGAGGCCGUGGUCGAGCGCCAGCACAGGCUAGCGUGAGUGGAAUGGUUCCACCUGUUGUAGAUGCUAGAGUAGCACCACCUCCUAUUGGUGCUGGGGUAGCAGCCCUGGGGAGCAAGGAACUGUCGGAAUCAACCAGGCUCUAGAUGCUAUGUGGGAGAUGAUGGGGCAACAGGCCCGAGAUCAAACUGUCGCCUUUACUGCCGCUGUUGAAGUUGCCGCCACUGCCGCUGCCAACACUGCCAUUGCUGCCGCAGCUGCCGCCGUACCUGUUGCCGCACCUGUCGCUGCACCUGCCGUAGCACAAGCUAAAGGUCCACCCGGAAUAAUGGUCGCGGACAGACCAAUUCAUCAGUUGGUAGAACAAUUCCUGAAGCUGAAUCCGCCUCAGUUUACCAGGAUCGGAGACCCUGAAGCUGCUACUUCAUGGAUCCAGAAAUUGGAGAAAGCUUUUGCACUGCUAAUGUGCAAUGAGACUGAAAAGGUAGUACUUGCAACUUACUAAUUGGAGGGAGUUGUAGAUACUUGGUGGAAGACGACUCGAGCAACCAUAUUCCUAGAAGGCGUUGUUCUAGAGUGGAACGCCUUUCUAGAGGCCUUUAAUGUCAAAUAUUUCUCAGAAAUUGUGAGAGAGGUGAAGAUGGCAGAAUUUCAACGUCUUCGCCAGGGUUCCCUAACCGUCGAUCAAUAUGAGGCGAAGUUCGCUGAACUUUCGCAGUAUGCUCCUGAAUUAAUUGCGAAUCUAGUAAAUCGAGAGAGGAAGUUCAGAGAAGGAUUUAGGCCAGACGUAAGGAGUACAUUGAUUUCUCUGAACCUGAGAACUUAUAAUGACCUUUAUGAGAGAGCCCAGAUGAUCGAGAAGGAUCAGAACAAUAGAGCUGCCUCAUUUGGAUCGAGAUUUAGCUCUCAUCGAGAAAAUAUUCGCCAGGGAAAGAGACCUAUGCCUAGAAAUAGCUUUCAAGUCUCACCCAAUAGGAGAGGUGGAGUUGGCAAGCCGGCGCCAUAUGUGAUCGAGAUGUGUCGCCUUUGCGGAAGACGACAUCCUGCUAAUCGGUGUCCCUGAAGAACGGGCGCCUAUUUUGAAUGUGGCCAGCAGGGUCACAUGGCCAGAGAUUGUCCAAGGCGACCACGAGGACAACCACAGUUGCCGUCGCCGCCACCUUUGGGACAGAUCAGAGGGUAUGCACCUCAGAACGCGCCGCAAGGAGGUCAGCUGAGACCACCGGUUCAGGGUAUAGUGUACGCCAUCACCGGAGGACUAGACAAAGGGAAAGCACCGCAGAUAGAACACCACUAGGAUGACGAAAAGAACAGGAAUGGACUGACUAGGCACCGAGCAAAGGAAGAAUGUUUUUGAGGUGUUUUUAUCAGAGUAGAGCAACGGGAUUUUGAGUGAAGGUUGUGAAAUUUCCGUUGUUGUAAUAAAGUGGUAAGGAAAAUGAAUCUCUAACUAUAAUUGUACUUAAUGGGUUUGCCUAUGUAUAACUUUGAUACUAUAUAAAAAAAGGUUUGACUCGAUGAGCUUUUGUUGUAAUGAAGUGUUGUUGCAAUGUGAUACAAUUUAGUUCGCCGACAGAGGAAAAAUUUGAAAUUAUCAUAAGUCAAGGAGGACCCUCGAUUUCCCUAAUCUCAUCGCAAGAGGCAACCCGUUUAUAGACGGAGGUUGCCAAGGUCACAUGGCGAUUGUCAUAGAUAAGAUAGAUUGAAGAACUGAAGGUUGAGGACAUCUCAAUAGUACAAUAAUUUAUAAAUGUCAUUGUCUGAAUUGAUAGAACUGAAGGUGCAGAGGUGAGGAUUGGUGAAUAAAGAAUUCAUGCAUAUCGGUGCAUUACUUUGGGGAAACAUUAGUUUUGUUUGAGAAAAAGAAAGAUGAUUCGUUGCGAGUAUGCAUCGACUAUGGUUAACUCAAUUGAGAGACAAUAAAGAACAAGUGUUCAUUGCCGAAGAUCAACAAUGUGCAUGAUCAGUUACAAAAAGUGUCGAUACUUUCAAGGUUCGACUUGAGAAUAGGAUGUCAUCAGUUGGGAAUCUGGAAGGAAGUUAUAUCGAAAACAGCAUUAUGAAUUAGAAUUUUAGAAGAACUGUGAUUGUGAUGUCUUAUGUCACCCUAGAAAGAUGAAUUAAGUCGUAAGUGCACUGAAUCAAAAGUCUUCAGGUGCACAGAUGGUGAUCAAGGAGUGGAAUUUACUCGAGAGAGCUCGAGGUUCAAUUUUCAAAUUUGAGGUAGGCUACCUUUCGAACCUUAUGGCCACCCUCAAAAUUGAACCAAAGGUCCAGUUUAGGAUUUGGACGUUUUAGUUGAUGAACAUAAAUGUUCAAGAAAUCCUAUAAGAGGAUACCGGUAAAAGAAAGGUUGACUUUCAGAUUUCGGAAAUGCCGAAGUAUUGUGGGUGAUGAUAAGUGUCAGAUAGUACGGAACUUGAGGAGGAGACCUUGUCAGGAAUUCAGUGUAAUAGUUGCAGUAUUCGACCAGACAGUACAAGUAGGUUGGAAUCAGUGUCAAGUCGAUUGGCAGACCAAUGUGAAAAUAGAUAUCAUUGGAUAGGUUGCAAGUGUCAGAUGUGUCGGUAAAUAGAAGUUUAGUAAUGCAAAUCGGGAGGACCUUUAUAAUCACUCGAGAGUUUUGAGUGGGAAUGGAAGUAUGUUACGAUGGAAUGUUGUGAUAGGUUUACCAGGGAGUCAGGGGAAUAAUGACUCUAGUUGGGGUAGUGGUUGACAGACUGAUGAAGUCGGCCCACUUUAUUACCAUAUGGAAGGGUCUUGAUUGGAAUAGACAUGCAGAAGUAUAUGUGUGUCAGACAGUUCAUUUGCAGGGAGUGUCAGUGACAAACUUAUAUCAGAUCUACUACUGAGGUUCCCAAUUUCAGCAGAACAUUAAGAUAGUUCCUUUUGAGGUAGAAUAGAGCAGAGUGUGCAGAACUUCAGUUUGUUGAGAUGAGAUCAAAGAAAGAAAGAUUAGGUCGAGAGUCAGUUCAGCAGUCAGUAGUUGCAAUUGCCGUGAUCAGUGCCAGAGUGCAGACUGCUCAGAACUGCCAUAAUAAUUGAGUUGUUGAGCAUUGAAGGCCCCAAAAGUUCUAAAUUGGUGGGUACACCUUUCUGAAGGUGUCAUCAAUGAGGGAUACCUUGCGCUUCAGCAAGGAGGGGAGAAAUCUAAAAUCGAAAUACGUAGGUCCCUUUGAGAUUCUGAAAAGAAUCGGGAUAUUAUUGUAUUGUCUUGCAUUGUUGCUGAGGUAAGCACAACUGCAUGACGUCUUUCACGUGUCGAGGUUGAGGACGUACGAACCUAACCUGACCCACGUGCUAAAUCUUGAUGAAUUAGACAUGGAUGACAGAGUGUCGUACGUGAAAAGCCCGGUUCAGUUUGUGAUUCAAAUCAGAUUUGGUGAACCAAGAUAGUCCCCUUGGUCAAAGUGGUCUAACAAUGCCACGAGACUGAAGAAGCAACCUGGGAAGGUGAGACUAGAUGAGAUGACAAUACCCCCACAUUUUUGUUUAAGGAUUGGUAAAAGUUUAAAUUUCGAGGACGAAAUUUUUAUAAGAGGUGAAGAGUUGUGACAUCCCAGAUUUUCAGUCAUGUUUCCUAUUGAAUAAAUCGGGCAUUUCAUUGACGCGUCUAUAGGGCUGUUCUCAGAGCUGAUCACUCUCGAGAUAACUAGACUAUUCGGAGAAACCAUUAAGGAUUUUAAGGCAAAUAGACUUGAGAAUUCGACCAGGAAUUGGCUACACGACCGUGUUCAUCUGCUGAGAUCAUUAUGGCACAUACGUAAAUUGAUUAGAGAUCAAAGAUAGGUCGGUUCGACAGAGAUGUGUGACUAAUCAUGGGUGACACCACUAAAUUGGAAAAUUCUCGUCGGCCGACACUAUACUGAAUUCUCUAUCGUUUUGGUACCCUGUGUCCAUAUUUGAAUUCUCGAGAUUUUUACGACAAUCGAGAGUUCCCAAUGUGUCGAGUGGGUUCAUUGUGGCUCGAAGAAAAUCGACCAUGGGUCAUUUGCACUAAAAAGUUCUGAAAACUACCCGGUAGUCUAGGUCACACUAAAAACGUACCGAAUGGAAAUUAACCGCCAAUUCAAGUCCGAUUUCAGAAAUUGAAAGUUCUUUCGUGUCACAAUCUAUUUUAGGAACGUCGACUCAUCCUCCGAAUAAUUUUCAGAGAUUUCGGAAAUUUUUAUGAAAAAUAACUUCGGAUGUUGCAGAAAAUUAACGGAAAUUCGGAUCGGCCGAAUUGAAGAGAUUUCGACUUGUAAACUGAGCUUUAUGGCAAAGAGGACCUAUAGAAUUUAUGCAAACAUUUUCUACAUCAAAUUGGACGUCGAAUUUGGGAAAUUGUCGAAGAAAUAGAUGUCCCGAAAAAUUGUGAAAUUGGGAUUUAAAGGAGGGCAGCAUUAAUUUGGGCUUUAAAUUGAUUUAUUGGUGGAAUAUUGUGCUUGAAAGUGAUUGAGAGACAUAGGGGAUGAGAUUGUGGGCUUGUGGGGCCAAAGCAUUCAAUGUAAUGGCUAAGGAUUAUCUAAGUUCACCCUCCUCUUAGCUGGCUUCUCCUUUACGUGCGCUCCAUCUUCGGUCUUCAUCAUUGCUCGUUGUUGCUUCAGCCCGAGAGCCCACCGACCGACCCACAACAAACGAAGCAGCUUCACGUGUGACGCCCCUUGCGAUUGCCUCGUCCAGCGAGCGUCCACGAAGUCCACCGAAGCCACCGAAGGAGCUGCCCUCGUCCAUUUCCUCUCAACGUGUGUCUCUCUUGGCCCAAGCGAAGCUGCUCCUCCAUCAAGUGUCUUCUGCCAGGCGUCCUCUUCAGUCAACAACCGAAAGCACUGAAGCCUCUUUGUUGACCGAACAACACACGUGAAUCUCUCCACCAGCUCAACGCCAGCAAGACCGAAGUCCAUCGUCUUCAUCCAAGUCUCCACGCGUCCCCUGCUGGUCAAACGAAGCUGCCCCUUCUUGUCGGUUGUUGACCAUCAUCUCUGCCACCGCUUCACGUUUCGCUGCCCUCUCUCACGCCACAACGUGACCGAAGCCAGCUGCCUUCAUUCGCGAGGUCUUCCACGAAGCAAAUCCGUGGGCCGCGUCUUCCCCAGAUCAGCCACCGAAGUUGCUUCUGUCUUCGGUCCAGCAGCCCAGCAAUUGGACCAUUAAAGCCCACGGUUUGGGCCUUCUUCUUCUUCUUCUUCAGCCCGUGAAGCCAGCAAAGUUCAAAUCCAACAGCCCACUUGGCAAGUCCAAUUUCGGCAAUUAAAUUUCAAGACCAGCGAAGCCAUCACCUUCGGCCCAAUUGCAAUCAGGCUUAGUGAAUUCAGCUCUGAAGCCCAGCAAAAUUAGAGGCCCGUGAGGACAGCCCAUUCAAGGCCCGUUCUGUCAAGUGAAGCCCAGUACAAGACAAAUCUCAGUUGGGUUGAGAUUUGUUGGGCCAAGUUUAAGGCCCGGUCCAAGCUCGCCGGUGUCGUCGAAAGCCCGAUUUCGGCCGCCGUCACGUCGCCGUUGCGGUGAUUCGGUCUCCGCUUUUACCAUGUGAGUUUUACUCACUAAUGCUUUCUUAGUUUGCUAAUGAUGCUUAAGGGUUGGUUAGAUUUAAUUAAGUGCACUUAGGUGGUUAGAUUAGUUUAGAACAAUUAAAUUAGUGACUCAAUGAUGCAUGUUAGGUGGUUAGACUUAGUCAUUAGCUAGUAAAGAGCUUCUAAUAAUUAUUGAAUGCAUCUUGGGAUUUUUCCCGAUCCGUUCUGGCGUCCAAUCAGGCAUUACGGGCCUAUUGGAUUUUUAGUAUUUAAUUAUUAAAUUUCGAAAUUAAUUUAAUUAAUUAUUUAUUUUCCGGAAAUUAGGUAGGGAUAGCCGAUGACCGGAAUUUUAUGCUGAUUGUCGUGGUGCAAUCUGUUAAUUUAAUUGAGCUCUAUUUCAAGCUGAAUUGAAUUAUUUGUGAAAGAAGGAAUUACUCUUUAAUUGGAUAAUCAUUGGUUAUUAAUUGAAAAAUAACCGGGCAUCGGUUGAUAAUGCCAAAAAUAUUUGAGUGGACUACAGAAAAUGUAGGAGUUAUGGAAAGGAAAAUAUUAUAUUUUGGCUAAGGCCGACCGUGUCCCCACACACGGCUAUUUUAUCGAGAAGGAUAAAAGAUGGAAUGGAUUGAAUGGUUGGAUAGUAUACUAUAUCAUCCUACAGGCUCUGAUAUGUCAACUUAGCGAGAGUAGUAUAUUGGUGUACUAUAUCAGUCUACGGGCGAUAUGUCAGCUUAGCGCGAGCAGUACACUUUAUCAGUUUAGAGUGAGCAUCGGGGGUAUACUAUAUCAGCCUGCGGGCGAUAUGUCAGCUUAGCGAGAGUAGUAUACCGGUAUACUAUAUCAGCCUAUGGGCGAUAUGUCAGCUUAGCGAGAGCAAUAUACCUUAACUCUAUCAGUCUAUAAUAUCUAUUUAUCAGCUUAGAGCGAGCAGUCCUGAUAUGAACGGACUUAUAGAUAAUAUGAGAUGAGCCGACCAAGAAAGGGUUGAGAUGACAUGUAAUCGACUAGGUCGAUUGAUCAUUGCAUUGAUCUGAUGUUGUGAAUUGACUGAGUGAUUGGAAAUGACCAUGAGAUGGUCUGAUUGACAUGUAAUCGACUAGGUCGAUUUGAUUGAUGCUUCGAUCAGUGAUGUAAUUACUUGGGUGCCUAUUGAGUUGUGCUAAUAUGCAGGUGGAAUCUGAGGCCAAGGUAAGUCCUUUGAUCUGUGCGUGUUUAGGCAGCCCAUAGUGUAUUGGCUUACUAAUCGGGUCUUAGGGGGUAGAACUCGCUGAGAUGUGGUCUCAUUGGUUAUUGAAUAACCAUUUCAGGACCCUGAGGGGGAGCCAAAGAGGAGGAACCUAAGGAGAAGAGCAUUGAUGUGAAACCUGAGGAGAAGAAAGAUUUUUGAAGCAGAAGAUGAUCCAAAGAGGGAUCUUAAGUACAACCCGGAUGUGGAUUGAGAUCCCAUCCCUUUUGUGAACCCUGUCUUAGUGUAGAUAGGUGUGAGACAAGUAUGCUGUGAAUAGUAUUGUAAAUAUACUAUGAGUUGUGCUGUUAAUAAAAGUGUGGUUGUGAAUUUCAAUAUGAAAAAUAUGGCAUGCUUUUUUAUCACAUUAUUUUAUUAUCUGGGGAUUUAUAACUGCUUCCGCAUGCGUAAUAAAAGGAAAUGGUCGGCGAUACUUAGUCCUGGGAUAUCUCACGUUAAAAUCGACCUGGUAGAAGGAUGGGCGCGUCCUCGAGGAUCGUGGCGUGACAGUUUAAUGUUGGUAUGCACAACAAAAGCAAAAGCUUAUUGAGAUAAUUUUGUUUUACAAAAUUGUCUAUGUUAAUCUCUAGAUUCUAUUUGACAGUUAACCCUUAAAAUUGCUUGACAAUGUAAAAAAGAAUUAGAUUUCUUGGGAAUUGUUCUUUUUUCACAAAACUUAUAUUGCGGAAGUAAAAUCUAAAAAUGAAAAGAAAAGAUAAUGCCUUUAUUAUACACGAAAUAGCCACAUCAAACAAAAACAAAUAUGUGAAAUGUUUAAUUAUGACAACUAAAUUCUAAAUAAAAAAGGAAAAAGAAUGAAUAAGAAGGAAAGUAAAUUAAUUUUGGGCUACCACUUUAUAUUACAAUUGAAUGGUUGAGGAAAUUUUUCCUUUUUAGUGAAAAAUUGGGUGAAUUAGUUAUACAAAAGGUGGAAAAAGCGCCGCCCUUUUUUUUAAACAAAAUUUUUUUAGACAAAAUUGGAUUUAGAUCUAAAGUUGGAGAUUUUUGGUGAAUUAAGCGCUGUCAUCUUACAUAGGGUGUCAGAUGCAUAUGAUGGCCAAUGGCGCUGCGGAAUAAUGUAUGACGAACUAGGUGAUGUCAAACCCAUGAGGUGGCAAUCCCUAUUAAGCAUUUUGCUGGCCCCAUACUCGAUUGUCAUGUCUUGUCCUUGGAUCUAAUCAAAGGACAAAAAAAGAAUAAACAUUAAUUUUAGAUAAGAUAUUUCAUGAAUCCUAAUAUAUUUUAUUAGGCAUGAUUGGCUUGAAUGAACACGCAUCUUAAUCAUGUGAAUAGGAGUUUACCAUUAUUGCACUUUUAAAGGCAUUAAAUUAAAAAAAAUUCUGAUAUAUAUUUCUAUAGAUUAUGAAUUCCAGUGGAGGUGCAUCAAGAACCGCAUGCUUACAAGCAUAGGAUACGGGUUUGUGGUGUAAAUACAAACGUGGAAAGGUAACGAAAGAAGAAAUCAACAGUAGUCAUGUCUAAAGGUAUAAAUCAUUGAUUGAAUCAGGUUUUGCUCUCGUGAUCUUAUCACGUUGGCAUAUUGUCAUGGUCCUAGAAAAAGCAAAGUGAUUCUAGAUGUUUUUGUCAAAUAAAUGAUACUGAUGGGACCUAAACUGAUUUUCAUGUUGUAUGUCAAUUUUAAUUUAUUUUUUUUGAUUAGGAUAGGAGAGCAAGAGAUAAAUUUUUGUCUAUGUAGAUUCGAUUCAUCGUGAGUUGAGUGAAAAUGAAUCUCAAUCAUUAUCCGUCCCACUUAUUUAUUUGGGUCCAAUAUGAAACAUAUGUCUUUUGACAGCUAUAAUCACAUGUUCAUGUUUUCUCUUCAAUCAUUCAUCUUGGAUAUCAAAUCAUAGGUCAUGUUUUCUCUUCAAUUAUUGAUCGUGGAUCUUAAAAUGUCAUUUUAGUAUAAAAAAAGAGAAGGUGCCAAAAUUCUUAGUCAACUUGAAACUUCAUUUGUUCAAGUGUUGAAAAGGCCAAACAUCAACAAAAAGUGGUCCGAACAAUUAUUUUUACACAUAAAAUAAAUAGGCAUUUCACAAUAGAGUCUAUAUGUACAUAAAAUUAUUCUUAAACAUUCUGCCAAAAUAUGCAUUAUUCUAUUAUUUUUAGAAUAAUUAUAAGAGAUUUAUUACCAUAAUUUACAUGAUUAUAUUAUUUCUUGUCCACUUAUUGGAGGGUACUAUUAAAACACGCCCAUAAUUAGAGACACGGAUAAGAGAUUUGCAAAGGAUUGAUUACAACUUGGUUAAAGUAAUAAUCAAAGGCAACUUACCAAGUAAAGCUAACAUGUGAACCUCCCAUAUGACUCAAUUUCAUGUAAGCUUUACAUAAGUGCGCAUGCAUGUGAUUCAACAAUCAAACAAAGGAUAAACAUUAAGUACAAAUGUUGUUGAAUUCUGUUUUUACGCAUCCCACGUUUAACACAACUGAUAUUGGCGGAAUCAUUUUUAUAAAGUAACUAAUUUAUCACUUCAAUAGUGAGAGACAUAUACUUUAUUAUUCUGCGUAUUAUAAGGUAUGCUAAUGAUUUGGUUACUGCUAAGUUUAUCCAUCUACAAAUAUAUUUUGAGGCCACUUAAAGGAUCAAUGAUUGAAGAGGAAACAUGAAUAGAUGACUUUACAUUGAAGAUCAAUUAUUAGGGAGGAAACAUGAACCUCUAUGAUUAUAGUUAUAGGGUGUGGGACUCAAGUGAAGAAGAGGGAUGGACAAUGAUUGAGAUUCAUUUUCACUCAACUCACAAUGAAUCGAAUCUACAUAUACAAGAAUUUGCCUCAAGCUCUCACGUCCUAAUCAAUAUCAAAUGAUGCCAUGAUGAUGAUAUGCCGAUGUGACAAUAUCAUGAGAGCAAAAUCUGCUUCGAGUCAGUAAUUUCCACGUUGUCGACAUGACCAUUGUAGAUUUCUUCUUCAAAUCCCUUUCCAUGUUUGAAUGUAGGCCACAGACUUGUAUCCUUCGCUUGUCUGCAUCCAUUCUUGAUGCUUCUCCAUGGGAAUUCAAACAAUUAAGGCGAGAUGGUUCAAAAGUCGAUUGGAUAAAGGCCAUUCCUACUUCCAACGAGGAGAAGAAAGUCGUCAAUAAAUAGCGUAAAUAAGGAAGUGGCUUUUUGUGUUUGUAUAUAUAUUUAUGCAUGUGUGUAUGUAUGCAUGGAUGAAUUUUCUUUUGAUACCUUUUAAAUGUGGACAUUAUAAUAAACUCCUUUUCACAUGAUUAAAAAGCGAGUUCAUUCAGGUUAAUCAUACCUAAUAAAUUAACGUUACCCUUGUGUUAGUCAUGGACUCAUGGUUAAUCUUUUCUCUUUCCUUGGAGCAGCUAAAAGGAGGAUCUAAGGAUGGGACAGGACAAUGAGCCAUAGGACUGGCAAAAUGCUGGACAGGAACUUCCAGCUGAUGCAUCUAACGUGGCUACCGGCGCACAACGGCAUACGCCCCCACCGUUUCGGCUGCGAUACGGCCCCUAAUGUACAGCUGGCACACUGUAAAGGAUGCCAAAUGUAACCUCCAUCCUGGAGAACACGCCGCUAGCCGUUGAUUCCUUGCUGCUUGCGAGGGUCCAGUUCUCAUCCUCACCGUCCACUGUUUGGUUCCUGAUCUUGCACUCAAUUUUGUGAUUUUGUUUGUUUAAUAAGAAGCCCGGGCCUCUCUAAAGCACUUAUUAGUUAUUGCGAUAAUUUUCACUCAUAUGAAUAGUCGGCACCAAAAUAAUUUCUCUACAUGGACCAAUUGUCUUUCUGAAUGUAGGAAAACUUUCGUGCAAAAAUAUGGUACAACAGAGACUAUAGAUAAACAUGAGUAAACUCGCAAACAUGUAGAUGGGUCAAAUACGCUUAAAGAUGCAUAUGUAGCGAAAAAUCUUUAAUAGUUCUGUCAUUAAUUCAGAAGUAUGCUGACUUACAUCAAAAUAAAAUCACAUAUUUGUAUAUGUGAAAACUAAACUAGAAAAAUAAAAUAAAUAAAUAAACUAGAAAAUUCUAAGUAAUUGAUAACAAUUGCCCUAUUUGAAUAUGAUCAAUUUAAGAUUCCACUGCGGAUGAAGAAAUAAUGUAAAAUCCUAUAUUUACAGUCUAUAAAAGUUCAACCAUUUGGCUAAUAAAUCAGCAACAGAUCUCGACCUCCACACCAACACCAUCGGUUGGAAAUAACUCGACCUAGAGUUUUAAAGUGUUGGAUUAUUCGAUUAAACAAACACCUUUCAAUCUACAAAGGCUGUGGAUCAACAUCUUCAAGGCCAGCAACUUUUAAUUGCCUUGGAUUAGAUUCCACCAAAAUUUUGCAACUGAACCAUCAACUUAAUCUUCAGAUUUUUCUGGUAUAACAAAAUCAUUUUUCGGUAUCUCCUUGAGUUAGGUCAUUGGUUUUGCUUCCUUUUUGUUCCCUAUCUCUAUCAAAUGGUAGCUUCUUGUCUGCCACUUCUAGCGGACAUUGAUAGAGAAAAUAUUAGGUACAACUUUGAUUUCAACUCAGUGAAGAACUAGUUCAUUCACCUUGGAACAUGUGUUGCACGCAGGCGCACUUGUCAAUCACUCUUUUUGUUUUUCUGUUUUGUUUUUGUUUUUUCUCCCUUUCACUCUUCUUGGGAUGACAAAAGACGUACGUCCCCUUCCACUACUAGCUCACUGCCAUUUCGAUCCUCUGAUGUCCAGCUCGAGCUCAGUCGGCAAACUUGAUCAUUAGAAUUUGGAUCUUAGGUCAAACGAGCCCUAGAUUUGUGAUCUAGAGCUUGACUCAACCUUAAUUCUGGGUUGAUUUUUGGUCGACCAAGGCUGGCGUAGGCAACGAAUGAGGUGGAGGUGAUGGUGUGGUUCGUCGACACAUCAUAAGGCCUUGAUGUCAUAGAUAGGUUCCUAACAUAAAUUCUCUAACACCACUCUAACAAUUUAGUUGCAUUGUGAUUCUCUCAAUCAUCGAGUUAUGUUUUGUACCUUCAUAAGAUUGGGAAAUGUCGGACCGAGGCACAUAGGACAGUGUUAGUGCUCCAUGUAGAACUUUUUAGCUCACUUUGAAAAAAAUAAAUUGGUGUUGCUUUUUCAUUGUCAGGUCAACUUAAUUAAAGAUGAACAUUUCCAACGCAUAGACAAUGACAAGAUUUACGUGACUUUAGAUCAUAGGUAUUAGAUUGAUUGGAAUCCUUAAUUAGGUCCCCUUGCACACUAGCUACGCCAAUUUCAAUGAGUCAUCUCCAUGUAAAACACGUUAGCUUACCUUUCCUUUUAACACUUGGUCUUGCUUUUUCUUCAUGUCAGAUUGGGAAACACGUGAUAGGGUUUGUUCUCCAUGCAAAGCGGGCAAAGUCAAUCAUCAAGCCGGCAAGCCAGCAUUGCUAUACCACAAUGCCCACCACCUAAAAACCACAUUGGUCACUAGAUUUCUUGAAAUAUUUACUAAACACCGAAAUAGAAUUGGGAGUGGGUCACCAAUCAAUUAUCAACUUUGAUACUAUUUGUUAGGAAUGCACAGCAAAAUUCUAAUACUUUUACUUGCGGAGAUCGCCAAGAGAGGCCCAUGACCACCCAAUAUUAGUAUUAGAAGCUAGGUUAUCAAGAAGUCUAGAUCCAAUAGUCACUCGAAGAGAGUUAUUGAUGCUCUUAUCUAAAUAUGACAUGUGAGGGGAAGAUUGUUGGAGUUUAUUUCACAUUGAUUAUAGAAGGGACUUGUGGUUAGUUUAUAAGUAUAAGAAAAAAGCUCACCUUUUAAACUUUCAGGGGUGAGAGAGGCCCAAAACCACCGAACACACAUAAUGUAUUACUUCCAUGUUGGCUGGUCCGAUACUCACAUUGCUGUUUGAUCUCUCGGCUUUCUUAAAGUUCGUACUUUUAGCCAUCAAGCCCUCGAUGUUACUUUUCUAAUAAUUGCCCUGCAACUUCUAACAUUCUUUUGAGGAAACUGCAGACUUCACUUCCUCGACGGAUAUAUCUCACUCCCUUUCAUCAACAAAUUAGGAAAGUGCUCAUAAGAAUUGGGUAAGGAACAAAGCAGCAUAAUAGCUUGCUAUUGAUCAAUAUCAUCUCAUCCACAUUCGUUUGAUCAUUGAUGACUUUAUCAAACUCAGUUGUCAUCAUGAGUCGGCUUCCCUUAACCAUCUUAUAUGUAAAGAAAAGUUGGAUCAAGAAAAGUUUCUUCAUGAGCAAUUUCGAUAUAUACAACUCUUCAAGUUUUGCUCAAUCUGCAGUCGCACUCUUCUUAUCUGGACCAUAACUGAAACGUCAUCCCCCAAAUUCAAGAGAAUAAUUUUCCUAGCUUUUUUCAAGAUAUCAGCUUUUCGCUUCUGAUUUCAUACUUUAGGGAGACUUAUCAUCUCCCUCCAACGCUAAAUCCAAGCCUUGUGUCUCAAGGAGCUCCUGCAUCUUAAUGAGCCUCAAGCUAUAAUAAAUUCUGCUAAUGAAUUCCUCCAAUUCAAGCUUUGUUGAAAUCAUAGCCAUAAUUGAAGAUAGACAAAAUUCCCAGGGCAGUCAACCAACAAUAGCCAUAGGCUCUUUUACAAUUUGUUAUGACUAGCGAGGAACCGUAAACAAACGAAAUAAUUCAAAAAAUAAAUAAAUAAAACCUAAACAAUGGUGAUUAUCAUAGUUUGAUGGUGUGCCUAAUCCGUGGGAAAAAAUUGACAAUAUGGUUCCACGAUAAUCAAGAUGAAGAGAAAUACAAUCACUAUAAGCUCACGUUCAAGUGAUUCCCAACCCUAAAUACAUCCAAACCCACAUAAAUCAAUCAACAAGAAAGGAGAUUUCUCUCACUCUCAACUUUCUUGGAUGACUGCUCUCAAAAGCUCUCCAGGGUAUUCACAAGUUGUGUAUAAAAUAAACAUCAACAUGGGGUUAUAAUAACUAGUAAGUGAUAGGGCUAGUAAGAGCACCUAGAGGGGGGGGGGGUGAAUAUGUGAUCAAAGAAGUUUUUGCAAAACUUAACAAACUAAUUCGACUUCUGAGAAUAAUAGACUGAAGAUGUAAAAGACUAUAAACAGUUAUAUAAAGCUAUGAAUUAAAGUAAAGAGAUUAUGGAAAGAGAAUUGAAACACAAGAUUUAUAGUGGUUCGGCUUAGACCAAGCCUACGUUCACUUUCCCGCACUGACAGCCCACUAGCUAGAUUCCACUAAGAACCAAAAGAGAUUUUACAGUCUCACGUCCUUGAUUCCACAGUGUAGAGACUCUGCUACACUUCUUCAAAGUUUCACAAGUAUUUAAUCUCUCUUUUGAGUACAAUUUAAGCUCGACAAAUGAAACAGCAAAAAACUAAGAGCUUCAGACUUUGGAAUUUUUCUUUCACGCACACACUUGAAUAACUUGAGCGUCUUCCUUAUAUACUCCUACAUGCCUUUAUAACCGUUGGCACCUUCCAAAGGAGUUAUUCCAAUCUACCCUUGGACAGAAUCAAUUAGGAAGAUCUCGAGUUAUUUAAGGAAUGUGAUGAUAGCCCACCAAUCAUGUUCGCCCAUACAAUCAGGAUCUAGGUUUCCAUAAGUAGAACCUUCCAAGUAUACUUCGCCAAUCAACAGAUCUAAUUAUCCGAAUUGAUAUCAAUAAUAAUAAUUGAUCAUGAGAUGCUUUCUCCAGCCGUGAGAUCUUCUUCAACCAUACGAACCAAAUCCUUAAAGAUAUACUCGCAUUUGGACAAGUCUUCUUCAUCGGAUAAAACUUUCCUUCGUCGGUCUAAAGACUAUCAGUGAGAGUAGACUUAAAUCUUGUGUCUUGAGUCUUGAGUCUUUGGACUUUGAUAAUAGAGUCUGGAGUUCGUUAGACUUUAACACUUGAGUCUACAAGUCUUCAGAUUAGACUGAUGUAAACAUUUUGUCAAUUUCAAAACAAAUAAGGAAAUUUUUUCCAACAAUCUCCCAAUUUUUUAUGGUGACAAAACUUUCCUGUAGAUUUGAACAUUUUUGACCUGCAAAACAACACUUAAGCAAAACAAGAAAUCUCAAAGGAGAUAAGUAGAUUAGAAUAUGGAUAUAGUAGCGAUUCUGCAACCACAAAAAAUGUGUUAGUCUUGCUAAACAACUACCCUUUCCAUAAUCAUUAUCAUAGUUUAAGUUACUGCAAAUCAAAGCAUUAAAUCGAGCAGUUCAAAUCACAACCAAACAAAAGAUAAGUCCAACAAGUCCAACAAAAGUUUAAAUCAAAUCUGCAUCCAAACUUCUCCCGUUUUUUGUCAACAGCAAAAGGUGGAGAACAAAUAAAAAGAGUUAUUGAAAAUAGAGUCAGAAUCAUGGUUGUUUUGGAAGGUGAACAAGCUUGAAUUUUCCCAUAAAAUCCACAGUUUUCUCAAGCAUUGCAAAACUCUACUUCAGUGUCUGGAAAUUUGCACCCUGCACUGUAGACUACACUCAAUCCUUCAGGGCAUUCAAUUGAUUGUGAAAAGACACUAAAGUAGCCAUGAAAGCAUUUUUGAGAUCCUGCAUCUCAUAUCCCAUAGCAUAUUGCUGCUUUCUUACAUCCAAUAGAAUCUCUAACAGUCUUGAAAAGUUUGCUGUUUGUUCUAUAGCAGCACUAGGUCCAGUUGAGUCAUUUCUAGGGACUUUGAGAGCGGAUGGAUCUUCAGCAGAUUAUCCACCGUGACUAUCUUCUGGGUAAUGUGAAGCAUAUACAACUUCUGGAUCUGCAGCGGAGCGACUCACAUCACUAAUAAAUAAAGGUGAAGAAGUACCUUUUUGUUCAACAGCUCCCCCUAUUUGUUUGCUUUUAAGAGGAGUAGAAACUACUUCUUCAACCGCAGCUUCAACUUCAGAGUGAUGUUUAGUUGUGUCAAGUGCUCCAGCAGUCCCAGUGUCAGCCAUUUCAGAUUCACUAGACAAAGAGACAACCAAAGUUGGUUCAAAAGAGUCUUCUUGACCCUGGUCUCUCUCUUCUUCUCCUUCUUGUCCUCUCUCUUCUCUUCUUCCUGCUUCUUCUUUUUCUCCUUUUCUUUCCUCUUCUUCCUCUUCUUCUCUCUCUGUUCUUCUUUCCUCUUCUUCCUCUUCUUCUCUUUCUUCCUCUGUCCUCCUUUGUUCUUCAGCUUCUUUCUCUGUCUCUUCUCUCUCCUUAUCUCCUUCUUUUGGCUCUUCUCGAGUUUCUUCAAAGCUGACAAAACUUUUCAAGUUUCGUAGGGCUGAAAGAGUCAACGAGUCCUCAUCCUCUUCAUCCUGCAAGAUGAGGACUCUCUUCUUCUUCAUUGGAGUAUCCAUGGGCUCAUUGCCUUUUCUCUUAGCUGCAACAGAGUCUUGUCUUGCUUUGACAGGAGACUUCUCCUUCAUGCGCUCCAACACCUUGUUCAACUCUUUCAAACGCAUCUUUGUGACCAUUUUAAAUCCAAUCACCAUUGGAGAAAUAGUUAACAAACAUAAUGGUGCAAAGAUGUGAAUUUUAAAAUGUCUAAAAAGACGCGUGAUGAGAGCAGAAUAAGGGAGUUGUCCCUUAUCUUUCACCACUGUUCGGUACAUGUGAAACAAGAUGGUGUGAGGCAGAGAGAAUUUAAAUCUUGCAUUGAUGGCGUACAUCAACUUCGCUUUAGAUCGAGAGACAUCAAUCUUGGAUGUCGACUUGGGACGAAUGCAGUUGAUUACGAUCUUGUGCAGUAAGAUGUUUGAGGCAUUCAUCCUAGAGUAGGAAAUCUUGCCUUCAACAUCCCGAUCUUUCACCAAUGACAGAGUAGCAUGAGCAAUAGACACGCUAAUUGGUUGGAAACUUGUUCUUUCCACCCCAAUUAUGUUAGCCAACGUGUCCAUAUUCACCAAGAACUCCUUAUCUCUCACUGAGAAAGAAAAGCUGUUUGCAUCCACGAAAGAUAAGUUCGAGUAAAAGUAAGCUGUGAGUUCAGGAUAAGCAACAAUGGAUUUAGAACAAAAGCGCUCUAAUUACAGUAGAGCAAGCUCUCGCAGAUUGACUUUUACUGAAUCAAGGAAAUCAAAAUCGACAUUCUUAGGGUGCAUAACCCCUCUCUUCAGCAAAUUCGAAUAAACCCUCUUGUGGUUCUUCGAUCUAAAAAGAUUGGAACCAUUAGCAAUAUUUGCAGCCACUCCCGUUCUAGGCUGAAAAUAGGUAAACAUUCGUUCAUCGUCGUCCAGACCUUGAGGUUGAUUCGUAGUACCAUAGAAAGUGUCACUUGGGAAAUUUGCGAAAGUCCUUUUAGCCGUUCCUCUCUUUACAACUCCUAACCUUUCCAACUCCCGCAAGAAUAAGGUUUCGUUCUUGUAUCCUCUAUUUCUUAAAAACUUGUCGAUCAAGGACAUCGGUGUUCCUCCUUCCUUCAAAUUAGAAUAAAGUUUGAAAACAACCUUAAAAGUUAGUGUUUUUAUAGGUUCAGCCUCUUUUAUAACUUAUUGUUCUGGUUAAGUCGGUGUAGAAGAUAGACGCUGUUGAGAAGAUUCUUGCUGACUUGGACGUAGUGGUGGAGAAGAAUCUUCUUCCUCGGUCAAGUCAAAAUGCGUAGGACCUCAGGCAGAUGUCGUGGUCCCUUGCUUGCAAUCCUUGAAGACUUUCUUAAAGACAUUAUCGCUUCAAGGGAGAAAUUCACAAGCUUGCUCGAAAAAGGUGAAAACUUUUAGGCAAAUGAGAGUGAAAGUGAAAGCAAGUGGGAAUUUUGUAUUCUAAGGUUUCAGUGUAAAAACGAAGAAGACGAAUCUCGACUGUAUAUAAAGCAAGUGAAGCGAGGUAAACGAAACGACAUAAAAGGAAAAAUGAAAAUACAUUUUCGAAAAAGAAUAACUGCCUUUUUGAAAAUGAAUAACUUCCAUAAAUUCAAAAACUCGGAAAAGAUAACUUCUAAAUAUAACAAUCAAUUAGCGAUUAAAAGUAAUCGUACAUUUUCAAUUUAAAAUACUGAAAUAGAAAUAACUUACAGUCGUAACUUUCUCAGUUAUUCUGAGUCUGAACAACUUCAGACUUUACCUCUGAAUCUUGAGCACUUUUAGACUUUACUGGAUAAAAGAUAUGAUGUUCAGUCUGGUGCGAAUAGACUCAAAUAAGCUUUUCUCCAGAGGCUUUGUAAAUAUGUUCGCCAGUUAAUUCUUUAAGUCAAUGAAUUGAAUCAAAACUUCUCCAUUUUGAACAUGAUCUCUAAUAAAGUGAUGUCGAAUUUUUAUAUUAUUUGCUCUUGAAUGAAGAAUUGGAUUAUUUAUGAGAUUAAUUAUGCUGGUGUUGUCACAUUUGAUCUCAGUGCAUGAGUCUUCGAUUUCAAAGUCUCUCAGUUAUUGUUUUAUCCAUAAGAUUUGAGAACGGCAACUUCCAAGAGCCACAUACUCUGCUUCUGCUAUUGAAAGAGCUACAAUGCUUUGCUUCCUUGAGAACCACGAUACUGUCCUGUUUCCCAGCAAUUGACAAAUACCAGAAGUACUCUUUCUAUCAACUCUGCAACCUGCUAGAUCUGCGUCUGAAUAUCCAAAGAGAGUAAAGUCUCCUUCCUUGGGAUACCACAGACCUAACUUUUGUUGGAGAAAACUUCCUUGUUUGUUUUGAAGCUGACAAAACGUUUCAAUCAGUCUAGUCUGAAGAUUUGCAGACUCUUUCGUCAAAGUCUGAAGACCGCCAGACCGCCAGACUCAAGAUUUAAAGUCUGCCCUCAUUGACUGUUUCUAGACCGUCGAAGAAGACUUAUCCAGAAUCGAGUAUUUCUUUAAGGAUUUGAUUCGAACGGCUGAAGAAGAUCUCACGGCUGGAGAUAGCAUCUAAAGAUCUAUUAUUCGUAGUGGAAAUAAUUCAAGUAAUUCGAAUCCGUUGAUUGGCGAAGUAUACUUGGAAGGUUCUACUUAUGGAAACCUAGAUCCUGAUUGUAUGGGUGAGCAGGAUUGGUGGGCUAUCUUCACAUUCCUUAAGUAACUCAAGAUCUCUCUAAUUGAUUAUGUUCAACAGGAAGAUUGGAAGAACUCUUUUGGAAGGUGCCAACGGUUAUGAAGGCAUGGAGGAGUAUAUAAGGAGGAUGCUCUAGUUAUUCGAGUGUGUGCGAGAUAGAGAAAUUCCAAAGUCUAAAACUCAUUGUUCUUUGCUGAUUCAAUUGUUGUGUGUAAAUUUGUACUCAAAAGAGAGCUUAGAUUCUUGUGAGACCUUGAGGAAGUGUAGCAGAGUCUUUACACUAUGGAAUCAAGAACGUGAUACUGUAACAACUCUUUUGAUUCAUAGUGAAAUCCAACCGGUGGGCUGUCAAAGCGGGAGAGUGGACGUAGGCUUGGAUUAAGCCGAACCACUAUAAACCUUGUAUUCUUAUUCUCUUCCCUGAACUCUUUUACUUUGUUCGUAACUCUAUUUGAUUGUUAGAGUCUAAUUUCCUCCUCAAAGUCUACUGUUAAACAGACUUAGGUUAAAAGUAAAGUUUUAUACUAUAUUCUGCAAAAGUUGUUUGUGCACCUAUGCACUGCCCCUUUAGGUGCUUGUACUAGCUAUCUCAACUUUGAGGUAGUUGCAACGUAUUUGAUGAUGCGUUUUGCAGCACUUAGAUGAUAUUCUUUGGGAUUAGAUUGAAAUCUAGCACAAAUGCAAACAUUAAACAAAAUGUCAAGUCUAGAAGCAGUAAGAUAAAGAAGUGAACCAAUAAUACUCUUGUAGAGCUUCUGGUCAACUUUCAUUCCUCUUUCAUCUUUGUCCAGCUUCGAAGAACUAGACAUUGGUAUCUCAGUCUUUUUGCAAUUCUCCAAUCCGAACUUUUUAACAAGUUCUUUUGCAUAUUUUUCCUUCCUUCAAUUGUUUCAAUUGUUUUAAUUGUUUCAAGUAUAUUUUACCAAUCAACAACUCUAAUUAUCUGAAUUGAUAUCAAUAAGAAUAAUUGAUCAUGAGAUGCUUUCUCCAGCCAUGAGAUCUUCUUCAACCGUACAAACCAAAUCCUUAAAGAUAUACUCGCAUCUGGACAAGUCUUCUUCAUCGGAUAAAACUUUCCUUCGUCGGUCUAGAGACUAUCAGUGAGAGUAGACUUAAAUCUUGAGUCUUGAGUCUUCGGACUUUGACAAUAGAGUCUGGAGUUCGUCAGACUUUAACACUUGAGUCUACAAGUCUUCAGAUUAGACUGAUGAAAAUAUUUUGUCAACUUCAAAACAAAAAAGGAAGUUUUCUCCAAUAAUAAGUGCAUAAUCAAGACCACAUUAGGGUGGGCCCCGCCCAAGAUAGGUAGAUUUUAUCAGCUUGGUUAUUUUACUUUCCUUUUUUCCCCUCUCAAAAGCCAUUUUGCUAUGAAGACCAAAGUCAAGGUAGGCCAGAGAGGUAAUUUAAACACUCAUUGUUUGGUUUAAAAAUCAUUUACAUAGAAUCCUUUUUCCUUUCGCUUAAAGCAAGUUAGAGGAUAGAAGCCCCCUGUUUGCAAACUCUUCAAUCGUCUGAUCUAGGGGUGUGCAAAAGAACCGGGACCCACCCGGAUCGCCCGGAACCGGAUCAGAACCGGACCGGAACCGCCUGGAACCGAUGGUUCUUGAGGAAACCGGUUCGGUUCCUGGUUCCAAUUUAUGGGAACCAGUGGGUAUCGGUCCGGUUCCCGGUUCCAUGGAUGGAUCCGCCCACCCAAACCGGACCGAUUAUAUUAUAAUAAUACAUUGAUUUUUAAUAUUAAAAUAAAAUUUAAAAUUACUAAUUAGCAGAUCUAAAUUUUAGGACUCCAGCUCCUCUCAUGGUUUUCAUGUUUUAAUAAGAAUUUAGUAAAGUGUGUAAGCUGCCUUUCACCAACUCAACAAAUGGCUCCUUCAAAUGAUACUUUUGGGACUCACAUAUGACACUAUAUUCAAGAAUAUGUGGAAUAUUGGUGGAAUUGUUUCUACAAAAAAAAAAAAAAAAUUCAGUAAAGCAAAUGUUGUAAGAGAUUGAGCAUUGUUAGGGGAUAAAUGAAAAGACGAUCUACAUAUGACAAUCAUCCAGAAUCUUGAACUUAAAGAAUAUUUUAGAUUUCAACUGAAAUGAUUCAAAAAUAGGAAAAAAAACAUAUUUCUCUUCUUUGGUAGUGUUUUCCAAUAAAAUAAAGAAAAAUGGUAUCCUUAAUUAAGCCAAUUCAAUUUAAAGAAAAAUAUUACUCGAUAUGAAAAGUACUCACGACGGGAUUUGGAAAAUGAUAUUAUUAUUGGUGAGACUGGUUCCAUGGAUCCACCCGGGAACCGGACCGGACUGGCGGUCCGGUCUUGGGUGGAUCCAUGCAACAACGGGUGGUUCCCGGUUCUAAUUUUUUGGAACCGGUCCUUAGCGGGCGGUUCCCGGUUCUAGGCCAGAAACCACCCACCCGGAUCAUGCACACCCCUAGUUUGAUCUAGUAAUAAGUCAGAUAAAUGAGGUAGAAGGCGUAACCGUCACUUCGACGUAGGAUGCCACCCAGUAUGCCAGCAUGGCACUCAACAACGUAUCAAUAGCCAUUCAUUUCUCUAAGGGUGGGAUCAAUAUAAAAGAAAAAAAAUACAUAGUUCAAGAAUUCAAUUGGACAAAAAAGAAACUCAAGAAAUUGAUGAAGUUUAGAUCAUAACGUACUUUUAUCACUUUCAUUGUACUUUUUUUUUUUUUGCUGGUCGAAACUUUCUUUUUUACUUCGAUAGCUCCAUGUGCAGGUACAAUCAAAUAAAAGAAGUUCUUUUUCAAGGUAUUUACUUCCGAAGUAUAUCAUUUUGGGCCGCUUUUCUCUCCUUCACUAAACCUUUGAUUGAUGAGUUAUGAACAUGGACGUCCGUUACAAUUUUUUAUUUUUUUAGUUAAGUUUGCGUAUGACGAUGAUCAUAUUAAUAUAACUUAUAGACCAAAGGUUUGGUUUGAGGACAAGAAAAAUAUGACCCAUUCUUUCUUGUUUUUUCAAGACCUAUCACAACAAUCAAUCCCAAUUUUCGUGUAGGUGCUUUAAAAUUAAGCAAAAUUUGGGCAUAUAUUAUUGGUGUAAAGAUAAAUUUAAACAAGGGGUCUCAACAAUCCUUAAUCCAAGAAAUUUAAUUUCUCUUCUCUUACUUUUAUCAAAUCAAGCAUGUAUAAAAUUGUUUGUAGAAAAAAAGAAUUCAUACCACCAAUGUAUUCUAUAAUUACACUAAAAUCAGUUGGUGAUUGUGACUUGGUGAUUGUGACUGCUUAGCUAAAGUAAUUUACUUCAGGAGUUCCAAAUCCGUGGCCCUCGGCCAAAGCCGCAUAACCUAUAUGGUUUCUCCGCACAAUCAUUCCCUCUUCACACUAUAAUAAGCAUAAAAGAUCCUUCUUCAUCAUCGGCAUCGGUGCUCCACUUUUCCGCUCUCUUGAGAGAGGGUUGAUCAUUAUGGGCUUGUGGGACUAGAUUUGAAGAAUGUCAGAACCUAUGUUAUGAAAAGAUUAGGAGUUUUGGAUCUUAAGAACAUCAGAACUAGUAUUACCAGAUGACAUUAGACAUUCGUGGUCAAAAUUCCAAGAACUUCAGAAUUGGUGUUACCAGAAGAUUAAACAUUCAUAAUUAGAAUCUGAAGAAUGCCAGAACCAAUGCUGUGAGGACAUUAGACAUUUGUGGUUAGAAUCUGAAGAACGUCAGAACCAAAAUUUUUUAGCAAGGACCAAGGGUAAUGUGAUUAACCUACUUCUCAUUUCUUCAUACUUUUAUUAAAAUGCACGAAAAAUGUUUUAUAAAUACGUGAAUAAACAUUUUUACUUCUACUGUGUUCAGAAUUUAAUCUUAAUUUACCUAUAUAUGUAUUAUUGUUUAUUGAAACAAACACCAACACUCUAGUCAUACAACAGAGAGUACCUAUGCAAUAUAAUGUAAUGUCUGUAUUUACCCUGUAAUUGUUACUAAUGCUAUAAUUGGAACCCUUGGACUUGAAAGAGAUUUGAGUAGAUAUUGAAGAUAACUGGCAAAGAACUGCUCUUGAAACUAAGAGUUGAUUGGUCUCGGGUGGGUCAGUCCCUAACCUAAAAUCAAGAACAAAUCUUGUGGCUCUCGAUUCUAAGAAAGAGAGGUGAGAAUCAGGAAUUAGGAACCAGGAACUGACUUUGUGGAACCGGGAAUUGGACCUGUUGAUUUUGAAAUAGGUGGCAAAAUUUCUUUUCCUUUAUAAAUGAUUUAUUAAUUUGAUAAAAAAAAUUGCAAGGAAAGACAUCUCACUACUUUUUUGAGCCUUUGUGGAACCCAAGAAACAUUUUCCUAGGCAAGUGUGCAGAGAGGAAACUGACGCACGCUGCUAGGGAAAUAUUUUUGUGGGUGUCCCUUUUCCUUUUAUUAUUAAAACACCCACACUCUCUCUCUCUCUCUACUCUCUCUGAUAUGCAUCGAGCACCCAACGGUUCCUCCUUUGUCAAAUCUCUUUUAUCUCUUUCACCCUUAGUUUCCACGUGAUGAGCUCUACUUUCAUCUAGCUUCGCAGUGAUGGUGACGUUACUUUCGUCUAGCUUCACUGUGAUGGUGGCUACGCAAGACUGUGAUGGUGGCUGCCUCUGAGAGAGAGGUAUGAGAGCAUAAAGCGCAAGAAAGGGAGGUGAGAGGUUGAGAGAGUCGAGCGCGAGAAAGGGAGGUGAGAAGCUGAGGUCUAAAAGAGAGAGAGAGCUUAAUCUUAAUUUAGGGUUACCUCUGGUUGGUUCAAAUUCACACAAGAAACUGAAAAUCGAACCAAUUGAUCCUCAUUUCACAUUCACUGGGAGCCAAACAGGUUCCUGCUGGAAACAUCAUACUCCAGGAAGCUCGAGAACGCAUGCUGACAAGCAUAGGAUACGGGUUUGUGCCUUUGUGGUGUAAAUGCAAACGUGGAAAGAUAACGGAAGAAGAAAUCCACAGUAGUCAUGUCUAAAGGUAUAAAUCAUUGAUUGAAUCGGGCUUUGCUUUCGAGAUCUUAUCACGUUGGCAUAUUGUCAUGGUCCUAGAAAAAGCAAUGUAGUUCUAGAUGUUUUUGUGAAAUAAAUGAUAUUGAUGGGACCUAAAUUGAUUUUCAUGUUAUAUGUCAAUUUUAUUUUUUAUUUUUAUUUUUUUGAUUAGGAUGAGAGAUCAAGAGAUAAAUUUUUGUAUAUGUAGAUUCGAUUCGUCAUGAGUCGAGUGAAAAUGAAUCUCAAUCAUUGUCCGUCCCGCUUAUUUAUUUGGGUCCAAUACGAAACAUAUAUCUUUUGACAGCUAUAAUCAUGUGUUCAUGCUUUCUCUUCAAUCAUUCAUCUUGGAUAUCAAAUCAUAGGUCAUGUUUCUUCUUCAAUUAUUGAUCGUGGAUCUUAAAAUGUCAUUUUAGCAUAAAAAAAUGGUGUCAAAUUUCUUAGUCAACUCGAAACUCCAUUUGUUCAAGUGUGGAAAAUGCCAAACAUCAACAAAAAGUGGUCCGAACAAUUAUUUUUACACACAAAAUAUAUAGGCAUUUCACAAUAGAGUCUAUAUGUACAUAAAAUUAUUCUUAAACAUUCUGCCAAAAUAUGCAUUAUUCUAUUACUUUUAGUAUAAUUAUAAGAGAUUUAUUACCAUAAUUUACAUGAUUAUAUUAUUUCUUGUCCACUUAUUGGAGGGUACUAUUAAAACAUGCCCGGAAUUAGAGACGUGGAUAAGAGAUUUGCAAGAGACGCAUAUAAGAGAUUUGCAAGGAUAGAUUACAACUUGGUUAAAGAAAUAAUCAAAGGCAGCUUACCAAGUAAAGCUAACACGUGAAUCUCCCAUGUUUUCGAAUGGACGCCUUUGUUCAUCUUGGCAAUUUUCGAAAUGAUACAUUUGUUCGCUUUGCAACCUUUCACGAAGAGUUGCCUAUGUUGUGAGACUAUUUUAUAUAUAUAUACAUGUCAGUUUUCAUAAGAACAAGUGUGUGAUCAUUUUAUCAUUUCAAGCAUUCUUUUUGAAAAAACUGCAUCCAUCUUUUCAAUUGUUUUCUAAAGAGACCCUAGAGAAAUACUAAAAUUGCUAUCUAGUAUUCUCAUUUGAGACUUUGUUGUAUCCUGGAGGAAAUUUGCCGGUGACCAUUAGCAACUUUGUGAGGCAAAUAAAUCCUUAAAUAAAGUGAUAUUACGCCUUAAAGUCCGACUUGAGUACUCUAAAGAUCUGACUUCAUUGUUCUACCCAAUUCGAAGCCAUAUUUUCCUAACACCCUAUGCAGGAUGCCAAGUGUAAGCUCGAUCCUGGAGAACAUGCCGCUAGCCAUUGAUUCCUGUUGCUUGCGAGGGUCCAGUCCUCAUCCUCACCGUCUACUGUUUGGUUCCUGAGCUUGCACUCAAUUUAUGUGAUUUUGUUUGUUUAAUACGAAGCCCGUGCCUUUCCAAAUCACUUAUUAGUUAUUGCGAUAAUUUUCGCUCAUAUGAAUAGUCGGGACCAAAAUAAUUUCUCUACAUGGACCAAUUGUCUUUCUCAAAGUAGGAAAGCUUUCAUGCAAAAAUGUGGUGUAACAGAGACUAUAGAUAAACACGAGUAAACUCGCAAAAUAGGUAGAUAGGUCAAAUGCGCUUAAAGAUGCAUAUGUAGUGAAAAAUCUCUAAUAGUUCUGUCAUUAAUUCAGAAGUAUGCCGACUUACAUCAAAAUAAAAUCACAUAUUUAUAUAUGUGAAAACUCUAGAAAAUUAAAAUAAAUAAAUAAACUAGAAAAUUCUAAGUAAUUGAUAACAAUUGCCUUAUUUGAAGUUGAUCAAUUUAAGAUUCCACUACGGAUGAAGAAAUAAUAGAAAAUCCUACAUUUACAGUCUAUAAAAGUUCAACCAUUUGGCUAAUAAAUCAGCAACGGAUCUCGACUUCCACACCAACACCAUCGGUUGGAAAUAACUCGAUCUGGAGUUUCAAAGUGUUCGAUUAUUCGAUUAAACAAACACCUUUCAAUCUACAAAGGCUGUGGAUCAACAUCUUCAAGGCCAGCAACUUUUAAUUGCCUUGGAUUAGAUUCCACCGAAACUUUGCAACUGAACCAUCAACUUAAUCUUCAGAUUUUUCUGGUAUUACAAAAUCAAUUUUCGGUAUCUCCUUGAGUUAGGUCAUUGGUUUUGCUUCCUUGUUCCCUAUCUCUAUCAAAUGGUAGCUUCUUGUCUGCCACUUCUAGCGGACAUUGAUAGAGAAAAUAUUAGGUAAAAGUUUGAUAACAACUCAGCAAAAUACUAGUUCAUUCACCUUGGAACAUGUGUCGCACGUAGACGCACUUGUCAGUCACUCUUUUUCUUUUUUCUUUCUCUCUUUUUUUCUUUAUUUUUUUCCUUUUUCUCCCUUUCACUCUACUUGGGACAACAACAUACGUACGUCCCCUUCCGCCGCCAGCUCACCGCCAUUUCGAUCCUCCGUUGUCCAGCUCGAGCUCAGUUGGCAAACUUGAGCAUGAGAUUUUGGAUCUAAGGUCAAGUGAGCCCUAGAUUUGUGAUCUAGGAGCUCGACUCGACCUUGAAUCUGGUUGAUUUGUGGUCGACCAAGGUCGGCGUAGGCAAUGAAUGAGGUGGAGGUGGCGGUGUGGUUCGUCGAUGCAGCGUAAGGCCUCGAUGUCAUAGAUAGGUUCCUAACAUAAAUUCUUUAACACCACUCUAACAAUUUAGUUGCACCGUGCUUCUCUCAAUCAUUGAGUUAUGUUCUGUACCUUCAUAAGAUUGGGAAAUGUCGGAUCAAGGCACAUAGGAUAGCGUUAGUGCUCCAUGUAGAACUUGUUAGCUCACUUUAAAAAAAAAAAAAUUGGUCUUGCCUUUUCAUUGUCAGGUCAAGUUAAUUAAAGAUGAACAUUUCAGACUCAUAAGACAAUGACAAGAUUUGUGUGGCUUUUGAUAAUAGGUAUUAGAUUGAUUGGAAUCCUUAAUUAGGUCCUCUUGCACACUAGCUACACCGAUUUCAAUGAGUCAUCUCCAUGCAAAACGUGCUAGCUUAUCUUUCUUUUUAACACUUGGUCUUGCUUUUUCUUUGUGUCAGAUCAAGAAACACGUUAUAGGGUUUGUUCUCCAUGCAAAACGGGAAGAGUCAAUCAUCAGGCCCGCACUACUACACCACAACGCUCACCGCCUAGAAACUACGUUGGUCACCAGAUUCCUUGAAAUAUUUACUAAACACUGAAAUAGAAUUGGAAGUGGGUCACCAAUCAAUUAUCAACUUUGAUACUAUUUGUUAGGAACGUACAACAAAAUUGCAAUACUUUUACUUGAGGAGAUCGUCAAGAGAGGCCCAUGACCACCCAACAUUAGUAUAAGAAGCUAAGUUACCAAGAAGUCUAGAUCCAAUAGUCACUCAAAGAGGGUUACUGAUGCUCUUAUCUAAGUAUGACAUGUGAGGUAGAGAUUGUUGGAGUUUAUCCCACAUUGAUUGUAAAAGAGACUUGUGGUCAGUUUAUAAGUAUAAGAGAAAACUUCAUCCUUUAAACUUUCAGGAGUGAGAGACCACACACACAAAACAUACUACUCCCAUGUUGGCUGGUCCAAUACUCACAUUGCUGUUCGAUCUCUCAGCUUUCUUAAAGUUCAUACUUUUAGCCUUCAAGCCCUCUAUGUUACUUUUCUAAUAAUUGCCCUGCAACUUUUUCUAACAUUCUUUUGAGGAAAGUGCAGACUUCACUUCCUUGACGGAUAUAUCUCACUCCCUUUCAUCAACGAAUUAGGAAAGUGAUCAUAAGAAUUGGGUAAAGAACAUAGCAGCAUAAUAGCUUGCUAUUGAUCAAUAUCAUCUCAUCCACAUUCGUUUGAUCAUUGAUGACUUUAUCAAACUCAAUUGUGAUCAUGAGUCGGCGUUCCCUUAACCAUCUUAUAUGUAAAGAAAAGUUGGAUCAAGAAAAGUUUCUUCAUGAGCAAUUUCGAUAUAUACAACUCUUCAAGUUUUGCUCGAUCUACAGUUGCACUCGUCUUAUCUGCAACAUAACCAGAACGUCAUCCCCCAAGUUCAAGAGAAUAAUUUUCCUACCCUUUUUCAAGAUAUCAGCCUUUCCCUUCCGAUUUCGUACUCUAGGGAGACUUAUCAUCUCCCUCCAACGCUAAAUCCAAGCCUUGUGUCUCAAGGAGCUCCUGCAUCUUAAUCAGCCUCAAGCUAUAACAAAUUCUGCUAAUGAAUUCCUCCAACUCAAGCUUUGUUGAAAUCAUAGCCAUAAUUGAUGAUAGACAAAAUUCCCAGGGCAGUCAACCAACAAUAGCCAUAGGCUCUUUUACUAUCUGUUAUGACUAGCGCGGAACCGUAAACAAACGGAAUAAUUCAAAAAAGAAAUAAAUUAAACCUAAACAAUGGUGAUUUUCGUAGUUUGACGGUGUGCCUAAUUCGUGGGAAAAAAUCGAAAAUAUGGUUCCACUAUAAUCAUGACAGCGAAAUACAAUCACUAUAAACUCACGUUCAAGUGCUUCCAACCCUAAAUACAUCCAAACCCACAGGAAUCAAUCAAUAAAAAAGGAGAUUUCUCUCACUCUCAACUUUCUUGGAUGACUACUCUCAAAAGCUCUCCAGGGUAUUCACAAGUUGUGUAUAGAAUAAACAUCAACAUAGGGUUAUAAUAACUAGUAAGUGCAUACUCAAGGCCACAUCGGGGUGGGCCUCGACCAAGAUAGGUAGAUUUUAUCAGUUUGGUUAUUUUGCUUUCCUUUUUUUCCCCUUCUCAAAAGCCAGUUUGCUGUGAAGACCAAAGUCAAGGUAGGCCAGAGAGGUAAUUUAAACACUCAUUGUUUGGUUUAAAAAUCGUCUACAUUGAACAUUUUUUCCUUUCGCUGAAAGCGAGUUGGAGGAUAGAAGUUCCCUUUUUGCAAACUCCUCAAUCGUCUGAUCUAGUAAUAAGUCAAAUAAAUGAGGCAGAAGGCGUAACUGUCACUUCGACGUAGGACGCCGCCCACCAUGCCAGCAUGGCACUCAACAGCAUGUCAAUAGCCGUUCAUUUCUCUAAGGGCGGGAUCAAUAUAAAAGAAAAAAAAUACAUAGUUCAAGAAUUCAAUUGGACAAAAAAGAAACUCAAAAUUGAUGAAGUUUAGAUCGUAACGUACUUUUAUCACUUUCAUUGUACUUUUUUUUUUUGGCUGGUCGAAACUUUCUUUUUUACUUCGAUAGCUCCAUUUGCAGGUACAAUCAAAUAAACAAAGUUUUUUCAAGGUAUUCACUGCAAAAGUAAAUCAUUUUAGGCUGCGGUUUUAUCCAUCACAAGACCUUUAAUUGGUGAUUGUGACUGCUUAGCUAAAGUACUUUACUUCAGGAGUUCCUAAUCCUUGGCCCUCGGCCAAAGCUGCAUCAGUAAAAAGGGACCUUAGAGCAUCACCUAUAUGGUUUCACCGCACAUUCAUUCCCUCUUCACACUAUAAUAAAUAUAAAAGAUCCUAAUUCUCGGCGCUCGGCCAAAGCUGCAUCAGUCAAAAGGGACCUCAGAGCAUAACCGAUAUGGUUUCCCCGCACAUUCAUCCCCUCUUCAAAAAAAAAAGAAGAAGUAUAAAGAUCCUUCCUCUUCUUCAUCAACGCGUGCAUGUUAUUAGCAGAAGGCCAUAAAAUAGGAAAGAAACGAAAAAAACAGAGAUGGUAGGUCUCGUUAACAAGUUAGUGCAGAAGCUCGAGCAGCGCUGCGAUCGGAUGAGCUACGAAGAUAAUUGGUUCAAAAUGGUAAAAAUUGAUGCACUGCUGGUCAUCACUCCUGCAAUCUUUGUCUUUCUUGGGGUCUCCGGGUCAUUCAGGCGAUGCUGCGGGAACCGCGCAUUCGUGAUGGUCGCAUUUGCGGCCUAUACCCGUACGCCUGCUGUCAUUGUGUAUACGCUUGGCCUUAUCCAAACCGCUCCAUUCUGUAGUGUGGGUUUGCCUAUCUGGGCGACUUAUCUGAUGGUGUUUCUCAGAAACGUGGAUUCCUACACUGCUCACAGCACGGGGGACAUUGAGCGGUGGAAGUCAUUUAAAGUCGACUCUGCUGCUAAAUUCAUCCUGACAAGUUGGAUAAUCGUUUCAUAUGUGUUCCUGUACCCUGACCUCCUGUUCGGGGCAAUACUGGGCGUUCUUUUCGUCAUUUUAUUCAUGAAAUUUGACGGAAGAGCACAAGCUUUGAAAUUGGUAAGCAAUUCUAUGAUGCAGAAGAACGACAGGUACAUAGCAGAUUACAUGAGCACCGAGCACCAAUGGAGAGAUUCAAGUGACGAAGAUCCUGCUACAAUGCGAGGGUAUAGGUACUUGGUGAGAGGGGCAGAAGAGGCAAAAGUGCACUCAUUGUGCUCAACAGCGAAGUGGAGGCGAAAGGCAGCUCCGUGGCGUGAUGGGGAUGCACCGCACUAUCGACAACUGUUGGAGGUGACGGAUGAAGUUGUCACCGUCGAGAAGGUUUGGAAUUGCAAAGGUAGACUUUUAAGUGUAAGCGGAGGAGACUCGGAUGGCCGACUCAAGGAUCUUUGCCUGUCUUUUUCGCUCUUCAAGUUCAUUCGCCUGAGAUUCACUGGCUAUUUGUUGCCCCAAGAAGCUCACAACAAGUUAUGGCGCUUGAUUCAACAUAUGCUUUCUAAAGAGAAUGGUUAUGAGCGAGUUUUCCGAGUCAUCGAAAUAGAACUUGCAAUUCUUUUCGAUUUAUUCUACACCAAACACCCAGUGAAUCUCCAUCGGCGUCCUUUAGUGUAUAGAUUGCUUCUGCUUCCCGUUGCGGUUGCUAUCCCUGUGCUUUUAUUCUACUUAGCGAUUUCCAGGAAGUUGGUGCUAAAGGCUGUUGAAAGCGUCUUGUUAAUGUUGUCGAUCCUCGUUGUCGAGCUUACACAGUUUGGCAUCAUGAUUUUCUCGGAAUGGGCAAAGGUCACAUACAUAUGCAACUAUGUACGAAACGAGUGGUGGCAAACGAACAGAUGUGCUGGGAAGUUGAUCGAGAUUUUGUGCCGAGUUUCGUUAGUGAAGCUUUGGGGAAGAGAAUUGCGUCAAUACUCGCUCCUCAAAUCGUAUAGGUAUUCUCGACCGAAGUGGAUAUAUAAUAGACUCACUGCUUCUUAUCUUGACCAGAAAAUAAACGGCCAGCAACAAAUUUCUCCCACCAAUUUGUCUAAGCAAGUGAAGAAGGCGAUUGCUCGGUCUCUAGGGAAGGAUUUUACCGGCUAUUUGGAGAAGGGACAAGCGUCUUUGAGGCGCAACGACUUGUCUAAUGAGCUUUCAUGGGCAUGUGAUCUUGAGACAACUACUCAUGUUAUACUGGUUUGGCACAUAGCAACCACUUUCUGCGAGCAUGAAGUGGCUUGUGCUCAACUUUCACAAGAAGAGAGAGACAACUUUGACAUAGCGACUAAGCUAUCGCAAUAUCUUGCUUACUUGGUUGUUUUCGCCCCUACGUUGCUCCCUGGCCACCCUUGCAGGACCAAAUACAUAUUUGGUCGUGCUAUCAGUGAAGCUAGAGAAAAAUUGGGAGGUUCCUUGGUUUUAAUAGAAAAGAGAGGAUUCAAAAGCUAAAGAUGGGCAUUGACAAUGAACAAUGCCAGGAAACCAUUGUGGCUCGAGGUGCGCGGCUAGGAAUGCAGCUUGUGAAUGGAGUAGUGGGUGAGGGGCGAAUUUGGAAGGUCUUGGCUGACUUCUGGGCAGAUAUGAUGCUAUAUGUGGCUCCUUCAAAUGAUAUGGCGGCUCAUGCUAAGUAUCUCACCACCGGGGGUGAGUUUGUGACUCACAUUUGGGUUUUGGUCUCUCAUGCGGGCAUUACGAGAGAUCCAUAUGGUGGUGAGUAACAUGAUGAUCCAGAGAGGAGCUGAACUUGGCCUCAUUUUAUGAUAUUAUGCCUAAUCAACUGUGUAAAAUGUCUAUAUGGUUGUGUAUGUUUGCAGUAGUCCCGUUGUCUUGCAUCCAUCCCUGGUCAAAUUCUAGAAAACUUUUUCGUGUAUGAUGCAUGACCUCUUCCUUUACGUGGUGUAAUGUGUAGCUUUAUCAAGGGUCUAUUAGCGAAGACUUGAAUAGGUUGUCCAUUUCUAAGAUUGUAUUAUGUCAAACAUGGGCAAUAUGUAAUGUUUUUGUUGUUGUUUGUUCACACUUUUACAUGUUAGGAUAUACAAUGUCAUGAUCAUGCAGUAGAUAUCUCAUACCUUCACUUGAUAGAUCACUAAGGAAAAGCCUAAGUUUGAGUCUAUCAAUAUACUCAAUUGAAUUCACAUUCACUCAAAAGCUUAAUUCAAUAAAAUUGAUGACUAAAUAUCACACCAAUUUUCCGAUGUGAAACUUUUCUAACACUACUCACAAGUGCAUUUCAAUAAUCUCGCCCUCACAUAUGAUCUUAAUGUUAGGUCUACUCCUUCUUAGUUAGGUAUCCUUCUGUGUUAACAUGUCUCUACUUGAAUCUCCACAUUGUUUGUCAUGUGAAGACCGUAGCAGCAACAGCUACAACCUUCAUCCCUGCUCUCUCCCUCUCUCCAGACCGAAUCAUGAAGUUUGCCAAUGGGGCUACAUUGUUAUAUCACAAUGCCCACCUUCACCGUAGGUCUCUUGAUCGAACCAUAAAGGGUGUGUGGAAAUGACAUUGUUUACAAGAUUCCUUCUUGGAAAUAUUGACCCAAAACGAAUAUGCAUUGGGAGUGGGCAACCAUUCAUUAUCGGAUUUAAUACCAUUUGUUAGGAGCAUGUAGUAAAAAUCCCAUACCUUUACCUGGGGAAAUCGCCAAGAAAGAACUUAAGUUUGAGUCAACCAAUCUAGUUGGAUCAACAAUCAAUUAAAAAUUUAAAUCAAUAAGUUAUGGACAAACUACAAUAUAUUAACUACACAACAUUACAUAAAUUUUCUAAUAUAAGAUUUUUCUAACACAGUUCAUGUGCAUCUCAAUAUACAUUUCCUAGAAACCCCAGCAAAGUAGUGCUUUGAAUGAGGCCAAGAUUGUGGGCGACGGUGGGAUCGAAAUGGCUGGCCACGAACGCUCUGAGCCUGAAAGCUCCAUUUUCUUUGCGAGAUUGCCAAAGACGCUAAUUAACAUGUACAGGCAAGGCUAUGAAGGUCAAUAGAACCUUAAUAUGCAGUGCAAUCCGAGUAAAAUUGCAUGAAGCAUGCAUCCUCAUCCCUGAAUCUCACGCUUUGUGUCCUGUUCUUCUGUUUAAGCUCGUCUUAAGCAAGGACUGUGGAGGAGAGUCUUAUUGGAUGUAGAUGCGGACUGGCCAUUUCCCAUUCUUUUUUAUAAUCUUUUGUCCUGUUCCUUUUUAUCUCUUCCUGACAAUCUAGCAUAAUGUUUUUUUGUUUUUGUUUUGUGAAAAGCCAUAUGUUUCGCUGAAGAUUGUAACUAUUUUAUUCCAGGUGUAUUUCGAAGACAUUUGGUUACAUUGGGAAAUAGCAAAGCGUAGUGCCAUGAGGCUAAUUACUAGAAUCUGAAGAUAACAUGGGGAUCCUCUAGGGGCAAAGUACUCCGUACGUCCGAUGCCAUACCAUCUUGCUGCAAGUUCAGUUUAAUUCUUCUUUACUUCGAACAGUACCCAGCUCAUUGUUGCGAUCCUUCGGAGGCAAACUUGUGGCAGAUUGCUAAAUAGGCGCGAAUGAUUUCUCUUAUGAUGUGCCUAUGUUUAGCACGCGCUCUCCCAAACCGUAUAAAUUGCGACUUGGUUUAUCGAUUAUGUGGCAUCCGAGAAUCUCGACGAUCCGAAAUAUUUAUUUUUGAAGAAAAAGAAAUUUCGUCUUUGAAUGGCCAUAUGGACAAUUGCACCAACGGCCACAUUAUUUUGUCUCUUGGACCGAACCUCCUAUGUACAUUGUCGCGACCCCAUGUAGCCUUGCCAAUUUCUUUCUCCACGCAAGGGUUUCAGUCAUGUACUUGUACAUGAAGCAAAUUGAUUAUGGGAAUAUUAAUUGAUUUCUAUGGAAACCAAAAUGCCUUAUAAUUGUGCAGAAAUUAUGGGCUUAAUUUUUUUAGAUUAUGGGCCAUUUAAUUUGGACCUUUGGCCACAAAUUUUCGGGCCCAAGCAGGCCCAAGAAGCCUCCAAGGUUGUCGACCAAAGGGGGGGGGGGGAGGAACCGGAUAGAGGAGGCCAUGCCACCCUCCACUUGUCCUUUCCUUGAAGCCACUUGUCACCUGCAUGCAAAAGUUAAUUAGUUAACUAAUGAAAGAACAAAGAGGAAUUCGGAACUAAGGAGAGAGAGAGAGAGAGAGAGAGAGAGAGAGAGAGAGAGAGAGAGAGAGAGAGAGAGAGAGAGAGAGAGAGAUUGAUUUGCACUGAUAAAACUACGGAAUAAGCUUUGCUUCGUUUAGUAACUAGCCUAGCAGCACUUCUAGUAGUUAAGGCAUAUCAUCUUAUAUAUACAAACUUUGGAGGCUUGUCUUAAUCCUAUAAAAUAUUAUUUUCCACAUGAUCAUUAGAAAAUAGNNNNNNNNNNNNNNNNNNNNNNNNNNNNNNNNNNNNNNNNNNNNNNNNNNNNNNNNNNNNNNNNNNNNNNNNNNNNNNNNNNNNNNNNNNNNNNNNNNNNNNNNNNNNNNNNNNNUAGUACCCAGUCAGUCAGUGUUGUAGCCGAAUGAAUUGGAAUUUUUCUUCUGGGGGUGAAUAUUACAAACGAUAUUCUAUUACAGAUGGUCAAAAGGGCUCUUGGCAGCAGCCUUCACAAGCUGCCGUAGAAUAAAUUUGGCUUAUAUUAACGGCGGGGAGGUUCGUGCCUUGAUUCUUUCUUAUUUUCUGUUAGUGAGUGGGGGGGGGUAUAAAUAGAGGGCCUCCCCCCCCCCCUCCCUUACCUUUUCUUUUUACCCCUUUCCCGCACACAUAUGUGUUUAAAUUGAAUUUACCAAAAUCCACACACACAGAGAGAGAGAGAGAGAGAGAGAGAGAGAGAGAGAGAGAGAGAGAGAGAGAGAGAGAGAGAGAGAGAAACCGAGAGUUUGAGCGAGCGGCCCGAGCAAGAGAGAAAGAGAGUUUGAGCGAGAGAGUGGGCACGCGGGUGUGAGCCGCGAGGGAGGAAAAGGAGGAUCGCCUUCCGCCGUGUCCGAGCUGCCGCCAUCGACGCCGCCGAUCCCCGUCGCCGAUUGAGCUGCGUUCGAAGUCCCAAGUUUCUGUUUUUGUUUGCCGAUCAAGCUAGGAGAAAUGCUGGUAGAUGUGAGAAAAUGCAGAAUAGGAAGCUGCAUGUUGAGUUUUUGGAUGAUUGAGAUAAAGAUUGAAUGCCGAAAUGUGGAGGAUUGAAUGUGAUGUUGCUGUUUUGUGUUGGAUUGAACUAGAUGAGUACUAGAUCGAAGCUACCAGCCAUUGCAUGUUGUAUUAGGGUCUUGUAUGUUUCGAAAAUUGAGUGUGAGAUGGCUGUGUGGAUCGAGCAAGGUGAGGAAAGGGUUGCCGAGGGAAAGGAUGUGGUAUAUGUUGAGAUGAGUGAGUUUAGGGAUGAAUGUAUGCUUUGAGCCGAGCUGUGGAAGGUUUUUCUGCUAAUAAGAACUUGCUAAAAGUGUUCUUAGAUGCUGUGGAAGAGACUUGAAGUGCUGUAGGAUAGAUUGGUAGGGAAACAAAUGGUUGGACUGAGCUAGAAAUGAAGAAAACCAUAUAUGAAGAAACUGUUUUAGAGGAAUAUGGAUAGAAAGCCUUGUUAUUGGCGUCGCUUUGAUUUAUAAUGAUGAAAAUAAGGAAAGGAGCCAUUUUAUUUAAAUAUUAUAUCCAUUAGAUGGAGUUUGACAUCUAGCUAUAGCCAUAUGAAUGUGAAUUAUGAAGGUAGAAGUGAACCUAUUGAAAACAGUGAACUGUUUCGUAGAAGAUAGCUUGACCUGUGAUAAUUCCGUGAAUUUUCUGUAAUUCUAUAGAUAGAAUUGGACUUCGAACCCUUAAUGAAAGUUUUAGGACACUUCCUUAGGUAUAACGUAUCAAAAUUUGAGAACAAACGGACAAGACUUAGUUGGUGAAACGAAUUUUCUUCUGUAGGUACUGAAUCUGAAAGUUACUGCAGAAUUUUGAAGGAAACAUCAAAAUAUUAUUCUUUAUACACAACGAAUUUGACUUAGUGUCCUUCAUGAAAUUUAUUCCUUUUGGUAUCAUCUAUAACAUAUAAAAAUUUUAGAAUUUUCUGAGUUCAUUAGGGGCUACUCCAAAAUUAUUACUAAAACUGCACAUUGUGAUGUUUGAGCUGCUUUGUUCCGAUUUUGUUCAAUUUGUCCCAAAGGUGAAUGCAUUUUAAAUUGCUAUUUGACAUGAUGAUAUGGGCAUUGGCAUAUUAUGCAAUCUUGAGAUUUGAUGAAGGAUUCUUGGGACAUCUUGUCAUUGCAUUUGAAGGUAUUUUUGGAAAUUAAAAUGUUAAUUGUUGCCGUUGGAUCCUUGGGUCAACGAUGCCCCGGGAGUUGGGAUGCCCAAAAGAUCGAAUGAGUCUAUGCCUUGUGGAUACCCGGUGGCCCUAAGUGGCUGAAUGCCGGAGGUCUUUCCUAGGGAGCUUCGGGAUGCUCGGUUGUAUGCUAGUUGGUACGUAAAUCCGGAGGGCUGGGGUAACCAUUCUCAUGGUGAGCCUCGGAGGUAUUCCUCGUGAUGCCAGGUGGGGUACGAGAUGCCUGGAGGUGUGAUACGCUCCGGAUGCCCGGUGGCCCUAAGUGGCUGAAUGUCGGAGGCUUUCGUGAUGCCAGGGUGGAUGCGAAUGCCCAGAGGGACGCAAAUAUUGGUCCUCUGGGGGAUGAAACCUUUUGAGUGAUAAAAUGGAUGAUUCUACUAUAUGUGUGUGUGGUCUGGUUAAAGGACUAAGUUGUAUGGCAUGGAAUGGGCCAUGUCAUUACAGUUUGGCCCUAUAAUUGAGACUUGUGUAACUGGACAUGAUGUACUUUGAUCCAUGGAAACUGCAUUUGCCAUUGCAUUGAAGAAUUUCAUGAUUUUGAUGCAUGCUUAUUCUUUAACUACUUGUUUUUGUUUAUCUUGCAUGAAUCUGGAUAUUGAUGGUAAUGCUUGAUAUAGUUUGAUGAAUCUUUUACUGCUGAGUGGCUGUACUCACCCCGUGUGGGGACCUAACAUUUCAGAUUAAAAGAUGCCUCUAUUGCCUAUCACUCACGGUACUUUUUACGGUGUCCCAGUCAACGUUGAGUGCAUGUGUUCAAAGCACACUCAUGUAGGGAUUUGAGGAUUGGUUUUCAUCCGAGUACGGGUUCUAGUCAUGUAUGGCGUUGGUUUACCUGAUGGCCCCAUGGUUCAGGAGUUUUUGUCAGUGCACGUUCGUCGUGAUGGGAUCAUGCUAGGGAUGUUGCCGCCGCCGCCAGCCGAUGGACGGGGUUGGGUGUGAUCGUGUGUGACAGGUAGCAGAUGAAACUUUUUGGACUGUCGGCACUGUCUGAUAGACUUUUGUAUAGGGCUGAAUGGAAAGGAAAGAAAAAAAGAGUCGGUUAUCUUUUGAGUAUGUAGCCGGGUAUAGAAAACCACAGCAAAUUUUGGUGUACCAACUUAUGAUGUCUAUCAAGCUUAUGUAAAUAAAAGUGCUCGGCUUUAUCUUAUAAAACUGUCUAGUGGGUGUGCAUCAUUUCAACACUUUUUGUGAUAGGGAGAGGUGAUAUCGCUUCCGCUAUACAUUUAUACGCUGCGCAGGGACCGUUUGAAAAUUAUAAACCCCCAGGACUUAUGGACCUAUUAUAAUUCUAUGGUAUCAGAGUGAUAUAAUAUCAGGUCAAGAGAAAGGCAAGUGGACUGUGGCGACCCUAGCGGAUCGGGGGCCGUUCGAGGGGUGCCACAGAUUAAUUAUACAAUUUAGUUUUACUUCAAGAUCCACCACUAAUCUAUUAUGAGUGGAUUAGAGACAUAUUAGAGACCAAGUAAGAUGCGAGAGCUCAUUUUACUUUUACGAACUAGAGAUUCAUGGGUACAUCAAAUGACUAUUUUGGGACUUUUUCUCUUCUAAUGAAAAGGAUUAUUCAUGUGAUCUUUUCAAUUAUUUUUAUCCAAGACAUGCAAAGCAGGUGAUCAUGCAUAAAUCAUUCAAACAAACACAUAAGUAAAAUCCAAUAAUAUCCAAGCAAGUAAAGUGUGGAUAGGAAUGAAACCGAGCCGUACUCGGCAAAAUUAAACAUAUAAGUUAUAAAUGAAGGGUCAUUUCUUCAAAAUAAACUAAUACUUGAAAAAGGAUAGUGAAUAUGCGAACAUGAAGUGCUAUGACUAUUUUCUAAAUAAAUUACUUCUUUAAAAUGAACUAUUAAAAACAUGUAAAUACAAUUUAAUUAACGCGGUCUAAAAAGAAGUGCAAUAUUAAGAGAAUGAAUCUAUUUGUGAAUAUGCAAAUUUUGCUGAAUGCACUCCUAGACAUAUUUGGUGACAUUUUUAAUGAAGAUGCAAUCUAAAAUUAUUAGCAUACAAGAUAUGAUCUUUUAUAUUUUCUUUUUUUAUGACAUGUGAUUGUGAAAAUAAAGUGUUAAUGCAAUAUAAUGUUCCAAAGAUGCAUCAAGACAUCUAUUCAUGAAAAUUUUAAAUUCUCUUACAAGGCAAUUAUCAUUUUGCAAAUAAAAUAUGGAAUCCUAUUUAUGCAAAAACAUGCAAAAGUAUCAAUAAGCUUACAGAUGCAAAGGCAAACACAACUGGACCUGCAAAUAUGAAUUUUUCUAUAUACGCAAAUAUCAAGACGUAAUUUACUCAUAUAGGUUCCCUAAUUAAUCUAAACAUGUGUUUCUGACCCCCCCCCCCUCAACAAAAAAAAUCUAAACAUAUGAUUCAUGUAACAUUCCCUUAUUAAGACUAUAAAUAUAACAUGUCAAUCUAACAUUCAAAACCUUUCUGACCAAAAAAAAAAAAAAAAAAUUCAAAACCUAGUGAGUAUAUUAUAUGAUAUGCAAAUUACUACAUGGAACUCCAUGCAAAAGUGACAUGAAAUACGAUCACAAACCCAACACAUGAUUAUGUGACGAAUUUUUAUUAUGGAAAUCAAAUGUACACAAAUUGUGUGACCAAAUUAACAUUAUGCAGUGAAAUUGAUCUAAACUAACAUGCAAAUCUGAAAUUUAAAAAAAAACAUGAUAAUGUAGUCAAACAAUGAUCUCAUCAAAUAUCAACAUUGAAAUAAGUUAAAACGAUGCGAGUUACAACGUCAAUUGCAAUAUUUUUAUGAGAAGAUGAUAAACCAAAAUUAAAUAUAAAGGGAGUUGGUUUGGAUAAAAUCAAUUUUUUGAGACGAGUUGCUUGGCAUUAUCGGUUCAGUUUAUGAAUGCACUCGGGGACAAAUAUCUAGACAAAAUCAAAGUAGAACAGUUCACAUAAUUUGAAUUAAUCAAAGAAUGGAAACCGGGAAUUUAGAUUUUUUUACCUUGAAAUCACAACCAAUGUUGGAAAACCGUCCAACUCGGUUCUUCAAUUCUUCAUGAUCUCCUUUUCCAGCGGUGCCUUCUGUUUUCUUUCCUCCUAGUCCACACCGCUUUAUAGGUCUAGGUAUUGAGCUCCAAUAUGUAGCCGAAUAUAUUCUGGACAUAUUUGCUCAAUCGUGUGCACUUUUCAGCCAACACUUACUUCUAGAAGGAAUUAUGGUGUUCUUCUUGACUUGUAGGAUUGGUUAGCUUCAGCGUUAUCUCACAGCGUGAUGUAAGCCGACCAAAGAAGCCGUUGUCUGUGUAGAUAAUAAGACUAUACUGGGUAAAUAAAAAACGAACCGUAAAGAACGCUAGAAAUUAACAUGAAUUGUUGUAAGUGUUAGCACUUUCUUCACGAAAAGAGUCAAAUGUAAAUAGUUCUCUAUUAAGUGAAAGUUAUAGAGUUAAAUCAAUAGCUCACUCCUCACUUGUUCCCCAAGCUCCAACACACAAAAUCCUACAAACUCUCGUAUCUUACCAAAUUUUGCUAGAAAACCCUGCAAGGCACAUUAAAUAACUUUUGUACGUGUUCUAAACAAAAUAGGAGAAAAAACUUACUUAAAAGGGACAUAACCGGUCCGAACACCCUCUCUUGAUGGGUUAACCUGACACAUUCUAAUGAGACGCUCUAACAAUGUCCGAAAACUAGGCUACCGGUCAGUUUACCAAACCAACUCAUGACAAUCUCCUCUCUCUCAUAUUAGACCAUCUUGGAUAUCGAUCCAACUCCAAAAUGAUAGAUUUGGCUAGAGACUGAGCCACAAAACUCCUUGGCUCAAUGCUCUUGGCCAAGGUAUAGUGCUCAUAGUCCAUGCUGGCUCUCCCAACACCUCGACGAGCACUCAUCCUCCAUAGAUGCCAAUCAAGCUCCAAUAACCUUGUCCUUGCAAUGACAUCUGGGAUGAAUAUUUCUUGAUGUUGAUAUGAGUAGUUAAUUUGUGAUAAAUAGGAUUUCUAACCAAAUAUAUCACAACUUUGUUGUCACAAUGGUUGAUAACACUUUUGUUGAGGGUAACAAUGCAACCUAGAGGAGGAGAAACAGGUUGUUUAUAAACUUUGAAAAAAAUUUGUAGAACUUUUCAAAUUAAACAUUGAUAAAUGCAAAAACAUAUUAAUAUAGUCAAAUGCAGGAUGCUUCUAUCAAACAUAUAUUCCUAAUAGUGAAGAGAUAAAAAAAAAAAAUAUUGCACAUAGAUAUAUAGUGAUUCUGCUUAUACCAAGUCUACGUCUACUCUCCAUGACUAAAUCCAUAACAAGGCUGAAUUCCACAAGUAAUUUUAAUAGAGGUUACAAAGUGUCGGUUCAAUAUGAAGCUAAUAGAUGGCUCUAGAACAUCGCCAUCACACUUGUAUACUUCUAAUCACAUAUUACUAGCAUGAGAGCUCUUGCUUGUGAGAGUUAUUGACCUCCGAAUUUCGCUGAUACAUUUUUUUUUUUUUGAGGAAAAUUAAUUCACAAAUUAGGGAUUAUAAUAUUGAUGUCUCAUGCCCGAGCCAUUUAAGCAUCAAAAUCAAUAUUCCCCUAGGAUUUUUUUUUUAAAGGGUUUUUUAGAAGCUUCAAGAAAUCUUGAGGUUUCUCUGUCUUAUAACAAAUUUUCGUUUUCUUUUGGCAAUAACUAAGUCACAUACACAUGCAUAUUCACGUAUAUGGCAGAAAGCCUCAAGAAUGGGUUUUGACCAGAUGGGCAUUUUCAUCUUUGUAUAUGGGAGUAGAAAAGGAAAUUUCCGCUUCCUUCGUCAGAGAGGAAGGUAAUAGAGACGCACACACGCUCAUGCCAUCAAAAUAUUUAGUACAAGACGCGGCAAUGAAAUUAUACAUCAACUUCAACGGACGAUAGCUACAAUUUAUUGAGAAAUAAGUAUUGACGAAGUUGACCUUCUCAUGGUUUCCGUAACUAAGUUCUACACGUUACCUCGAUCAGCUUCUCCGCAUAUCUAUUUCUUUGAAACCACUCGUACCGCACAUAGAUACAUGUACAUGCUAUUUUGUCCUAUUCGGAGAAAAUUCCGACGUUAAAUUGGACGAUGUCGAUGGCAAGGAUCGUAAUUAUCAUAAAGAGCGUUACCAAAGCAUCAGUAUUGGACCUCAUGCUUUCAUUUUGAGAUUUUCGUUAACCUGAUAUCGUAGGCAGAGGGAAAGCAAGUACGGUAUACAUUUGAAGUACCUUUAUUACCAUAAGACAGGACCGAGAUUAACCGAGAAGUUGGUGUAGAAUAGAUCAAAAUGAAAUGCAAGUUCUACCUCCAUAACUCUGAAAACUCGCUCAUGUCCAUUCUCUUCAGGAAACAGGCUAUGUCGAAUCAGGAUCUAUAACGUGUCGUGAGCUUCUCGGGGCAGGGGCAACGUAUAGCCAGCAAAUAUCAGGCAGUUACGCUUGAACAGUGGAAAAGGGAGGCAAACAUCCUUGAGUUCACCAUCUGGGUCUCCUCCACUCGCACUUAAUAGCCUCCCUCUGCAAUUCCAAAUCUUUUCAGCGGUGAUAACGCCAUCCAUGGUAAGUUCGGAUGAUCGGUACUAUGGCGCAUCUCCCUUAAGCCACUAUGAUUGUUGCUUCUGCAGCGCAAGUGCACCUUCUCCCCCUCUCACCAAGUACUUGUACCCCUGUACGCUAGAUGGAUAAUCUUGGGUUAGAUACUGCUUCCGUGCUCGGUGCUCAUGUAGUCAGCUUCUGAAUGAAGUUUUUCUGUACUUCAUCCUUGCUAGCUGACCCUCAAAGCUCGGACUCUUUCGUCAACUUUCAAGAACACCGAAAAUAUAAGAUAAGACAACCUGGAUUAGCUUCUAUGGGGGGCACAUAGGAACCAGUUAGCGACCCUGCUUUACCACAUUCAAUGGACAACUCAGUGGCAAGGGACUUCCAUUGUUCGAUGUCCUCAAGACUGUGUAGAGUGUGGGAAUCGGUGCUUCUUGUUGGAGAAAAUUUCCUUAAAUAUUUUUAAGCUGACAAAACGUUUCCAUCAGUCUAGUCUGAAGACUUGCAGACUCUUCCAUCAAAGUCUGAAGACCUCCGGAUUGCUAGACUCAAGACUCAAAGUCUAUUCGCAUUGACAGUUUCUAGACCGUCGAAGAAGACUUAUCCAGAACUGGAUGUUUUGUUAAGGAUUUGACUUUAUCAACUAGAGAAGAUCUCUUGGCUGGAUAUAGCAUGUCGGAAUCCAUUAUUCAAAUCAAGAUUGAUUAAGGGAUUAUAGAUCUGUUGAUUGGCAAAGUAUACUUGGAAGGUUCUACUUAUGGAAACCGAGAUCCUGAUUGUAUGGGCGAGCAGGAUUGAUGGGCUAUCGUCAUGUUCCUUAAAUAGCUCGAAGAUCUUCCUAAUUGAUUCUGUCCAACGAGUAGAUUGGAAGAAUUCCUUUGGUAAGUGCCAACGGGUAUGAUGGCAUAAAGGAGUAUAAAAGGAAGACGUUCCAGUUGUUUGAGUGUGUGCGCGAUAGAAGAAUUCCAAAGUCUGAAGCUCCUUGUUCUUAGUCAAUUCAUUUGUUGAGCGAAAUCUUGUACGCAAAAGAAAGUCUAUAUUUUUUAGAAACCUUGAGGAAGUGUAGUAAAGUCUCUACACUGUGGAAUCAAGGGAGAGCUUUACUGUAACAACUCUUUUGUUCAUAGUGAAAUCCAGCCGGUGGGCUGUCAGUGUGGAAGAGUGGACGUAGGCUUGGAUUAAGCCGAACCACUAUAAACUCUGUGUUCAAAUUCUCUUCCCUACACUCUUUUACUUUGAUCGUAACUUGUUUAUUUGAAAAGAGAGGAAUUUUCUUUUCAUAAUCCAUUGUUGAUUUGAGCUGCACUUAUCUCGCAAAAUUGUUUCUGCACCUAUUCACCCCCCUCUAGGUGCUUAUACUAGCUUUCACAAUUGGUAUCAGAGCCCGUGUAUUCACUUGAUUUGAAGUGUUUUACUUCAGAGUUAAAGAUCCAUGACUAGUAUGUUGGCUUUUGAAGGGCAAAGCAAUACCAGACCGCCUUAUUUCGAUGGAAAAGAAUACAACAUAUGGAAAAACAAGAUGAAGGCAUUUCUAAGAUCAAAGGAUCCUCUGGAAUGGGAUGUGGUAGACAGAGGAAUCAUUCCUAAAGCUACACCUGUCUCAGAAAGAGGAAAAGAAGCUGUUGAGUCUAGCGAAAUGACUCAAGAAGAGAUAACCAAAAUACAAGCUCUUGAUGCAAAAGCAAUUUAUUCUUUAUAUUGUGCAUUAUCACCUACUGAAUAUAACAGAAUAUCUUCUUGUGCUACAGCUAAAGAAGUCUGGGAUAAAUUACACAUCACCUAUAAAGGAACUAAUCGAGUGAAAGAAACUAGAAUCAACAUUCUGCUCGGUCAAUAGGAAGCAUUCAAAAUGAAAUCUGGAGAAUCUAUCACUGACAUGUUUAGUCGUUUUACAGAGAUCGUGAAUGGCCUCGAAAAUCAAGGGCAACCAAUUUCUGAUCUCAUGAAAGUAAACAAGCUUCUGCGUGGACUCUCCAAGGACUGGAAUCACAUAAAGACCUCAAUAAGGGAGACACAAAGAAUUAUGCCACUUUCAGUUGAUGAAUUGGUUUGGACUCUUCAGUCUUAUGAAGUGGAGCGAAUCAACGAAGAUGAAGAUCCUAAAGGUAAGAAAUCCAUUGCAUUAAAAUCUAAUGAUAAUUCUGAUGUCACAGAUUUUGAAGACGAUAUGGAUGACGAAGAGCUUGCUCUCAUGAUAAGAAGAUUCAGAAAGCUGAACAGGAAAGGAAGAAGAUUCAAUCCAAAGAAAAAGAGUUUUCAAAAGUAACAGAGUAAAUUUGUUGAGGAUGAUGAAUCCAAUAAAGAUGUAGUUUGCUUUGAAUGUAAGAAAAAGGGACACAUCAGACCCAACUGUCCCCUCCUGAAGAAAAAGAAAGGAAAAGCUGAGAAAUAUCAAAAGGCACUCAAAGCAGAAACAUGAAGUGAUACAAAAUGUGAAGAAAGUUAUGAUGAUUAUGCCAAUAUUUAUCUCAUGGCACAAUCAGACUCAGAUUCAGACUCCGAGACAGACUCAGAUUCAGACAGUGAAAUCAAGGUAAGUAAUUUGAAAAUCCCUACUAAAGUCUCUAGAUACAUUGAUGAAUUGUGUCUUAGUCUCAAGACUUCUCUUAAAAGGAUUUCCGAACUUAAAAAGGAAAAUUCAGCACUAAAACAACAAGAAAAUGUUUGGAAAGAAAAUGUUGAAAGUUUAGACAAAAGUAUUACUAUUUUGAAAGAAAAUGAAGACAAUCUUUCAAAAGAAAAUGCGUCUUUGAAAUUGACAUCUCAAAUAUUUCUAAAAGAUUUUCUAUAGGAUCUGAAAAACUAGAAAAAAUUCUUUAUGCUCAAAGACCUUAUUUCAAUAAAUCUGGUUUGGGAAUGACUGCAGAAACCAUUCAUCUAAUUGAUUUUCCUAAAGUAAAUGAAAGAAUUAAGCAAAGACCUACUAGAGAUGCUUACAAAAAUCAUUUCCAAAGAGUUUUUGUAAAACUAGUAGGUCGCAAUGCUCUUAAAUGUUCUAAGUGCAAUAGCUCAGACCAUUUUGAGAAAGAAUGUCCUAUGGUUUGGAAACCUGUUAAGAAAAUUUGGGCAAAGACAGUAUAUUAUACUAACACCAAUGGACCCAAGAAAAUAUGGGUACCAAAGAAAGCUUGAGUCGCUUUUCUAAAUGCAGGUCACUAUCAAGAAAAAGGCUAAAUGGUACUUGGAUAGUGGAUGCUCAAGGCAUAUGACAGGAGAUUCAAAUUGCUUCAUAAAGCUUGUUCAAGUUAAUGGUGGAAAAGUUUCAUUUGGAGGAAACAACAAAGGAAAAAUUGUGGAAUUCGGAACAGUAAAAAUUGGAAGCCUCACGAUCAGUAAUGUUUCCUUAGUGGAAUGACUCAACUACAAUUUGCUAAGUAUUAGUCAGCUGUGCGACACCGGUUUCAAAAUCAACUUUCAAGAAGGAAUAUGUUCAAGAACUAGUAAAGACUCAUCUCAGUCUUUCACGGGUAGAAGACAUGGAAAUAUCUAUAUCUUGGAUGUCAAACCAGAUGAAACCCAAUGUCUAAUCUCAAUUCAAGAAGAAGCAAACUUAUGGCACAUAAAACUUGGGCACAUCAACGUGAAACAAAUAGCCAAAAUUCCAGAAAAAAGGCUUGUUCGUGGUCUACCCAAUCUGUCAUACCAAAAGACUGAUCUUUGCACACCAUGCGUGUUGGGAAAACAAGUAAGAAACUCAUUUAAACCAAUAAAUCAAGUUUCCACUAACCGUGUACUGCAACUUCUGCAUAUGGAUCUCUUUGGACCAACCAGAACUUAGAGCAUUGGAGGUAAGAAAUAUUGCCUAGUAAUUGUGGAUGAUUACUCACGAUUCACCUGGGUAUAUUUCCUGGUAAGUAAGUCUGAAACCUUUUCUUAUUUUAAAAAGUUUUCUAAAAAUGUCCAAAAUGAAAAAUGGUAUGUUAUUUCAAGUAUACGAACUGACCAUGGAGGCGAAUUUAAAAAUCAAGACUUUACAAGAUUUUGUCAUGAAUCUGGUUUUCAGCAUGUGUUCUCUUCUCCAUAUACUCCAAAGCAAAAUGGAGUCGUGGAAAGAAAAAAUAGGUCGCUUUAGGAAAUGGCUAGAACUCUUUUAAUUGAAAGUAACAUCUCUUCACGUUUUUGGGCUGAAGCAGUUUUUAUAGCAUGUUAUAUUAUUAAUAGAGUUUUUCUAAGGCCUAUUUUGGAAAAAACUCUCUACGAGUUAUUCAAAGAAAAGAAGCCCAUUGUUUCAUAUUUUCAUGUGUUUGGGUGUAAAUGUUUUCUAUUGAAAAAUGUAAAUGAUCGAGCUGGCAAGUUUGAGGAAAAAUCAGACGAAGGAUCUUCCUUGGAUAUUCAACCACAAGCAAAGCUUACAGAGUCUACAACAAGAAGACUCAAUCUGUGGAGGAAUCAAUGAAUGUCAAAUUCCAAGAUUCUAUGCAAAUUGAAUCGAUUCAGACUCAACUUGAAGAAUUUGAACCUGCUCCGGACUCUACAAAGUCUAAAUCUCCAGAAGCAGCUCAGACUUCAGAAGAUCAGCAACAAAUGAUCGUCGAAGAUUCAAAUGUGGAAAAAGAUCAACAGUCUGACAAAGCAACCAAUAACUGGAAGCAUAAGUCCAGUCAUCCCAAAGAUCUCAUCAUUAGUGAUAUUAAUGAAGGAAUCCGUACAAGAUCCAAAAGGCGCGAAGAGUCUAGUGCUGUGGCUCUUAUUUCUGAAAUAGAACCCAAAAAGCAUAGAAGAAGCUUUAACUGAUGAAAACUGGAUUGAAGCUAUGCAAGAAGAACUCAGGCAAUUCAGUAUCAAUGAUGUUUGGGAAUUGACUCCUAAACCAAAAGGUAAAUCUAUUAUUGGAGCUAAAUGGGUUUUCAAGAACAAGAUGAACGAGAAAGGAAAGAUCGUAAGAAACAAAGCAAGACUCGUGGCCAAGGGAUAUACGCAAGAAGAAGGAAUAGACUAUGAUGAGACUUACGUGCCAGUAGCAAGGUUAGAAGCAAUUAGAUUAUUACUUGCUUUUGCUUGUCAUAAGAAUUUUAGGUUAUUCCAAAUGGACGUCAAAAGUGCCAAAAUGGAGUUAUCCAAGAGGAAGUCCAUGUGGAACAACUACCCGGUUUUGAAGACCAAAGGAAACCAGACUCUGUAUUCAGACUGAAAAAGGCUUUAUACGGUUUAAAGCAAGUACCUCGAGCUUGGUACGAGAGGCUAAGUAAGUUUUUAAUUCAAAAUGGCUUUGUUAAAGGUAAAGUAGACACUACACUGUUUAUCAAAAGAGAAAGCAAAAGUUUUCUACUUGUUCAAAUUUAUGUUGAUGAUAUUAUUUUUGGAUCUUCUAAUGAAAGUCUAUGCAAGAAAUUCUCUAAGUCUAUGCAGGAUGAAUUUGAAAUGAGCAUGAUGGGUGAACUAACCUUCUUUCUCGGGCUCCAAGUAAAACAACUGAAGGAAGGAACCUUUAUUCAUCAAGAAAAGUAUGCUAAAGAUCUUGUUAAAAAGUUUGGACUGGAGAAUUGCAAAAGACUGAUGUACCAAUGUCAAGUUCCUUGAAGCUGGACAAAGAUGAAGGAGGAAAGAAAGUUGACCAGAAACUAUACAAGAGCAUCAUUGGUUCACUUUUUUUAUUUUACUGCUUCUAGACCUGACAUUUUGUUUAGUGUUUGCAUUUGUGCCAGGUUUCAAUCAGACCCUCGAGAAUCUCAUUUAAGUGCUGCAAAACGUAUUAUCAAAUACAUUGCCUCAACUUCAACUAUGGGUCUUUGGUAUCCUAAAGAAGGAGACUUUACUCUUCUUGGAUACUCAGACGCAUACCUAGCCGGAUGCAGAGUUGAUAGAAAGAGCACCUCGGGUACCUGUCAACUACUUGGAAGCAAGACAGUGUCUUGGUUUUCAAGGAAGCAAAGUACAGUAGCUCUUUCUACAGUAGAAGCAUAAUAUGUAGCUCUUGGAAGUUGUUGUUCACAAAUCUUGUGGAUAAAACAAUAGUUAAAAGACUUUGGAAUUGAAGAUUCAUGUACUGAAAUCAAGUGUGACAACACCAGCGCAAUCAAUCUCACCAAGAAUCCGAUUCUUCACUCAAGAGCAAAGCAUAUAGAGAUUCGACAUCACUUCAUUAGAGAUCAUGUUCAAAAUGGAGAAGUUUUGAUUCAGUUUAUUGAUUCAAAGAAUCAACUGGCGGAUAUUUUUACAAAGUCUUUGGAGAAAAAUCAAUUUGAAGCUAUUCGUUCCAGACUCAAUAUCUUAAAGUCUGAGGAAGUUCAGACUUAGGACUGAAAGACAUUCAGACUUAGACGAUCAAGAAUUGCGACUGUAAGUUAUUUUUAUUUUAGAAAAUUAUCUCACGAAUCAAAUCUCGGAAAUGUACGAUCAUCAACCCAUUAUUAAUUGUUGUUAUUUUUAAUUUCCGUAAUUAUUGCAAUCUUUCCUUUUCGAAAAAGGAGUUAUUUUCUUUUGAAAUGACAGUUAUCUAAUUUUUGAAAAGGCAGUUAUUUUUAAAAAGGCAUCUUUAUACUUUCUUUUUUUUUACGACGUUCCGUAUGCCUCUCUUCGACUGCCUUAUAUACUGUCGGUUCCUCUUCAUUUCACUCACAAAAACCCUAAGAGAGCACCGAUCUUCCAUUUAUGUCUUCUUCUCUUGUUUAAUCUUCUAAAAGUUGUCAUCUUUCUUGGGAAAAACAAACUUGGAAUCUCUCCAAGACUGUGAAAAAUGUCUUCCCAAAGAAAGUCUUCGAGGAUCGCGAACAUGGGACCACAUCAGAUGCGUGAGGGGCCUACGCACUUCGAUCUAACUGAAGAAGAAUAAUUUCCUAAUCAGCAACAUAGCCCACAACAUUCUCAGCAGUGUCCAUCUCCUCCAUCUAGACCUCAGGAUGUUGUAUAUCAAGAAGAGGAAGAAAUAAUCGAAGACGCAGAACCCGUAAGAACUCUUAAGCCCUCUUUUACCUACAAGCUUUAUCGUGCUUUGAAGAGGGGCGGUACUCCUUUGAACUAUAUUGAUGAAUUUUUGAAAGACAAAGGGUAUAGAAAUAAAACUUUCUUUUUACGCACAAUGGAACGAUUGGGAAUUGCCCCUGCUAGGUCGGCGGAAGAGGCAUUCGCAAAUAUCCCAAGCGAUCCACGUGUUGGAGGGCUGAGUCAGCCAGAUGGGAAUGAUGGUGAUAGGUUGUACAGUCAGUUUAAACCAAGAAUGGGUGUUGCAGCAAAAAUCCGAAGCAAAAGGACAGACUUGUUUCGAUCAGAAAAACAUAAGCAACUGUACUCUAAGUUGCUGAAGCGUGGGGUGAUAAACCUUAGAAGUGUGGAUUUUGAUUUUCUUGACUCUGUGAAUGUCAAUCUACGGGAAAAAUUCAGUCUUCUUCAACUCGAACAAUUUUGUUCUGAAAGUACAUAAGCCUAUGCUAAACUUACUGCUUAUUUCUAUUCAAAUCUUAGUUUCUUGGAUGCGAAUAAAUUCUCUUUUAGUGUUCGAGAUCAGGACGUUUCAACCCAUUAAUGUGGGCAAAAGAACGCUUCAAGUGCCUUAACUUUGCACAAAGGGACACUUAAGUGCCAAAAUCGGAGUAAAAUGGAUCACUUGAGUGCCAAUCCGGCCAAAAUCCGGCCAAAACGCUGACGUGUCAAUUUUCCGGCGAAGCGAGUGCAAAACGGCGUCGUUUUAAUGCUGACGUGGCCAAAAAUUUAAUAUAAAAAAUAAUUUAAAACUAAAUUUAUUUAAAUAUUUAACAAAAUAUUAAAAUAUUAAAAAAUGUUAAAUUUUAAAAAAUUAUAAAAAUUUUAAAAAAUUAUAAAAAAUAUAUAAAAAUAUGAAAAAAUUUAAAAAAAUUUGUAAAAAUUUUAAAAAUUGUAGAAAAUUUUAAAAAAAAUUGUAAAAAUUUUAAAAAAAAUUUGUAAAAAUUUUGUAAAAAUUCUAUAAAAAUUUAUAAAAUUCUAUAAAAAUUUAUAAAAUUCUAUAAAAAAUUAUAAAAGUCUAUAAAAAUUUAUAAAAUAUUAAAAAAUUAAAUAAAUUAAAUAAAUUAAAAGUUAAAAAAUAAAAAAAUUCAAAAAUUUUAGAAAAUUUUAAAAAAAUUUCGAAAAUUUUAAAAAAUAUUAGAAAAUUUUAAAAUAUUUUAAAACAUUUAAAAAAAUUAAAACAUUUUAAAAAAUUUAAAACAUUUUAAAAAAAUUUAAAAAAAUUUUGAAAUUUUAUUUAAGAAAAUGAGGCGGGCCUGGCCAACCCUCCCCCACCUUCCGGCGACGGCGGGGAGGCGGCGGCAACGAGGGCUCCGCCCUCAACCGUUGGCUGCCUUUCUCCUCCUCCUCCUACAUUUUUUUAAAAAUAAAAAUAGAUUAUAUUAUUUUUUUGUUUUAAAUUUAAUUUAAUUAAUUUUUCUAUUAUAUUAAAAUUCAACUUAUACCAAAACAACGUUGUUUUGGCCGAUUUAAGUGCUCUAAUCUGGCCAACACCCGAAACGACGUUAAUUUGGUGCUGACAUGGUAAAAAAUUUAAUAUAUAAAUUAAUUAAUUUUAAUAUAAAAAUAAAUUUAUUUUAAAAUUUAAAAAUAAAAUUUUAAAAAUUAAAAAAUUUUGCAAAAUUAAAAAAGUUACAGAAAAAUAAUUUAAAAAAAAAAGGGAGGCGGUGAGGGCUGAAAUUUUUUGUAACUUUUUUAAGUUUUUGUAAAUUUCGUAAAUUUUUUAAAUUUUUUGUAACUUUCUAAAUUUUUUUGUAAACUUUUUUGAAUUUUUGAAAAUUUUUUAAAUUUUACGUAAAUUUUGUAAAUUUUUUAUAAAUUUUGUAAAUUUUUUGUAACUUUCUAAAAAAUUUUGCAAAUUUUUAAAUUUUUGUAAAUUUUUAAUUUUUUUUUAAUUUUUAAAUUUUUUCUAAAUUUUGUAAAUUUUUUGUAAAUUUUGUAAAUUUUUUGUAAAUUUUGUAAAAUUUUUGUAAAUUUUGUAAAUUUUUUGUAAAUUUGUAAAUUUUUUGUAAUUUUUUGCAAUUUUUUUUUAUUUUUUCAAUGUUUUAAAGUUUCUAAAUUUUUUUAAUUUUUAAAAAAUGUUUUUAAAUAAAUUUAUUUUAAAUUUAAUUUAAAUAAUUUUUAUAUUAUUAUAAAAUUCAAAUGAUGUCAAAACGACGUCGUUUUGGCCGAAUUCGAGCUGACUCAGCUCUCCGACGAGACAUAUCAGCGAGAAAUAUUAAUAUUUUAAUGCCACGUAUGAUUUCCGGCCAACUUCGCCGGAGAUGGCACUCAGGUGUCCCACUUUUCUUAAAAUGUGGCACUUAAGUGUACCUUUCGUAAGUUAUGGCACUUAAGUGUCCCUUUGGCCAAAGUUAUGGCACUCCAGGGGUCCGCACGUCCAUUAAUGUGUCUAUUCAAUCUAUGUGGUUGACAUGAAUACAUUGGCUGAUGUGAUUGGGGUUGAAAGAGGGAGAUAUCAACCCAUUAUGUGUCUAUUGCUCGUGCAACGUUGGAGCUUGUUAAGGAUAGAAGGACAGAGGGAAAGAUUUCCUAUUUGAUGAUGAAUGCAUCCAACAUUCCGCUUCACAAAAUUGUGAUUAAUUGCCUCAGACCAAAAUCUACUUCAAAGACCGACGUUUCAAACUCGGAGGCAAAGCUGAUGUAUGCCAUCAAUGCAGGGAAAAAGUUCUCUCUCCCACAUACUAUUAUGUUCCACAUUUACAAGGCAGUGGUGAAGGACAAGGGUCAACUUCCUUAUCCAGCUCUCGUGACUAAGUUAUUCAGACAUUUGAACGUUCAGCCUCCCCGAAUCCUUUGUGUUUGAACGUGCGAUCAAAUGGUGGUGGGACAGAAAAUGGUCUCUAAAAUGCGUUUGAAGGAACUCAACAAGGCGUUGGAGAAAUUCAAGGAGAAAACCUCUGUUAAGACUCAUCAAAUCUCUUCGGCUGCAAAGAGAAAAGGAAAGGAGCCCAUGGUUGCUCCAUCCAAGCAAAGAAGAGCUCUCAUCAUUGAGGAUGAAGAGGAUGAGGAUGAUAUCACAAUUUCUGCAAUGGCAUUGAAGAACUUGAGUUGUUAUGUUCCAGAAUCAACAGAAAGACAAGAAAAAGACACGGAUGAGACAGAACAGAGGACUGGAGAAAAAGAAAAUUUGGAAGCAGAGGAGAGAGAAGCAGAAGAAGGAGAUGAAGAGGAGGAAAUAAUUGAAGAAGAAGAGGAGAGAUGAGAUGAAGCAAAGCAUGAGAAACACUCUUCUCCACUUGAAGGCAUGGAAAUAGGGGGAGAUCCUGAGAAAAGAGGAAUGCCCUCAUACCUUGCCACCGGUGAAGGAGUAAGCCGCUCUCCAGCAGAUCCAGAGGACAUCUAUGCCUCUCAAUUUCCUGAGGAAGGACAUGAUGUUUCAUCGCUUAAUAUGCGUGACCAUGCUGAUUUACCAUCGUCUGCCUUUACAUCGUCAAAUCGUGCAGAAGCCAGUACUCAGACUGAUAAUUCAGUAGACUUUCGCAAAAUACUUGAUGUUCUCUUAGAGAUGCGGGGUCAAAUAUAUGCUCUGGGAUACGAACUUCAAAAUUUGCAGAAUGCAGGACAAGCUUCUUCAGUUUCUUUGAAUGAUCAAAUUCAAGCCUUUACUCUUCAAGUUCAAGCAAAUGCUAAGGGUGAAGAUGUGGCGCAAAUGAAGGAGGACUUGAAAAAGCUGGAAGAGAUUGUCCAGUUAAUGGGAGAUUUCCAGCUUGUUCGUGUUCCCAAGCAACCUUAAUACCAUUCUCUUUUCAUCUCUACCUUUUUAAUGAUGACAAAAAGGGGGAGAGAUGUGGUGCAGAUUUGAUUUGAACUUUUUAACAGAUAUGAUUUGAACUUUUUGUUGAUUAUGUUUGACUUGACUUUUGUGUUGUUUGGCUGUUUUGGAUUUGGACUGGAUUUGGGUUUGACUGUUUAAAUGUUGUUUAUCUCAAGUACUAUUGAUAUCUUGGUAUCUCAUGGCUUCGCUUAUUUAUAGAACUAAUCUAUCUUCUGUGGAUGCAGAUUCUAGUGUUAUUAAGCCAUUUAUCUAUAUGAGAUAUCCAUAUUUGCUUAAGUAAUAUUUUGCAGGUCAAAGUUAUCCAAAUCUGUAGGAAAGUUUUGUCACAAUCAAAAAUGGGGAUAUUGUUGGAGAAAAUUUCCUUGAAUGUUUUGAAGUUGACAAAACGUUUCCAUCAGUCUAGUCUGAAGACUUGCAGACUCUUCCAUCAAAGUCUGAAGACCUUCGGACUGCUAAACUCAAGACUCAAAGUCUAUCCGCAUUGACAGUUUCUAGACCGUCGAAGAAGACUUAUCUAGAACUAGAUCUUUUGUUAAGGAUUUGACUUUAUUAACUAGAGAAGAUCUCUUGGCUGGAUAUAGCAUGUCAGAAUCCAUUAUUCAAAUCAAGAUUGAUUCAAUGAUUAUGGAUCCAUUGAUUGGCAAAGUAUACUUGGAAGGUUCUACUUAUGGAAACCGAGAUCCUGAUUGUAUGGGCGAGCAGGAUUGAUGGGCUAUCGUCAUGUUCCUUAAAUAGCUCGAAGAUCUUCCUAAUUGAUUCUGUCCAACGAGUAGAUGGAAGAAUUCCUUUGGUAAGUACCAACGGGUAUGAUGACAUAAAUGAGUAUAAAAAGAAGACGUUCCAGUUGUUUGAGUGUGUGCACGAUAGAAGAAUUCCAAAGUCUGAAGCUCCUUGUUCUUAGUCAAUUCAUUUGUUGAGCGAAAUCUUGUACGCAAAAGAGAGUCUAUAUUUUUUAGAGACCUUGAGGAAGUGUAGUAAAGUAUCUACACUGUGGAAUCAAGGGAGAGCUUUACUGUAACAACUCUUUUGUUCAUAGUGAAAUCCAGCCGGUGGGCUGUUAGUGCGGAAGAGUGGACGUAGGCUUGGAUUAAGCCGAACCACUAUAAACUCUGUGUUCAAAUUCUCUUCCCUACACUUUUUUACUUUGAUCGUAACUUGUUUAUUUGAAAAUAGAGGAAUUUUCUUUUCAUAAUCCAUUGUUGAUUUGAGCUACACUUAUCUCGCAAAAUUGUUUCUGCACCUAUUCAUCCCCCCUCUAGGUGCUCAUACUAGCUUUCACACUUCUUAGAACCACCACCAUGAUAGCCAUCCUAAAUGGGAGCAACAUACUGAAAAAUGCAGCAUACUCCAUGAGGCCCCGAACGCCAGCAUUGUGAAAGCGCGCUUUGAGCAACAUCGCCUGAAUGCCCCGAAGACAGCCAAAUAGAUUAGGCAGCCAGCUAGGAGGACCAGCGGCGCCUUGACUCGAUAGACCCUGGACUGGCGACUCUCCUGCGUAUUCACCGAAUAAUUUAUGUAGAAAUGCUCUUCUAUUUCCGGGAUUGGCGCUGGGACCAACCAAAUUAACAUGUUAAUGGAGGGAAAAUUUGUUCAAAAAUUUUUAAACCUAUUUCACUUUUCUCUGCUCUUCGUGUGCAUCUCUGCUCUUCUUGCCCUAAAUGGCAAGGAACGAAAUCCUUAAUUUCAAAAAUUAGAAAAUCGUAGCCCCAAAUCAGUCAAUCAUGCUCAGGAUUCAUCAAUCUUGCGAGGGGAUUUGUGGGGAUUCUCGUGAGCAGCUCGUGAGGGACCUCCACGACACUUGUGAGGGGAGGGGAUCUCGUGUGACGCUCGACGAUGGCCGUCCGAUGCUCGGAAAUGCUCAGGAGGAACCGGGGGAUUUCUACGAGCAGCUUGCAAGGGAACUUGACAACGACGACUUAGCCUAGCAAGAGGAGGACAAGCCACAAUUGCGCGGUUCUGCCACUUUGCAAUGCAGUUUGUUUCAGCUUUUGUAUACACAAGUAGAGCCUGAGAAUAGUAGUUUCAUUUGUGCGAAAAUCAAUCACGAAUGAGGCUGCUUUGAUAUAUUGAGCUUCUAUUUUAGUAUGUCUGUGAAAGAGUGAGUUUUACAGUGAUAUCAUUCGAUUUUAACCAUCCAAUAGCUAUUGGAUCAUCAAUUUGAAUAGAACUUAUCGAAACAAUAUGUCAUAGUUUAUGGAUUUGUUUUUGUUAUGCAUUGUCUUUACCUUUUUGAUUCUAUGUUCUGUAUUGCCAUCAAGAUGAGUGUAGUUCAAGUCAACGAAGUUUCAGAUUAUUAGAGGCUAAUCUACUUAUCUAUGUUACAUUUUCUUCUCAUAGCUUUAAAUUUUUAUUGUAACUGCUUCCCAAAUCUGUUGGUUAUUGGGUUUGUAGCAGCUGGUGGUUCAAAUUUUGUUCGCAUGCUGAAGCAUUAAAUUAUUUUUAUUGCUUGAUUUACUUGCAUUGCUGGGGAUACGAUCUCAAGAAGUGUGGGGAAUGUUUUGUUUUGUUAAGUAGUAGAACCAAUGCAAGAAUAGAGCAAGCACACUUUAUUGGAUAGCAUCUUCAUCUUGACCUUCAUUAGUGGCAACGUUUUCCAGAGUUGCUUGUUGCAAAAUUGAAUUGAAUUUUCACAUGCUAUUAACUAAUUUUGCAUGUAUCUGUUCACCUAUUCAUCAUGUUUGUAUAUUGCCUUGAUUAUUGAAAGAGGUACUUCAAAUUGUCAGUGGGAAUCUAUAUGGAUCGAAUCUGUAAUAGGUUUCUAAAGAUAGCUGAAUCACAGCAUCAGGAAAUCAGGUCAAGCUCAAAGAGAUAUUUCUUUUAUUCUUCCACACUUUGACAAUAUGGACCUCUUUAGACAGAUUUGCACAAGAUCUUUA
rnacentral:lncRNA from 1 species